rnacentral:lncRNA from 1 species
UCCUCCCCCAGUUUACCUGUCUCCACCUCCACCCUAUCAUCACUACUACGGUUCUCCUUCUCCUCACCACUACUAAGCAAGUGCAUAAGUUUUGAGGUAAUAAUACCUAUCCAAAACUUUAUCAACACAAACUGCCAUGUAUAUCAUGCUAAGGACGUACACUUGAUCCAUGAAAAUGACUAGUAGAAGAUUUUUUUUAAGAACCAAAGAAAUACAUUAUUUUUUCGGUCUGUUUUCAAGAAUUUGAGCAGUAUACAGAUUAAAGAGUGUUUUUUUUUUUGUAAACUUGCUUGUCAACUUAAAAAUGCACAUAGCUGAAAGCCAACUGAAUAUUUGCAGGCAAAGGAGAAGGCAAUCGGUGUUUGAGACCUUCAAGAAGAUGUAGAAGAAUAAGAAUAAAAGCCCAAUGCGAGGAUGAUUCCAAGUUUCUACGUUACCAUUUCUACAUCUAAAUUGACUUUAGCUCCUGAGUUCCAUGUUUAUGGGGUUUGUACCGUUUUACGUACCAUGCAGUACAUGCUUGCAAGGUUUUCUGUCCUGUUGGCAAACUGCAGGUCCAUAUAAUAAAUGAAUACUAUUUACAUUACGACACUUUUCUCUUUUUCUCUUAUAUUUUGUCUUUAAUAUUGUUGAUCAUUUUUUUUUUAUCAAAAGCAUCAAAUGCUUAGGUAAUUUGGUCUAAUGCUAAUUGUUUUACUUUUAUUUUUCACCUACACCCCUUUUCAACUCAAAGGAUGCUAUAGUUUGUGAUAAUUGUUUAAGACCGAAGCAUGAUACUAAUAAAUAUCUCAUUGAAAGUCAAGGAAACUAACAUUAGGAAAAGUUUAAAUCUUGAUUUGAUGAAACUAUUUAUUCGUGGAAUUUAGAGAUACAAAACUCAAAUUGUGACGGUGUUGUUGCUAAAUUAUUAAGGACAUUAUCACCAUUAUUUUUCCCUGAUCACUAGUUUCAACUGCAAUGAUCUCAAUCUUUUUGUGACUAAUUCUUUCCUUAAUAAUUUAUAAAGACAAAACUCACAAAGAAUAUGUGACUAAUUCUUUCCUUUCGUCUUCUAAAGAAAAUGCCAACUGUUAGUUUAUCAAGGGGAAAAAGGAUCGACAUCAGUUAUUAUUGAAACUAGUAAGGAAUAAAUAAUGGUGAUAAUGUCCUUAAUAAUUUAACAACAGCACCAUCAGAAUUUGACUUUGAGCUUCGGUCUUAAACAAUGAUCACAAACUACAGCAUCCUUUGAGUUGAAAAAGGAAGUAGGUGAAAAGAAAAGUAAAAAAUACAAUUAGCAUUCCCUCAAAUUGUAGAAAGUUAGGUAGCAUUAUAGACAAGUUGAUAGCGGCAAUUUUACAUUUCAAACUUCACCUAUUCAAUAACUAAUUCGAUGGCUUGCUACAUGGUCAAUCUUUGGACCCCUUCCUGCCUCCAGAUAUCCCUUUCCUCAAUCAGGGGCUUCUACAAUUACCAGUUUCAAUUGUAUGGUAUAGUGUAAAUAUCAACAAAUUAGAUGUAGAUGCUAACAUAAUAAAUGUGAAUGCUAAGACAGCAACAUACAAUCGAACCUGCAAUUGUAUGAACCCCAAUCUCGCUUCCUAGUCCACCAUCUUUCUCUAGGUAAUAAUCUCCCUUCUAAUUUAUUCACAAAAUGCACCUUUCAUCACCUCCAAUAGCGUCGACAUGAUCUUUACCCUAGAAGACUAUUCACCGACUCUCAAUUGACGUCAGAAAAUCUAAGAGUAAUUCUACUUUACCCUAAGAUUGAUAUCAACAAGACAAGGACAAUUUAGAAUUAUUACACGCCUCUUCUUAAUAGGAAAAAGAAAUAGAGAAGAAAGUCAGGCCAGGUCUAAUUUCUUUUCAAAGGCAAUACAACAUUACGAAAUCAAGCAUUCAUUCAUACAAAUAUUUCAUAGUCACCGGUUUGCUGAGUAGAAAAAUUUAGACAAAAACUUAAUAUUAUAUUGUUUAAGAGUUAACAAUUUAGAGCUUAAUCUCCUUGUACUUUGGAGUUAACAAUUUAGAGCUUAAUCUCCUUGUACUUUGGACUAAACUUGAACGUGAAAGGAAAUCCCAAAACCAUAUUGGGCAUGAAUUCACACUUAAUAUACCCAAUAAAAGAUGGCGACUGGUGAAAGGCAGUGGAGACUGGUGGAGAGAUUUGAGGAAUAGAAGCAGACGGAAAAGCAACAAAUUUUUGCCGAAAAACGGUCACUUUCAUGGUUAAUUUUGCUACUCUCCAAUUGUACUUGACCAAUUACAACAAUUUCAUGGAGUUUGAUACGUGAAAAGAAUUUUUUAUAAAUUUUAUUUUGAUCCAUAAUGUUAUCUUUACAUAUAUAAAACAUUUUACAAUUUUGAUUUUGGCGCAGCUAACUUUUGGUUAACAAAAAUGCUCAUGUUUAAAAAACCAGAAAUAAAACAAAACAAGAAACAAAAGAAAUAAGAGGGUAGCAUAGACAUUUUGGAUUUUUCCGUUAAUUUGGAUGAUUUCCACCCACGUUCUAAUUUAAUCCAAAACACAAAGGAAUUACGUAGAGGUUUUAAAUAAUCAGGGAGCUUCAUGAUCGAACCCCAAACCACGUGAUAGCAUACAAGAGUUCUAUUUCACUAUCGGUAGACAAAGACUUUCUAUGGUUGAUGUACCGUAGGAAAAAAUCUGCCUAUACAACGUGAUAGCAUUUUUUCAAAAACACAAGAUGGAAAAUUGCCCCCUUAAACGUGGAAAUUCAUGAUCUUUCCUCGAACAAAGAAUACUCACGCCUAUUCAAGAUGGAAAAUUGCCCCCUUAAACGUCUAUUUGUCAAUUCUUGAAAAAAGAAUACUCACGCCUAAAACACGGCCUCUUCAUCUGCAGAAUUCUAAAAAGUUACGUAAACUCUAUAAACAAGUUGAUAGGUACAAUCGUACCCAAGAUCAAGUACAGAUAGUUGUACAUUCACUGCUGCAAUAACUAAUCUGAUGACUUACAAACAUAUCAUGGUCAAUCGUUGAAUGGUAAUGAGUCUUUUGUUAUGCAUUAGUAUUAGUGUGUACACUCUAAUAGAUUGAUACUUAUACUCUUUAAAUUAUCAUAAUAAUACCCUUAAUUAACUUUAACUCUUAAAAAGAAUACGUGUUAAUACACGAGAGUGUGUAACCUGAAUUGUUACUUAUACAUUAGUGUGUAAUAGAUAGGGAUGGCAGUGAGGGCGAGUGCCCGCGGGGGGCUCUCGGGGCGGGGGCGGGGGAGAAUUUUUUCCCCCCGUUUAGAAACGGGGCAGGGGACGGGGGAGUAUACCCCCGCCCCAUCCCCCGCCCCGCCACCCGCAAAAAAAAUUAUAUAUAUAUAAUUAUAUAUAAUAUGUAAUUUAAUUAGUUAUAAACUUAUGAUAAUGAUAUUAUUAGUUAGAUGUAUUAUAUAAUGUAUAUUAGUGUAUGUAAUAUAAUUAAUAUUAUCAAUUAUACGAAUAAUUAGACAUGUCCACUAAUAGAGUUUAUUAAUUAGUUAUACUAAAUUUACUAAUACAUUUGUACUAAAUUUCUAAUUACACUUAAUAGAAUAACACUUUUUUCUAAAAAAAAAAGCACAAACACAAUAAUGAAUUAGUGAUUGUAUUUGUACCAAAAGUGAAAACUUAACUAUUUUAGUUGUAUUUAUUUCAUCAUGUUGGAUUGUAUUCAAAUAAUUUUUGUUUGAUUGUUUUUAUGAGUUUCAAUUGUAAAAUUAAAAUGAAUAAUAACUUGAUGAUGUGUUGAUAUUUUAGUACUUGAUUAUUUAUUGAUUUAACUAUAAUAAAAUUUUAUUUUAUUAAAAUUUAACUAUAAUAAAAUUUUAUUAACCAAACGAGUUAUUAAUCCCGCGGGGGCACCCACGGGGGAAGCGGGGCGGGGCGGGGGAGUGGGAGGCGGGGGACGGGGCGGGGGUGGGGGGAGUUGUAGGUAGCGGGGCGGGGGAUGGGGGAGGGGUCCCCCGCCCCAACCCCGCCAUCCCCCGCCCCGUUGCCAUCCCUAGUAAUAGACUGGCAAGCAUUGUGGUGGUCAUUGAGAACUUACUGGAGAAAUAGUCCUAUAAGCUGUUCAAUGAGCAAUCACAACUUGCUAAUUGGAUGACUAAUAUAGCUCUAGCUGUAAUGUUUUAAUUAAAUUACAUCACUAACGUUGGGAUGACUUUUUAACCAAAAAAAAAUGCCUUAGUUCAAGCUUUUCCCUUUAUUGUGCAUUUUUUAAAGCAUUUGAUAGGCACUGCAAAUCUGUCAUUUUGGACAUUUUAUUAUUGACUAACAAUGAAAGCCGUGACGUCUACCCAUAACCAACACAAGAUUAAAUUAAUAUUAGAAAAAAUAAUUGAGUAAUUGGAAAAAAAAAAAGAGACUCAUUUUCAUUGAAACCCACCGACAAACUAAACGUGUCCAUGGCUUUUGAAUAGUGCAUUCAACGUUUAAUUGUAUAGUCCAGUUCAUUGCAGAUUACAUGGAGUAAAGAUUGUGCUCUUUCCUUUUUCACCCCUUUUGGAAUCGAUACUGUGGAGAAUUGGGUUUUUCCCUUCUUUUUUUCUUUUCUUUCCUUCUGUGCUUUGCAAAACAUAGGUAAAAAUAUGAAAUCCGAAGCAUUCUUUAAUUGGGAUUAAGUAUUGUUGUUGAAAUUAAAAAGAAAAAAGAAAGAACAACAAAAUUCCCAAUCUGGGUUGAUUGUUGAGCUCUAGAUUGGUUGCAUCGUGCUUCCAUAGAAGCUCUCUUAGUGUGAUACACUGCUUUCAAUCAGUUUAACACGGGAAAAAAAAAAAAAGAGAUGAAAAGCAAAUUUGGUGGGGAUAAUUUCAGAAACCUCCCCUGAAGAUUUUGACUAUUCUACUGGUCUCCCUUCAGAUUUUAAAAAUUACACUAAUCUUCCUUGAAGUUAAUUAUCUUGUAACAUUUAAAUUCAAUCAAUAAUUUAAAAAAUGAUAUUAUGAGAGAGAAAAUAAUGAUUUUAUCAUUGCCCCCCAUCUUACUACAUUAUUUAAUUAAUUUAAUAGCAACCCACACAUUAAAGAAAAAUAUUAAAAUUUGUUGUUUAUCAUUAAAGAUCAAAUCGCUUAUAACAUCAAAUAAUAGUAUAUUAUUUAUAUUUUUCACUCAAUAUAAUAUCCAAAUUACUCUUUUCAAUUACAUACCCAUUGUUAGACAAUCAACAACAAAUAACCAAAAAAUUUGCAACCAAAAUAUUACAAAAAAAUAAACUUUAACAUAUAAAUAUUCUUAUCAACAUAUUAAAGUUAGUUACUGAAAUUUUUAUGCUGUUAAACUUCACUCUUUUUGGUUACAGAUUUUUUUGAUUAUUUGUUAUUAAUUAUGUUUGAUGAUGGAUUUAUAAUUGAAAAGAACAAUUUGAAACUUACAUUAAGUAAAAUAUAUAGAGUGAUAUACUAUUUUUUAUAACAUAUGUGAUUCAAUCCUUCUUGAUAGGAUUGGUAAUAGAGGUAGAGGGGGGAGCCGGCUGCAUCCGGUCUACUUUUCAUAGAUAGUACAAUAUUGCGAAAUCGAUCGCAUUCACGCAAUAUUAUUUCCAAGUCAUUGCAUGGCUAAGCUGCAAAAAAAGUACGAACACAUGUUAUUAUAUAGCUUACGAUUCAAAACUUUAGAGCAUAACCCUCCACCUAACACAAUUGAAUAAUGAACAUUCACGUUUGUCAAAUCUGUCAAAGCACAGUUUGAGGACAACCCAUUCCAACCUGCAAAAGAUUUUUUACUUUUCUAAAGUUGUUGAGAGCUGUAAAAAGACUUACCAUGCUUGCAUCCUCCGAGCCUUGGGAGUUAAAAAUGAAGGCACUGAGUGCUAUAAAAAGGGGAAUAGAGGCUGCCUAGAAGCAUAUCAGCCUAAAACAAGAAUUUGUAGUUAAGAUGGGAAGCAAAGCAAAAGCAAUGGGGUCUGGGCUGACUCCUCUUCUUGCCACUGUUUUAGUGGUGUUUGUUGCUCUUGGCUUGCCCUCACAAACUGCAGCUGAUGAUCACUACAAGUAUUCAUCUCCUCCUCCUCCUUACCACUAUCCCUCACCACCACCACCAGUGCAUAUACCUCCACCUCAUCCUGUUUACAAGUACAAAUCUCCACCACACCCCCAGUACAAGUAUAAGUCACCACCACCACCUCCUCAUCCGGUAUACAGUCUCCUCCGCCACCACACACCCAGUUUACAAGUACAAGUCACCACCACCACCUCCUCAUCCGGUACCACACCCAGUUUACAAGUAUAAGUCUCCUCCGCCACCAGUUUACAAAUACAAGUCUCCUCCACCACCACCUCCAGUGUACAAAUACAAGUCUCCACCACCACCAGUUUACCACUACAAGUCUCCACCACAGUUUACAAAUACAAGUCUCCACCACCACCCCCAGUUUACAAAUACAAGUCUCCACCACCACCAGUUUACCACUACAAGUCACCACCACCUCCUCCCCCAGUUUACAAAUACAAGUCUCCACCACCUCCUCACCACUACUAAGCAAUUGCUUCUGAGGUAAUAACACUUGUUCAAUAUACCCACUUCUGCAUGAUAAAGCAUAUCUCUAUCAACACAAACUGUCAUGUCUAUCAUGCUAAGUGCCUUCACUUCAUCCACCAAAAUGACUGCUAGAAAAUUUUUUUUAUGUUACCAAAGAAAGGCAUCAUUUUUUCCCUCUGUUAUCAAGAACUUGUACAGUAUAUAGAUUAAAGAGUAUUUUUUUAACUAGCUUAUCAACUGAGAAAUGCAUAUAGCUGAUAGCCAGCUGAAUAUUUGCAGGCAAAGGAGAAGGAAACCAGUGUUUGAGACCUUCUUGAAGAUGUAGAAGCAUAAGAAUUAAAGCCCAAUGUGAAGAUGAUGAUUUCAAGUUUUUCUACGUUACCAUUUCUUUAUCUAAAUUGGUUGUAGCGCCUUAGUUCCUUUGUUUAUGGGAUUUGUAUCGUUUUACGUACCAUGCAGUACAUGUCAUGUUUGUAAGGUUUUCUAUCCUGCCGGCAAACCGCAGGUUCCAUGUAAUAAAUCAAUACUAUUUAUAUUACGACACUUUUCUCUGUUUCUCUUAUAUUUUGUCGUCUUUAAUAUUCUUAAUCAUAUUUUUAACAAAAAUAUUCAAACACUUAGGCAAUCUGGUCUAAUGCUAAUUGUAUGUUUUACUUUUCUUUUUCACCUGCUCCCCUUUUCAACUCAAAAGGAUGCAAUAGUUUGUGAUCACUGUUUAAGACGGAAGCAUGAUACUAAUGAAUAUCUCAUUGAAACUCAAGGAAACUAACAUUGCGAAAAGUGUAAAUCUUGAUUUGAUGCAACUAUUUAUUCGUGGAAUCUAUAGUUACAAAACUCAAAUUCUGACUGCGCCAUUGAUAAAUUAUUAAUGACGCUAUCAUCAUUAUUUAUCCCUAACUAGUUUCGACUACAACUGAACCCAAUAUUUUCCCCAUGAUAAAAGUUUUUGACUAUUUUACUGGCCUCUCUUCAAAUUUUAAAAAUUACACUAAUCUUCAUUGAGAUUAAUUAUCUUGUAACAUUUAAGUCCAAUUAAUAAUUAAAAAAUGAUAUUAUGAGAGAGAAAAUAAUAUAAUUUUAUCAUUGCCCCCCAUCUUGCUAUAUUAUUUAAUUAAUUUAAUAGCAACCCACACAUUAAAGAAAAAUACUAAAAUUUGCUGCUUUUCAUUAAAGAUCAAAUUGCAUAUGCCAUAAAACAUAGUAUAUCAUUCUAUAUGUUUCACUUAAUGUAAGAUCCCAAUUGUUCUUUUCAAUUACAAACCCAUUGUCAAUAACAAAUAACCAAAAAAUUUGCAACCAAAAUAUUACAAAAAAAAACUUCAACAUCAUAAAUAUUCUUACCACCUCUAGUGCAUUCACCCUCAUAAAAUAAUUCAAGACCCUACUGUCAUAAAAUGACUGAUCAACUCCCGUAAACCUAAUUUGACAACAUUUAAAUGGAGAACUUUAGCUAAAAGAAUUAUGGUCAAGCUAAAGAAAAAACCAGUUAUUUUCCAACAUAUGCAAUCAUUGAUCAGGGAAAAAAAAAAGAGCAAAAAGACAUCUUCAAUCAUUUAAUAGCUUACAGGGCAAAUUAACCCCUAAGCGAAAACUGGUUGCUCUAGAAUCAAAAUUUUACUUUAGUUACCCAGGCAACUUUUUUGUUGCUUUUUUUUUUUUUUUCCUUUAGUUUUGCCCCCUCUGUCAAGCUUAUAAAAUUAUUAAGAUAAUAAAAGUGCCUUGAAUAGUAUUAAUAUAUCCAUUGACUUGAGCUGUCGUCAGUUUGCGAUUCCAUGAGGCCUUUUCAAAGUACUCAGAAAAUGGGGAGUCAUGAAAUCCAUUUGUUCUAUUCAUUGCUAAGAUGCUUUUCUCUAUAAAGAGACUUCCUAACGAAAAUACUUUGUAGAUUUCUUUACUCCAAGUGGUGCAUGGAAAAUUAAUAUUUUCAAUUAUCAAAUAAAAUUCCCUUUUUUCGGCGUAGAUUUCAUCCAUCCAGCUGUUAACACAUUCUAUAAAUCCGAAUUGACUAAUCUUUUCGUUUCCAUUUUCCAACUUGCGAAUACGGCAUAUAGUGUCUGCUAAACACUAUAUAUUCUCUGCCAAAUAUGAAUACAUAUCACUUUUCUGAGCAAGUGCAGAGUCAUUAUCAUUUUUAUUCCCACCUAACAAAUUAGGGAUAAAAAAGUUAAUAAUCUUUACAUGCUAUCAGGUCACAAGUUAAUAAUCUUUUAAAGAACAUGUUAAAUUAAUUUAUUGGUAUGAAUAGUAGUCAAAGAAGUAUGUUAAAGUUAGUAAUCUUUAAAAUAAUAUGUUAAAAUCAUUCGUACAAAUUAGUCAGAGAAGUAGCAUAAACACCGCGAUGCAAUUAAUACUUUCAAUCUCAAGGUCUCUAUUAUGGAAAUUUGCAUCGGUCAAUAUACACUUGGCAUAAUAUAAUCUCCCAACUCAUUUCUUUACAAAUGCACCUUUAAUCACCACCAAAAGGUGUGGACAUGAUCUUUACCCUAGAAAACUAUUCACCGACAGGCAAAUUGACGUCAGAAAUACUGAGGAAUUCUAGUUUCCUUCGGGUUCAUGCCAUGUUGUAUCCUUCAACUGUAACUCGAUUUCUAAGCUGUAAUUUGUGACAUAAUAGUCCUUAAACUAUGAAACCCUUCUUACUUAAUUACAAUGGUUAAUACAAUGCCCGUGACUAGACAAGUAUGAAGCAACCAUAACAGAAAAAAAAUCCAAAAUUAGAGAAAAGAAAGAAGUUUCGCGACCACCACCAGUUUACAAGUCACCUCCACCACCUCCUCCAGUUUACAAGUCACCUCCACCACCUUACCAUUAUUCCUCACCACCACCUCCAGUGCAUUCACCCCCACCACCACCAGUUUACAAGUCUCCGCCACCACCUUACCAUUAUUCCUCACCACCACCUCCUGUGCAUGCACCUCCACCACCAAUUUACAAGUCACCUCCUCCAGUUUACAAGUCUCCACCACCACCUUACGAUUAUUCCUCACCACCACCUCCAGUGCAUUCACCCCCACCACCACCAAUUUAUAAGUCUCCCCCACCGCCUCCCCCAGUAUAUAAGUCACCACCACCACCUCCUCCAGUAUACAAAUCACCUCCACCACCUCCUCCAGUUGACAAAUCUCCACCACCACCAAUUUAUAAAUACAAGUCUCCUCCACUACCUCCUCCAGUGUACAAGUCAUCACCACCACCUGCUUACAAGUCUCCACCUCCUCCAGUUUACAGUUCCCCACCACCACCAAUCUACAAGUCUCCACCUCCACCCUACCAUUACUACUACAAUUCUCCUCCUCCUCCUCGUCACUACUAAGCAAUUGUAUCCAAGUUUUUGAGGUAAUAACGCUUAACCAAUAAAUUAACUUUCGCAUGAUAAACCUUAUCUCUAUCAAGACAAACUGCCAUGUGUAUCAUGCCAAAUACGUACACCUAGAUCCAUGAAAAUGAAUGGUGAGGAGGGCCAUUUAGGCUCGGAGCGCCCUAGGCCUAGUUCCCCACCAUUUCCUGAAGUGCCGCCUCGGGUAUUAUCCUGGAAGGCGAUCGCGGCCCAUUUACCACCUCGGCUACAAUGUCAGGUCGUAACACCGAGGUGGACAUUGAAUGACAACUACGAAAAGGGGAGAUGUGAUCUCUGACACCUGAGCAAAGGCUGCUCUGACCCGCCGCCUGAAUCUGACAGAAUGUCCCAUCACGUCUCUUCAUGGAGACCGGUCAAGUCCACCUGAUCCACUGACUAUCUCAGAUCUUUUGGGACCCGUGCAAACAUCUCCUCUCUCCUAUCAGUCCCCUAUAAAUACACGAUACUUCUACUGAAAAAGGAGAUGACCAAUUUCUGGUAAAACACACUCCACUCAUUAUUUACUUCUCUAUAUCCGAACUGACUUAAGCUUCGGAGUUAUACCGGGGGAUCCAGCCCCUUUCUUAUCCAAGCAGGUGACUUCGUCCAAGAGAGUUGCCCAAGGUAAAGAUAUUCUUCCAAUUGAGGUGACUCACUCCUGCGGGUCGAAAAUCACCUCUUCAAUUGGCGCCGUCUGUGGGAACCGCAAAGAUAUUAGAAGAUGAAGCCUGCGCGUUCUAGAAGCAGAAAAGCUCUCACUAUCGAGGCUGGGCAAAGCAAUGCAGCUCAACAAGAAAAUAUUUCUGAAGGGCAGGAGUCCCCAAGGACUCAGCCCGCAAACGAAAAAGCCAUAACCCGUAUGGCCGAGUUUGUGACCGAGAACCCCAACAUCUUUGAAGAGUUGGGAAGAUACCUGAAGAGGCAAGGCAAACAAAAGGCCGAGUCCUCUAAAAGGAUGUCAGAUGGGUCUCUUGAGGACUCAUCUGAGGAGGAGUCGGAUGGAAGGCACUUAAGCCGAAGUGCCUCAAAGCGAGCAUUUUCUAAGGCCACUUCUAAGGUAGCCUCCCUGACCAAGGCGUUUUCCCGAGGGCUCUUGGGCCGACGACCCGAGGAAGAACCUCGGCCCUUGGGAAUACCCGGGGUGGACUGCAUGAGGGCUCCACCGUUCACGGAUGAUAUAAACGAGGAAAGGCUUCCUCCCAAUUUUAAGCUCCCCGCAGUACAAUCUUACGAUGGCCGAGGUGAUCCCGAGAAUCACAUCCAUACCUUCAUCUCGGCCUUCCAAAUAUACUGCAUCCCAGACCCUGUCAUAUGUCGGGCCUUUCCAGUAUUCCUCAGAGGAACUGCUCGAAAAUGGUUCUGAGCUCUAGAACCUAGGAGCAUUUCGACCCUGGGUGAAUUAGUGGAGAAGUUUCUCCACCGAUUUGUCUCCUCCCGACCUACGACUAGGACCUCGGCUUACCUGCUCACCGUGCAGCAGAACCCGGGAGAGUCACUCCGGUCGUACGUCCGGAGGUUCCAUGAGGAAAGCGUUCAGAUACCUGACCCCAAUGAGCAGGUAACCCUCGCUGCCUUUACCCAUGGACUCGUUGCCGGGGAGUUCAAUACGGGGAUCCAUAAAAAAUACCCCCGCACACUGCAUGAAUUGUGGUUGAAGGUUGAAAAGGGCAUACAGGCCGAAGACCUCCAUCGCAUGAAGAAAGAGGUCCAAGCCACCCGUCCAAGGGCUGAGCCCAGAAAGGGAAAAGACGCUGGCCGAACUGAAGUAGGGUCGGGAAGUGGCUUCCGAAGUCCUGGCCGAGACCGCCGCAGCGUGUUCGACAGGAUAUCCAAGGGGAAGUCACCUAUUCCCGAGUCCGAGUUGACUCCUUUAAAUACUACCCGAUCUCACGUGUUGUCCGUGAUGGAACAAAACAACCUCGGCAAGGGCCCGCCGAGGAUGUUUGGAAGCAGAGACAAGAGGAACUCGAACCUCUACUGCUUGUAUCAUCGUGACAUUGGUCACGAAACUGAGGAUUGCAACGAUCUCAAGAAGGAGAUCGAGAACCUCAUUAGACGGGGACACUUGAAACAGUUCAUCCGCAGAGGUGGAGGUCACCAACGUGACGAAAACCGGCAUGACAAAUGAGGUGACCAACGCCGAGAUGAGCGGCGGAGCUCCAGAAGCAGUUGCCGACCUCCUGAGGAUCCCAGGGAGACGAAAAGGCCUCCCCCAGACGGAUCUUCGGGACAUGGGCCAACCAUUGCCCGGGUCAUUAACACCAUUGCCGGAGGUCCGACGGGAGGGGACAGUCAGAACUCCCGGAAGAGAACCUAUAAGCAGGCUAACCCGGAUCAGGCCGAGUCGAGUUCUCGCCUGUCCGAGGUGAUCACCUACGGGCUCAGUGAUCCCAUCCCAGCUGCAUCCAGCAGUCAUGAAACCUUGGUGAUUGAAGUCCUCACCAAUAACUACAUUGUGAAAAGGUCUACAUAGACCCGGGAAGUUCAGUUGACGUCAUGUACCUCCGUACCUUUGAGAGCCUUAAAAUGGCUAAGGGGUGCAUGACCCCGCUGAGAACCCCUCUUGUAGGGUUCGGGGGACACGUGGUGCACCCCGAAGGGAUGGUGACUCUGACAGUGACCAUAGGGCAUCACUCUCGCUGUAGAACCGUCCCUGUCAAUUUUGUGGUGGUUAAGGCUGACUCCCCAUACAACCUACUUUUAGGUCGGCCUACGCUCAAUGCCUUGCGGGCGGUCUACUCCACCUACCACCUGAGCUUCAAGUUUCCUACCCCAGCAGGGGUGGCCGAGGUCAGCAGCGACGUCUGUGCUGUCCGGGAGUGCUACCUCGCCACCCUACAAGCAGCCUCCCCGUCUACCUCCGGUGCGAGGUCCGAGAAGAGGUCAAAUAUCCUCUCAAUAGAUAGCAUCGAUCCUCAGUGAGCUGAGAAGGUCCCGAGGCUGGAGACUGGGGAUGAGGUGGAAGAGAUUCCCCUGGACCCCACGAAACCUGAUCAGACAGUUCGCGUUGGUACCCGAUUGCCCGGUCCUAUCCGAAGAGGUAUGAUGGACCUCCUCAGGGAAUACCGGGACGUCUUUGCUUGGGCCGCCGAAGAGGUCCAAGGAGUCCCGCACCAUCUCAUGAUGCAUGACUGAACGUCGACCCCCAAGUCCGUCCGGUCAAACAGAAGAGAAGGCACAUCGGCCCUGAGCGCAGCCAAGCUGUUGGUGAGGAAGUGGACAAGCUUUUACCCGCUAAAAUAAUCCGAAAAGUCCAAUACCCGAUCUGGUUGUCUAACUCGGUCAUGGUCAAGAAGGAUACGGGGGCUUGGAGAAUGUGCGUCGAUUUUACCGACCUCAACAAAGCCUGCUCCAAGGAUUGCUACCCCUUGCCCAAAGUCGAUACUUUGGUAGACUCAGCAAUGGGCUACGAGAUCCUCUGUUUCUGGGAUGCAUUCAAAGGCUAUCACCAAAUUGGGAUGAGUCAAGAAAACCAGGAGAAAACGGCCUUCUACACCGACCGCGGCACGUACUGUUAUACUACCAUGCCAUUCGGGUUGAAGAAUGCCGGAGCCACUUAUCAACGCUUGGUCAACCAAGCAUUCAAGUCUCAAAUCGGCCGGAAUGUUGAGGCCUAUGUAGAUGACAUCCUCCUCAAAAGCCAGACGAACUCCACCUUCCUGGCCGACUUGAAGGAGGUCCUUGACAUCCUGCGGAAGGUGAAAAUGAUGCUGAACCCCAAGAAAUGUGUUUUUGGGGUCACCUCGGGGAAAUUUCUAGGUUACCUCGUCUCAAGGCGAGGUAUCGAAGCAAAUCCGGAUAAGGUGCGAGCCAUCCAGGAGAUGUCUCCACCCCGGUGCGUCCGCGAUGUCCAAAGGCUGACAGGGCGAUUAGCCGCCCUGAAUCGGUUCUUAUCGCAGUCGGCAGCUAAAGCACUGCCCUUUUUCAAAGUGUUGAAGAAAGCUGACCAUUUCUCCUGGACGGAAGAGUGUCAACAGGCGUUUGAGCAGUUGAAGGAUUACCUUCACUACCUUCCAACGCUCACCUCACCUCGUCCGGGGGACAAAUUAAUCUUAUACCUUUCUGCUGCGGCCGAAGCGGUGAGUGCCGUGCUGAUAAGGAAGGAAGGGGUCCAAAUGCCCGUCUACUACGUUAGCCGAGUCCUCCGAGGUCCAGAGACCAGGUACACACAAGCAGAGAAACUUGUGCUAGCCCUGAUCCACGCCGCCCGCAGACUCAAGCCCUACUUCCUAGCUCACCACGUCUGCUUGAGGACUGAUCAACCACUUCGGCAGAUUUUGACACGACCAGAGGUUUCGGGACGUCUUACCAAAUGGGCCAUUGAGCUGGGGGAGUACGACCUAACUUAUGAGCCUCGCACAGCGAUCAAGGCCCAGGCUCUCGCAGACUUCGUAGCCGAGCUCACCUUUGACGAGGUGCAAGGAUCCGUCCCGGCUGCCACAUCGGCCACAGUUGAUGUGGCCACCACUGGGCUCCAGCGGUGGAUCCUACACGUGGACGGUUCGUCAACAGUGAGGGUAGUGGAGCAGGCUUGCUCCUCGAAGACCCCCAAGGAGAAAUAUGCUAAUAUGCCUUAAGAUUUGACUUCGCUGCUUCAAACAAUGAAGCUGAAUACGAAGCCGUCAUUGCUGGACUGCAGCUAGCUCGCAAGCUCGGGGCCGCACACAUCUUGGUUUAUAGUGAUUCCCAACUCGUCGUGUGCCAGAUAUUAGGUGAGUACGAAGCCAGGGACGAGGUGAUGCAUCGUUACCUCUCCAAGGUCCUCCAGUUGGCGACUCACUUCGAGUCUUUUGAAAUUCAAAGAAUACCGCUAUCGAAAAACAGAAGGGCUGACGCCCUCUCCCGGCUUGCCUCAACCUCUUUCUCUGACCUGAACAAGACGGUUCUCGUUGAAGUUCUAGCCGAACCAGGAUAUGUAGCCGAGGUAGUAUACCCCGUCUACCCUGGGGACACCUGGAUGGGUCCCCUGACUCGAUUUUUCAGCCAGGGUGAGCUCCCCGAAGACCGAGCUGAGUCACGGAAGCUCCAACGAAAAGCAGCACGGUACAUUCUCCGACAAGGCCUUUUAUACAAAAGGUCUUACCUCGGCCCUUAGUUGCGAUGUAUCACGCCCGAGGAAGGCCAGAGAAUCCUCCAAGACAUACAUGAGGGGCUCUGUGGUGCUCACGUCGGCUACAGAAUGCUGGUAAAAAAGGCUUUGUUACUUGGGUAUUUUUGGCCCACUAUGAGGAUAGAUGCCCAGGUCAUGGUCCUUUGCUGCCCCUCCUGCCAGCAUCACGCUCCUGAGCACCACCAGCCGACCAAUUUAAUGAUCCCUAUCACCUCGUCAUGGCCAUUUGAGCAAUGGGGAACGGACAUAAUUGGCCCCUUUCCCAGAGCUCCAGGCAAUUAUACCUACGUGGUGGUAGCAGUGGACUACUUCACCAAAUGGGUCGAAGCUGAACCCCUAAAAAAUAUCACUGGUGCGGCAGUCCAGAAAUUCUUCUGGAAGAAUGUGGUUUGCCGCUUCGGCCUACCCCGGGUGAUCAUCUCGGAUAAUGGCCGACAGUUCGCCGAUAAUCCUUUCAAGGCCUGGUGUGAGAACCUCGGGGUCAAACAGCAUUUCACUUCGGUGGGACACCCCCAAGCCAACGGACAAGCCGAAAACUUCAAUCGCACGCUCCUCCAUGGCCUCAAGACCAGGCUCCACCAGGCUGGAUCGUUUUGGAUGGAAGAGCUCCCCAGUGUGCUGUGGUCCUACCGAACUACGCCGAGAUCAGCAACCCAGGAAACCCCGUUUUCCUUAACCUACGGGUCAGAAGCUGUUGUUCCAGCCGAAUUCAUCACCCCGAGUCCACGAAUGGCCGCAUAUGCUGCCGAAGUCAAUGAAGAAGAACGGCGAGUUGACCUCGACCUCGUCGAAGAGAAGCGUGAUAUGGCCGCGGCCAAAGUUGCUGUUUACAAAAAUAUCGUAGCUGGCUACUACAACGCUCGGGUUAAACAUUUGCGGUUCAGUCCGGGAGACCUGGUGCUCAGGAAGAACUCAGUCAGCCGGGCUGAACCUCAGGGUAAACUAACCCCCAAGUGGGAGGGACCAUACCGUGUUGUUGAGUCCAGCCAAAAUGGAUAUUGUAAAUUGGCAUACCGAGAUGGGUCUCUGAGUGCCCCGAACUUGGCAUGCUGAAAAUCUUAAGUUGUACUACCCUUGAGGGUAUGUGCUUUUAAUCUUGAGUUAUUUCACACUUAUUUUCAUUUCAUUAUAAGUGAAAAAUAAGGGGACAAAGUAGCAGUAAAGAGGAAAACCGAAUUUAAUUAAAAAGAAAGCAAGAAUAUGAACUCAAUUCCAUUGAAUUACAUAAAAGUAGAAAGCCGAGGUCACCUUUAAUUAGGAAGAAAGCAAGAAUAUAAACUCAAUUCCAUUGAAUUACAUAAAAGUAGAAAGCCGAGGUCACCUUUGACCUCGGCCUACAAUGACAAAAAAAAAAACAAGUGCCUCUAGGCACUCCCUACCCUGACAUCCUGGCCCCCCGUGGUCGCGCCACCCGUUUCGGCACCCUGUCCACCCUCAGCUCCUCCACCGGCCUGGUCGUCUUCAGUACCAUCUAGUUCAAACUCCUGGAGCCAUUUGUUGAAUUCGGCUCGGACUUCGGUUAGGUCUUUCUCAGUCCGGAUGCCCUCAGCCAUGCUGUCGCAUAGCUCCUUGGCAUCCUCGUUAUAGUGCGAAGUGCUCUGAAGGGACUCCAGUUGUUCAGAGGGAAGAAAGGAUGCCGCGUCAUUAAUAGCCGACGUGUACCCGAACAUGAAGCUUGGCCGGGUGAGCUCGCCGAGGUCACGGAUGAAGGACUCUGACGUCCGGAAGGCUUCCACAGCAGUGACCCCGGCCUUGUCCAUGGCCUCCCUGUUUGACUGUUCUUCUUGGGCCCUCCUUUUUUUCUCCUCAUCAAGAGCAGUCACCAGGGAAUUGUUCGCGACCUCGGCCCUUUUGUUAGCCGCCUUGGCCUUGUCACGCUCCAACUCGGUUGCCUUCAGUUUUUCUUCCAACUCGGCAAUUCUCUUCUGGAGCUCGGCAGGAGGCUCAUAGUUUUCCAUGAACUUUCCAUACCGUUGAAUCAUCUCGACAAAAAAAGCCGUGGUAGAGGCCCAUGACACCGAGGCGCUCUGCAUCAACUCCCCUGCGGAGAGCUUCCUAGCAUAAGUGCUAUCUCGUGGCAGCACUGAAUGCACCAAGAGCUCCUGAGCGACCAAAGGGUUCUUGCAGCGAUCGUUGAAAUUAAUCUCCCACUCUGGACACCAGUGUGAUCCGGGGUGUCUCUUGUCCUCCUCAGCUGCCUUGAAAGGCACAUGAUGGAGUUUGAACAAAGAUGACCCCGUGACGGGGUUCUCCGGAAAUAUGGUCACACCCUGACCCCGGGGGGGAGUGGCAAUCGUGACCCAGCGAGAAGGGAUUCCCACCGGAAUUGCCGAGGCUCGGGAACCUCCCGGAGUGGCCGAGGUGUGCGAGCCCUCGCCCACGAUCACCACGGCAGGCUCGCGGUCGCCCGACGCCGCGGUGGUUUUCUUAGCCGGCCUGGAAGAGGACCCUGCAGUGUCCUUGCGCUUUUUGGGAGCUCUUUUGACCACCUCGACAUCUCCCGAGGUUAUCAGGUCGAAAAUCUUCGUCACUGCAAAGUAGGAGACGAAGUCAGUUAGAAUUCAAGAGGGAUAAACUAAAAGGGAAGAAAUGGAAAAAUACAAAGUCUGUGAAGCCUAGUCGAGAGUAAGACAGGCUGGUCAGAGCUCGUCAAGGCUCAACUGAUCCCGCCUUCCACGAGCACCACUUCGGGAAAAUCCCAGCAGUUUAUCCUGAGGCCCGACCCCGUUAACUUCUGGAAGUUACGCUCUUCUAACUUCCCUGGAGAUAUCUCCUUGAUCGAGGUGGGAGGCCUCCACCAGAAUCCGCGAGGGAAGUCAUCGGCCGAGACGAAGAAGAAGUUUUGCUUCCACUCCUUUAUUGAGUUCGGAGCAUCAACCACCAACUUCGGAACUUUGUUUCCGAAGUAGAACCAUCCUUUUUCACUUCUGCUGUUCUUGAGUGAGUAACAGCGGCGAAAGAGGUUGACCUAAGGUUGUAUCUCCUGAUGUCGGCAAAGUAGCUGGAAGCCAACGAGAAUGCGAAUAGCGUUAGGGGUGAGUUGAGUGAUUCUCACCCCCCAGUACCUCAGGCAGUCCCGAAGAAACCUCGUCGUGGGCACUCUGAGUCCGGCCUCCAGCUGUUCCUGAUAGAUAGUCACCUUGCCCUUUGGUGGCAGUGCGGCUGACUGAUGCGGUUGGGGUAUGUAAAUACUAUAAUCCCUUCUCCAGGGAUACCUGCGGACCACCUCGGCUAUUGAGGCUUGUCCCAUACCACUACUGAAGAACGGCAUCUGGCCGUAGUCGAGAGUUGCCACGUUUGGAGGAGUGGAAGGUUCUUGUACUCCCUCGUCUCUAGGGAUCUCAAUCCCGAGGUCAUCGUUGUAUAGGACCUCGGGCUGGACCUCGAUCUCCUCGGGCUGCACCUCAACCGCCUCAGCUCGGCGUGAUGCCUCGGCACCUCCACCCUCAGCUUGGUGAGAUGCCUCAGCACCUCCGCCCUCGGACGCGGUCCUUUCCUGGGAGGGGUCAGGCCUCUCUGCCUCAGUGAGGUCAGGUCUCACUGUCUCUUUGUGCGUACGAGCUGUUCUAGCCAUUGUAUCAGAAGGGGAAGAAGUGAACUUACUUAGAAUCUGCGACUGGAAGAAGAUGCCGAAGUAGACGUGGUUUAGAAAGGUUGCCGAAGUGAAAAGAGAAAGAAACAGAGUUCUGGGGUGAUUCUUGAUUUUUGGUGAAGAGUAAAACGGUGAAAAAAGACCACUAUUUAUAGGCCACCAGGGUGAAACCCAAGAGACGGCACCCUCUCUCUUCAUUAAUGGGAGGACUGUUCGUCUGCCAACACAGCUGACAGCCGUCCCUUCAGUUAUCACUCAGUCCCAUCUAUGCGGUCAUGACGUGUCCGUGUUCCGUGUUUUAUACGCUUCUCAGCUUCGGGAAGUAACGACCACGGCGGAUGCCCAUCUCGCCCUUCUCAAAGCUUGGGGGGCUUAGUGAGGAGGGCCAUUUAGGCUCGGAGCGCCCGAGGCCUAGUUCCCCAUCAUUUCCUGAAGUGCCGCCUCGGGUAUUAUCCUGGAAGGCGAUCGCGGCCCAUUUACCACCUCGGCUACAAUGUCAAGUCGUAACACCGAGGUGGACAUUGAAUGACAACUACGAAAAGGGGAGAUGUGAUCUCUGACACCUGAGCAAAGGCUGCUCUGACCCGCCGCCUGAAUCUGACAGAAUGUCCCAUCACGUCUCUUCAUGGAGACCGGUCAAGUCCACCUGAUCCACUGACUAUCUCAGAUCUUUUGGGACCCGUGCAAACAUCUCCUCUCUCCUAUCGGUCCCCUAUAAAUACACAAUAUUUCUACUGAAAAAGGGGAUGACCAAUUUCUGGUAAAACACACUCCACUCAUUACUUACUUCUCUAUAUCCGAACUGACUUAAGUUUCGGAGUUAUACCGGGGGAUCCAGCCCCUUUUCUUAUUCAAGCAGGUGACUUCGUCCAAGAGAGUUGCCCAAGGUAAAGAUAUUCUUCGAAUUGAGGUGACUCACUCCUGCGGGUCGAAAAUCACCUCUUCAAAUGGUAGAAAGUUUUCUUAAGAACCAAGAACAGCAUUAGUAUUCCCUCUGCUUCCAAAAACUUGUGUAUUAAAUAGAUUAAUGAAUUGUUUAACAUGCUCAUCUACUUGAAAAUGCACAAUACCCAUAACCCACUGAAAUUUUUGCAGGAAAAGGGAAAGAGAAUCUGUGUUUGAGAGCUUCAUGAAGAUGUUGAAGAAUAAGAAUAAAAGCCCAAUGCGAGGAUGUUUUCAAGUUUUUCUAUGUCCACUUUAAUUUGUAAAUUGAAUUUUACAACUCAAUUAAUUCCUUGUUUGUGAGGUACGUAUUGUUUUACGUACCAUGCCGUACAUGUUUGUAAGGAUUUCUAUCCUAUUGGCAAAAGUCGGUUCCAUACAAUUAAUCAAUUCAUUUCACUUCUAUUGGCUCUACUAUUUAUGCAUGUUACGACACUCUUUCCCUUAUAUUUUGCCUUUAAUAUUAUGAGUCAAUAGUAAUAAUGGGCCUUUUUCUUAAAAUUAUACUAUUAUACAUAGGUAGUUUGGUCUAACGCUAAAUUCAUGUUUGUCUUUCUUUUAUUCCCUUUACAUCUCAAAGUAUACUAUAGUUUGUAAUCAUUGUGGUGAUGAUAUUACCAGCUGGUACUUAUAGUUUAAGGCAGAGACAUGAUAUUAACAACUAUCUCAUUGAAACAUAAGUCAAAAUCAUGACAAGUGUGAGUCUUGGUUAAUGCACAAUUUGUUAGUGGAAUUUAUAUUUAUAAAACUCAAAAAAAAUUUUUGACAAUGCUAUUACUAAUUAAUUAAGGACUUCAUUGCUAUAAUUUAUCGCUUACUAGUUUAAACUAUAAAUGAUCUCAAUACUUUUCUCCAUGAUGUCGAUUUCUUUAGACUACGAAAGGGAAAAAUUAGUGACAUAUCCCUUACUGAUUACAACAUCAGCAAAAAUUAGUUAUAAACUUUUCCGGUGGUUUUAAAUCCCUCGGGCACUAAGGUUUUUUGCACAUCGAGUGAAUUAAGGAACAUAGGCAAUUCGUUCUGCAUACCAAGUCCUUGUUUAAGAUGCACGUACUAAAAUGCAUCCACUUCAUUAAUUUGGAAAAUUGCCAUAGUUUUUUUUAAGCAUUUUGAUUUUUUACAUGAUUCAAAAUUUUCUUAUUGGAUACAAUCACUUUGUGUCAAGAACACAUUUUCAAUCAUCUUUUUUAUCUUCUCAAUAAGAAAAUAAAAAUUUAUUCAUGCUUUUCUAACAUAUCCAAUCAUUGAUCUGAAAAAUAAAGAAUUAAAAAAAAAAGACAUUUUCAAUCAUUGCUUACAGGGCAACUUCCCCAUGUGAACCUCUUCAAACAAAGCCAAUAAUAUGAAGGAACAUCUAAAUACACUUUUGCCCUAAAGGCUGGUUGCCUUGGGGUCAAAAUUUAACCUUCGGGAGUAUAAUUACCCGCCAAAUUUAUUAUUUUUUAUGGGUAUAUAGUUCCAAUUUUGCCUCCUGUUAAGCUUAUAAAUAUAUUACGACCCAGAAAAUAAAGGAAUCUUGAAUAGUAACAUGUCCAUUGACUUGAGUUGUCAUCAAUUUGGCUACUUCGAUUCCAUGAGGCCAAUCCAAUUCACACUAGCUAGAGAAAAUGGUGAUAAAGGCACUUAGAAAUUUAUAUGUAAUAUUGAUUGGUAGUAACUGAUAAGUAUAUAUUUUACGUGUUUUAAAUAUGUUUUAUUAGUUAGUUUUGGUGUGUUUUAACUACUUUUAUAACUAAUUAACUAGGAAUCUAGUGAAAAUAUGCAUUUUGUGGUUUGAAGUGUGAAAAUUGUAUUUCUAUGGAUUUUAAUGGUGAAAACUUCAUGUUUUUGUAGGUUUAAUGAUUCAAUCAUCAAAUGACAUGAUUUGAGAAGAUAAUUAGAUGAUUGAUGAUGUUUUGAAGUGAUAAAAAGAGAAUACAAAGUGCAAGAGAGGAAAUGCAAUCAAGAAUAAAAGAAGAAAAUUUUUGUAGCUUUGACAUAUUGUGGUAUUUUGGCAAUAUAUUGAGCUACAAUGAUUGGAUUAAGGUGAUUCUUAAACCAUUUGAAGCUAAGAUAUAGAUCUACAUUUGGUAUGAAGGCAUCGAAACCCAUGUCAGUCAUUUUCCUUGUCAAAAUGUUGAAAUACAGAAGUGCAACUCUGUUCUCGAAAGCUAAAACAGAGCUCUGGCUAGUCGAGGGUAUUUUCAUCAUUUCUUAGUCCACAGAGCUCCAAAUGAGAUGAUUCUUAAGGCAUUAGAACCCUAACUCAAAGAGCUACAACUUUCAUAUUUUGUACAAGAGUUAGUUCGGCCUCCAUCAUUCAGAAAAUAGUAGUUGAAGUGGUGCCAAAUGCAUAGAAGUGAAAACGCGAGCUAUCAAUACUCGACCUGAAGUCGCGUAUUCCUGAGGUCAUGCAUUCUCUUCUAUUUUCUGCAACUUGCCCUGCUUUCACAUAAUUUUUUCAUCUCAAUUCCAACUAUCAAUUUCGGCUAUAUCUGAUCAAGAAAAGUGUGGAAAGUUUGAAAGACAACUCAUAGGAGUUUCAAGAGUCAAAAAUUACAAUUAGAAACAACUCAUUUGGCUCUUGAAUCCUCUAUAAAUAGAGGCCUUUGAAGAACAUUUUCACAACUUUGGAAGGUUAGAGAAACUCCACAAAAACAUAGUCUUCACUAGAAUUUCCUUAGUUCAUUAGUUAGGGUAGUAUAGUAUAGUUAGUGUAGCUUUUCCUUCUUGUAUUUAUAGUUAGGUUUGAAUGAAGAUUCAGGAGCAAAGAUAGAGAGGUUGAUCUCAUGUGACAAGGGUGAUAUCUCUUCUACUACUUUCUCUUUUGUAUUUGAUUUCAUAUUUAACUAUACUACAAAUUUGGCUUUGUUUUUUUUUUUUAUCAUGUUUAGUUAAAGUUUAUGCCUAGAGUAUGGAUGACCUUUCUAUAUCUUGUUUGUGAUAUUUAACUGGUUAUUUGAUGAUGUUAUUUUUGAGCAAGUUAUUUAUCACUUUUGCUUUUCUAAUCGUGAUUAACUGGCCAUUAGUUGUGAUUAUCUAAAAGUGUUAAGUUUGUAAUGAGAAUUGGAGUUUAACACUAGUUCAAGGAAGUGAUAAAUUUAGGGAGUUCACUCAUGAGAGUAGAGGAACACCUUUGUGACCUAAGUGACUUGUUUCAUAUAAUUUCAUAGAAAAAAUGAACUUGUAAUUAAUUUCAUAACCACGAGAGUAAGUAUGGUUUAGCUAUAUGUAUAGUUGAUUCACUACGAGAGUAGGUUUCACAUACAUUAGAAAAUUACAUCAUAACUAGUCAAGAUAAUAUCAUUCAUUUAAUCAGUAAUCUCAUUUGCAUGAGUAGUAAGGCAUUCCAUAUCUCUAGGAGGUUUUUAGUAUUAUUUUCAUUACUUUUAUGUUUAUGGUAGUCUAGAUAAUAAUGGAGUUCAAAAACUACUAGUAAUUGAAAAUUUUCCCUGUGGGAUCGACCUUUAAUACCCUAUACUCGCUCUCGACUCGUAUACUUGCGAAAAAUCACGUGUGCGGUAUUUAGAAUUUAUAAAUGUAAAACUUGACUGUAGAUGAACUAAUUGAUAUAUGUAUACCCCGCACUCGUCAGUAACCAGCUUGUAUUGAUCCCAUUAUUGUGGAUAAUUGUGCUCUUAUGAAAAAAAAUUAUAAAAAAAUUAGCAAAAUUUAUGAUAACAAAUUAAAUUUAUUCAUACAAAUCAGUGAAAGAAGUAGAAUUUUAAAGACCAUGAUGAAAUUAAUACUUUCAAGGGCUCUAUUAGGAAGACUUCACUUGUUGGUGAAACUACACUAGCACAGUUAUAUGCACAUUUACUGUUUUGGUAUCUAAUUUCCUUGCCUUAAGUUGGGUGCAGAUGUUUAUAUUACAAAUAGAUGGUAUCAUAAAAUUGUUGUAUUCACGUUUGUUCUUUUUUUUUCUUCCUUAAGUUUUUUUCUUUAUUCUCGUGACUUCAAAAAUACGAACUCAAGAAAUUGGCUGCUUAAUCAAUAUGUCAUACAGGCUUCGCUAGUGAGGUAUAACUUCACAACUAGAGUCAAUAGAAAUUAUCAAAUGAUUUUUUAACAUCCAAAUUAAGCAAUAAAUUUUGUUUUCAUUUUAUGACAUAUAAUAGUACUACUUCAUGAGAGAUUUUAUAGUUUCUUUUAGGUAUCAUACCUACAAGUGAUAUUUGUCAUUGGAUAGUGACAGAAGUGUUAAUGAUUGUAAGAUUAAAUAUUGUUAAAUAUUGAAAUUUAAACUAUUUAUCUUUAUUGAAAGAUACAAGUUAAAGAAUCGUUCAAGGGGGCAAUUUUCCAUCUUGUCUUUUUGAAAAAACGCUAUCACAUUGUAUAGGCAUGAUAGGUUCAAAUUUGUCAUUAAAUUUAUGAUUGAUUUCCCUUUUAUUCAAGCCAAAUAUUGUUUUAAUUAUCAAAUUCUACUUAUAUUUGGUUAAUUGUACUAAUUGUAGGGCGGUAGAGCAAAAGUUGCUAAAAAUAGGUGAUUUUCUGCAAAUUGGUUGUCAAGGCUGAAGGAUUUGGGAUUCGCAUGUUCAAGGCCUGUUUCCAAGUUUGAUUCAAACUCUGGACAGUUUUAGAGGAAGAUUUGGAAGAUUUGAAAUUUCAUUAUUAGUUUUAUGGUUGAAUUAGGAAUCUUGGAAUAAUUUCUUUUGUGAUUUAUUUUUCUAUUUAGGAGACUAGUUGUUAUUUAGUAGUAGACUUCAAUUAGAAAACAAAGAGAAAAAGAAGGCCGGAAUCCCGCUUGAUUAAUACCUUGGCCAGGGAACAAUCUCGGUGGGGAGGACGGCCACUUAGCCUCUCAAUUCAUCUUGCUUUUCGUUAGUUUGAGAGGAAAACCAAUUGCAACUAGAUUCAAUGGAGUCUGGCAGAAUUUCUUCUAGGAUGCGUAGCUAAAUCCUCAAUUUUUAGUCGAAGGUCAAUUUGAAAAUUCGGUUCCAAAUAUCUGUGAAAUCGAAUUAUUUUACUUAUUUCUUUUAUUUAUUGGUAUUCGCACGUUUUCUGAUUUAACUUUUUAUGAUUGUUUUGUUAUUUGAAUGUCAAGGGUCCGAUAUUCGAAUUAACUUAAUAAUCUACUGCCAAAUUAACCGGUUAAAUCCGUAAUUGUUUGAUUGAUUAAUAUCAGUGGCGACUAGCGUGAUUGGUCCCAUGUUAGGAAAACGUCUGAUCUAAUUUAAACAAACCGUCGUAGCGUGUUUGUUGAUUAGGGUUGGACUUUUCUAAUUCUUAAUUCAAUUGAGAAAUUAAAUCUCCCGGUCGUACCUAAGAUUAUUUUUUUGUUAGCGAAAUAGUUAAUGGUCGUACCUUGACUAUCGAAAAAGUAAGGAAGAGUUGAUUGUUUAUCGCGUGUACGACAACUAUAAUCAAUCUAUUAAUGAGUAAUUGAAUUAUCUUUGCAUCAGUAAUCAGUUGAAUGGACCGUGUCUGAAAAGUUGUACCUUUGGCUAGAGUCUUAUCUGUUGUUGAUUCAUUCAUAUCUAUCUUCAUGCGUUGUUUUAAUUUAGUUAAUUAGUUAUUUUUAUAAAAACCCCUCAUCUCUGGACUCUAAAAGAAAUAAAUUAUUUCUAGUUCCUGUGGAUUCGAUCCUACUCACCGCUAUAUACAAAAUUUGUAUUUUUUUGAAUAAAUAAUUAUUAUUACACAGGCUUGACACCUGUCAAGGCAAAAUUUCCUUAACUUCAUCAUCUGUAGACGUAAACUUUCUACGGGUGAUAUAAUAUAAGGAAAUUUUGCCUAUACGAUGUGAUAGCAUUUUUUCAAAAAAGACAAGAUGGAAAAUUGCUCCCUUGAACGGAAAAAAUCAUGAUCUUUCCUCAAACUAGUCUACUAGUCAAUUCUUUACAAAAGAAUACUCGCUCCUAAACAUAGCCUGUUCAUCUACACUGUCCCGCAGAAUUCUAGAAAGUUAGGCAAAACUAGACAAGUUGACAGGUAUAAUCAUACCCAAGAUCAGGAACAAGCAGUUGCACAUUUCAAAAUUCGCUGCUGCAACAGCUAAUUUGAUGACUUACAACACUACACGGUCAAACUUUGAAUGGCAAUGGAUCUUUUGUUGUACGUCAUGAUGUAAUUUUCAUGUUACAUACAUUAAUAGGUUGAUAUCUAUAUUCUUUAAAUUAUCAUGAUAAUACCCUUAAUUAGAUUUAACUGAUAAAAAGAACACGUGUUAAUAUACAAAAGUGUGUAACGUGAAUGUUACAUUACUGUAUUGCAGAAGACCUAUAGUCUCUUCAUAUCUCUUCCUGCACGUAUCAAUUCGUUUCCUCUAGAUAAUAAUCUCCCAACUCGUUUCUUUACAAAUGCACCUUUUAUGUUUUAUUACCUCCAAAAGCCUUUACAGGGUCUUUACCCUAAAAAUCAAUUCACCGACUCGCAUUUGAUGUCAGAAAUUCUUAAGACGAAUUCUACUUUACUCAAAGAUUGACUGUUAAUAAUGAGACAGCGACCAUUUUGUAUUAUUAGACCGUCCUUCUUGAUAGGUAAAAGAAAUAGAGAGGAAAGUGGGUCCGUAUAUGGUCUUUUAUUCAUAGAUAAUACAACAUUACGCCAUCGAGCAUUCACACAAUAUUUCAAAGUCAUAGCAUGCCUAAGGCCCUGUUUGAUAGCUCAAUUUCGUAAUUAAAUUUAAUAGAUUCAAAUUUUAACACAUUUAAAUCAUUUGAUAACAAAAAAUUGAAUAUUUAAAUUAAUUAAGUAACACUGAACUUUCUAAACAAAACUUGCUUUCAAAAUUAAGUGAUAAGUUAUUCACUUAUCUUUGAAUGUGAUAUGCACUCAAAUAUAUUAAAUUUAAUAAUUUAAUGGAUUCAGAUUUCAGAUUUCAGUUUUAUUACACACCCUAAGUUGCAAAAUAAUACCAAAACUUGUUAUUAUAUAGCUUGAGAUUCAAAAAUUUAGAGCAUAAUUCUCAACCUAACACAAUCGAAUAAUGAAUAUUCACGAUUGUUUCAAAGUACAAUUUGAGGACAACCCAUUCCAACGCGUACACGAUUUUUAACUUUUCUAAAGUUGUUGAGAGCUGUUAAAAGAGAUUUACCAUGUUUACAUCUUCCAAGUCUUGGAAGUGAAAAAUGAAGCCACUGAGUGCUAUAAAAAGGGGGCUAGAGGCUGCCUAGAAGCAUAUCAGCCUAAAACAAGAAUUUGUAGUAACAAUGGGGAGCAAAGCAAAAGCAACGGGGUCUAGGCUGACUCCUCUUCUUACCACUGUUUUAGUGGUAUUUGUCGCCCUUGGCUUGCCCUUGGAAACUGCAGCUGAUUAUUACAAGUAUUCAUCUCCUCCUCCUCCUCCUUACCACUAUUCUUCACCACCACCUCCAGUGUAUUCACCUCCACCAACCCCUGCUUAUAAGUUACCCCCACCAUCUCCUCCAGUUUACAAGUCCUCACCACCACCUUACCACUACUCACCACCUCCGGUGUAUUUACCUCCACCAUCUCCAGUUUACAAGUCACCACCACUACCCCCUCCGGUAUACAACUCCCCGCCUCCACCAGUGUACAAAUACAAGUCCCCACCACCACCUCCUCCAGUUUACAAAUCUCCAUCGCCACCAGUUUACAAAUACAAGUCACUCCCACCACCUCCUCCGGUAUACAAGUCUCCUCCGCCACCUGUUUACGAGUACAAGUCUCCUCCACCACCUCCUCCAGUGUACAAGUCCCCACCACCUCCAGUUUACAAGUACAACUCACCUCCACCUCCUCCCCCAGUUUACCUGUCUCCACCUCCACCCUAUCAUCACUACUACGGUUCUCCUUCUCCUCACCACUACUAAGCAAGUGCAUAAGUUUUGAGGUAAUAAUACCUAUCCAAAACUUUAUCAACACAAACUGCCAUGUAUAUUAUCAUGCUAAGGACGUACACUUGAUCCAUGAAAAUGACUAGUAGAAGAUUUUUUUUAAGAACCAAAGAAAUACAUUAUUUUUUCGGUCUGUUUUCAAGAAUUUGAGCAGUAUACAGAUUAAAGAGUGUUUUUUUUUUUGUAAACUUGCUUGUCAACUUAAAAAUGCACAUAGCUGAAAGCCAACUGAAUAUUUGCAGGCAAAGGAGAAGGCAAUCGGUGUUUGAGACCUUCAAGAAGAUGUAGAAGAAUAAGAAUAAAAGCCCAAUGCGAGGAUGAUUCCAAGUUUCUACGUUACCAUUUCUACAUCUAAAUUGACUUUAGCUCCUGAGUUCCAUGUUUAUGGGGUUUGUACCGUUUUACGUACCAUGCAGUACAUGCUUGCAAGGUUUUCUGUCCUGUUGGCAAACUGCAGGUCCAUAUAAUAAAUGAAUACUAUUUACAUUACGACACUUUUCUCUUUUUCUCUUAUAUUUUGUCUUUAAUAUUGUUGAUCAUUUUUUUUUUAUCAAAAGCAUCAAAUGCUUAGGUAAUUUGGUCUAAUGCUAAUUGUUUUACUUUUAUUUUUCACCUACACCCCUUUUCAACUCAAAGGAUGCUAUAGUUUGUGAUAAUUGUUUAAGACCGAAGCAUGAUACUAAUAAAUAUCUCAUUGAAAGUCAAGGAAACUAACAUUAGGAAAAGUUUAAAUCUUGAUUUGAUGAAACUAUUUAUUCGUGGAAUUUAGAGAUACAAAACUCAAAUUGUGACGGUGUUGUUGCUAAAUUAUUAAGGACAUUAUCACCAUUAUUUUUCCCUGAUCACUAGUUUCAACUGCAAUGAUCUCAAUCUUUUUGUGACUAAUUCUUUCCUUAAUAAUUUAUAAAGACAAAACUCACAAAGAAUAUGUGACUAAUUCUUUCCUUUCGUCUUCUAAAGAAAAUGCCAACUGUUAGUUUAUCAAGGGGAAAAAGGAUCGACAUCAGUUAUUAUUGAAACUAGUAAGGAAUAAAUAAUGGUGAUAAUGUCCUUAAUAAUUUAACAACAGCACCAUCAGAAUUUGACUUUGAGCUUCGGUCUUAAACAAUGAUCACAAACUACAGCAUCCUUUGAGUUGAAAAAGGAAGUAGGUGAAAAGAAAAGUAAAAAAUACAAUUAGCAUUCCCUCAAAUUGUAGAAAGUUAGGUAGCAUUAUAGACAAGUUGAUAGCGGCAAUUUUACAUUUCAAACUUCACCUAUUCAAUAACUAAUUCGAUGGCUUGCUACAUGGUCAAUCUUUGGACCCCUUCCUGCCUCCAGAUAUCCCUUUCCUCAAUCAGGGGCUUCUACAAUUACCAGUUUCAAUUGUAUGGUAUAGUGUAAAUAUCAACAAAUUAGAUGUAGAUGCUAACAUAAUAAAUGUGAAUGCUAAGACAGCAACAUACAAUCGAACCUGCAAUUGUAUGAACCCCAAUCUCGCUUCCUAGUCCACCAUCUUUCUCUAGGUAAUAAUCUCCCUUCUAAUUUAUUCACAAAAUGCACCUUUCAUCACCUCCAAUAGCGUCGACAUGAUCUUUACCCUAGAAGACUAUUCACCGACUCUCAAUUGACGUCAGAAAAUCUAAGAGUAAUUCUACUUUACCCUAAGAUUGAUAUCAACAAGACAAGGACAAUUUAGAAUUAUUACACGCCUCUUCUUAAUAGGAAAAAGAAAUAGAGAAGAAAGUCAGGCCAGGUCUAAUUUCUUUUCAAAGGCAAUACAACAUUACGAAAUCAAGCAUUCAUUCAUACAAAUAUUUCAUAGUCACCGGUUUGCUGAGUAGAAAAAUUUAGACAAAAACUUAAUAUUAUAUUGUUUAAGAGUUAACAAUUUAGAGCUUAAUCUCCUUGUACUUUGGAGUUAACAAUUUAGAGCUUAAUCUCCUUGUACUUUGGACUAAACUUGAACGUGAAAGGAAAUCCCAAAACCAUAUUGGGCAUGAAUUCACACUUAAUAUACCCAAUAAAAGAUGGCGACUGGUGAAAGGCAGUGGAGACUGGUGGAGAGAUUUGAGGAAUAGAAGCAGACGGAAAAGCAACAAAUUUUUGCCGAAAAACGGUCACUUUCAUGGUUAAUUUUGCUACUCUCCAAUUGUACUUGACCAAUUACAACAAUUUCAUGGAGUUUGAUACGUGAAAAGAAUUUUUUAUAAAUUUUAUUUUGAUCCAUAAUGUUAUCUUUACAUAUAUAAAACAUUUUACAAUUUUGAUUUUGGCGCAGCUAACUUUUGGUUAACAAAAAUGCUCAUGUUUAAAAAACCAGAAAUAAAACAAAACAAGAAACAAAAGAAAUAAGAGGGUAGCAUAGACAUUUUGGAUUUUUCCGUUAAUUUGGAUGAUUUCCACCCACGUUCUAAUUUAAUCCAAAACACAAAGGAAUUACGUAGAGGUUUUAAAUAAUGAGGGAGCUUCAUGAUCGAACCCCAAACCACAAGGCGAUUUACUAUAUUUUACUCUUAAAUUUUGGUUUCAUCUCAUAGCAUACAAGAGUUCUAUUUCACUAUCUGUAGACAAAGACUUUCUAUGGUUGAUGUACCAUAGGAAAAAAUCUGCCUAUACAACGUGAUAGCAUUUUUUCAAAAACACAAGAUGGAAAAUUGCCCCUUAAACGGGGAAAUUCAUGAUCUUUCGUCGAACAAAGAAUACUCACGCCUAUUCAAGAUGGAAAAUUGCCCCCUUAAACGUCUAUUUGUCAAUUCUUGAAAAAAGAAUACUCACGCCUAAAACACGGCCUCUUCAUCUGCAGAAUUCUAAAAAGUUAGGUAAACUCUAUAAACAAGUUGAUAGGUACAAUCGUACCCAAGAUCAAGUACAGAUAGUUGUACAUUAACUGCUGCAAUAACUAAUCUGAUGACUUAUAAACAUAUCAUGGUCAAUCGUUGAAUGGUAAUGAGUCUUUUGUUAUGCAUUAGUAUUAGUGUGUACACUCUAAUAGAUUGAUACUUAUACUCUUUAAAUUAUCAUAAUAAUACCCUUAAUUAACUUUAACUCUUAAAAAGAAUACAUGUUAAUACACGAGUGUGUGUAACCUGAAUUGUUACUUAUAAAUUAGUGUGUAAUAGAUAGGGAUGGCAAUGGGGGCGGGUGCCCGCGGGGGGCUCUCGGGGCGGGGGUUGGGGCGGGGGGGAAUUUUUUCCCCCCGUUUAGAAAUGGGGCAGGGGACGGGGGAGUAUACCCCCGCCCCAUCCCCCGCAAAAAAAAAAUUAUAUAUAAUAUGUAAUUUAAUUAGUUAUAAACUUAUGAUAAUGAUAUUAUUAGUUAGAUGUAUUAUAUAAUGUAUAUUAGUGUAUGUAAUAUAAUUAAUAUUAUCAAUUAUAUGAAUAAUUAGACAUGUCUACUAAUAGAAUUUAUGAAUUAGUUAUACUAAAUUUACUAAUACAUUUAUACUAAAUUUCUAAUUACACUUAAUAGAAUAACACUUUUUUCUAAAACAAAAAAGCACAAACACAAUAAUGAAUUAGUGAUUGUAUGAUAGGGUGUAAUUUUACUAUUUAUUUUAUUAUUAAUUUCCCCUAUCACCUGACCUGAUGUGGAUUAAUUGCUGGAUUCUGCUCACUUUUAGUACUUUGUAUUUAUUUCAGGGAGUAGAACGGAAAUUUGAUAACAGGUGCUAAUUUGGCAGAAAAAGAGUCCAGAUGAUAGAGCUUGCCCCAAGGGCAUUUUUGGAAAGGAGAACUUGUGCCCAUCUUGGUAAUUUGGGAGAAAAGGGAAACAGACAAAAUGGGUCUAACAUGGAUUGGAAGCGGCCGCACAGUAGCAGGGAAGAGGGCAGACGUAAAAGCAAUUGCAGGGGGGAAAAGGAGUUUUUUUAGUUUUUAGCUUAGCAUCUGAUUUUCCCUGGGAGACUUUUGUUAAAGAUUUCCUUUUGGCUGAUAUUACGCAUGGCAGAUGGCUUUUAACUUAUUCCUCCAUCUUUGACUUUUCUUCUUUAGCUUGUGGCAGUGGAUUGCUACUUACGAAUGUCAGCACUUAGCCAUUCGUGGCUUUUGAUCUUUUCUUCCUUAGAAAUUCUGAGUAACCUCUUUUCCUUUGUGCGCCAGACGAAGUGAAAACUAUAAACUUUUGUAGUUUUUCUAUUCAUUCAAUAUAUUGAGACGAGUUGGAUUCUACCAAAUUUCAACGGACAUGGCCGCUGGUUUCUCUUCAAUUUUAUAUGGGCUUUGUUCAUCCAACAUGAACUAAUUUCACCACUCUAGUCAAGGAGCAACGAAGGCUCUGAUUUGCCUAAAAAUUGUGAGAUCGUUUUAAUUUAAUCUUUUCCUUUUAUUUAUUGGUAUCCGCACAUUUCUUGAUUGCUAUGCUUAUGGUUAUUUAAUUAAUUGAUUGUCUUGGAUCCAGAUAAUUAAUUGAUCUGAUAGCCUAUUGUCAAUUAGGGCAUUUAAAUCCGUAAUUGUUUAAUUGUCCUGAAAUAGUGACAACUGGCACGAUUAGAUUCGUGCCAGGGGGGAUAUGCGGGCUAAUCUAAAAUAACCCUGGUAGUGUGUUAUUUGGUUAGAAUAGGGCUCCUCUAAUACUAAGGCAAUUGGGGAAUUAAAUUCUACGGGCGUACCUAGGAUUAUUUCUUAAUUAGAGCAGUGAUUAACGGGCGUACCUUGAUCACCGACACAGUAAGGAGGGGUUGACCGUCAUCGCUUGUUUGGCAGUUAUAACCUAUUUAUCAGUAAAUAAUUGGGAUUGCCUUGCAUCAAUGAUCAAUUAGGUGAACCAUUGUUGAAGUUACUUCUUGGUUAGAUCUUUAGUUAAUAUUACCUUGAUUUUGGUGAAUUGCCAUUUGAUUUUUAGUUGCCUACUUUAUUUUAUUUUUAAUUGUUUCCUUGCUUUAAUUGAGUUAGGCCUUUAAUUAUUGUUAUUCUAAGUUUAGUGAAUUGUGGUUUAAUUCCUAAUUAGUUAUUUAUUUUUACUUUCUUAUUUGAAUUUAUUUGCUUGUUAUCAUUCCUACGAAAUCACCCCCCUGUGUUACUUUGGAUUUCUUAAGAAACAAAUAUACCCAAUCCCUGUGGAUACGACCCUACUUGCUCUGUUCACGAAUUCAUAAUUAUUUGUGAAAAGAAAUAACCAUUCCACUCGGGUAUAUCGGAUCAAGCAAAUUCUUCGGGAACAGGGUGAAUCAAGUAACCCAAUGCACACCUAGAGUCCCUGCUCCAGUACUUGGAAUUGGGUUUUGGUCAUUUUAACUGGCAAUUAGGUUUAAUUUUAUUAUUGCACAGGCUGACGACCCUGUCAAUUUUUGGCGCCGUUGCCGGGGACUGGCGUUAUUAUUUGUUUCUUUUUAAAUUCAUUCUUUGUCCUAAUUUUCUGGUUUUCUUCUAGUGUAUGCCUCGAUCUUCUCGUACAGGUAAUUUGAUUUUUGACCCUGAGGUAGAGAAGACCGCAUGUAGAACGAGAAAGGAAACCAGACAGCUCAGAGAAGAGCACUCCAGUGCUACAUCUCAGAGACCCGAGUCAGAAGUUGAACUAACAGAUUCGUUUGGUAACACUUCGAGUGACUCUGACCAGGAGGAAGACACCAUGGCUAAUGCACGAACAUUAAGGGAGUUGGCUGCUCCUGAUUUAACUCAGCAGCCUUUAUGCAUUACUUUCCCCACUUUAAAUGAUAACAUUCCAUUUGAACUAAAAUCUGGUCUGAUUCAGCUUUUACCCUCUUUUCAUGGUUUACCAGGUGAAGAGCCGUAUAAGCAUCUGCAGGAGUUUGAUGUCGUGUGUAAUAGUAUGAAACCCUCGGGAAUCACAGAAGAGCAGAUAAAAAUGAGGGCAUUCCUCUUCUCCUUGAAAGAUUCUGCGAAGGACUGGCUGUACUACCUGUCACCAGGUAGCAUCACCACGUGGGACCAAUUGAAGAAAAAAUUUUUGGAUAAAUAUUUUCCUGCGUCCAGGGCUGCAAGUCUAAGGAAAGAAAUUUGUGGGAUCAAGCAGCAUCCAGGGAAGUCACUUUAUGAGUAUUGGGAACGGUAUAAGAACUUGUUGCGCAGGUGCCCCCAACACCAAAUAAGUGAGCAAUUGAUCAUACAGUAUUUUUAUGAGGGGCUCCUUUUUAGAGACAGGAGCAUCAUUGAUGCCAGGGGGGAGGGUUGGGAUGGGUGGUACGGGGGGAGGGAGUGUAAGCAAGAGGUCUCGGGUUCGAGUCCUCCCGCUUACACACAAAAAAAAAGAUGCUGCAAGUGGAGGGGCACUGGUAAACAAAACCCCUCAGGAAGCACGGGAGUUAAUAGAGGGGAUGGCAGAGAAUUCACAACAAUUCAGUACAAGAGAGGAUGUCCCAAUACGUAAGGUGAAUGAGGUAGAGACACCCUCUAUGCAGCAGCAGCUAACUGAGUUGACCGCGUUUGUUAGGCAACUGGCUGUGAGAAAUGCAUCACAAGCCAGGGUGUGCGGGAUUUGCACUGGUAUGGGUCAUUCUGCAGACAUGUGCCCAAUGAUUCAGGAAGAAACUGCAGAACAGGUGAACAUGGCUGACCACGCGCCCGCGCCAAGGAAGCAGUACGACCCUUACUCAAGCACCUACAACCCCGGGUGGAGAGAUCAUCCCAACCUCAGUUAUGGAGAAAAUAGGCAGCCCAACAUUACACCGAACAGGCAGUCUAACUUUGUGCCAAAUAGGCCACCAGGGUACCAGCAGCAAUAUCAACCCCGACCACCUCCGUCCCCAAGCUCUGGCCCAUCUUUGGAGGAGAUGAUGAAACAAAUGAUGACAACUAUGGCUCAAAAUCAGCAAAUGACGGAGGCAACCAUUAUGCAAAAUCAGCAAAGGACGGACUCCGAAAUGAAGGAUAUAAGGAAUCAGAUAAGUCAAAUGGUCACAACAAUCAACCGUUUGGAUUCCCAGAACCAAGGUAAAUUGCCAUUUCAGCCCGAAUUAAAUUCGAAGAACGUGAGCGCAAUGACCCUAAGGAGCGGGAAAGAAAUUCAGGGGUCUGAACCUGUGAUCCCUAAGGAUAAGGAUGAGGAAAAGAUCGAAAAUGAGCUUGAAAGGGAGGACAGCAAUGGUGCAGAUCUAAAGGUACUUCCUGACCCAAUAAUUACAGCUAAAACUAACCCGCCUCCUUUUCCUAGCAGGUUGGAAAAAUCGAAAAAAGAGGAUAAGGAGAAGGAGAUCUUGGAGGUUUUUCGCAAGGUUGAGAUAAAUAUCCCCCUCUUAGACGCAAUCAGACAAGUACCAAAAUAUGCCAAGUUCCUAAGGGACUUGUGUGUCAACCGAAGGCAGUUGAGGGAAGAUGAACGGGUUAUUGUUGGGGAGAAUGUGUCAGCAGUCCUGCAGAGAAAGCUCCCACCAAAGUGCGGGGACCCAGGUAUGUUUACUAUUCCCUGUAGGAUAGGUAAUACUGUGAUAGAAGGGCCAUGUUGGAUCUGGGAGCAUCAAUUAAUCUCAUACCUAAAUCUAUCUAUGCUUCUCUAAAAUUAGGUCCAUUAAAAGAAACUGGAAUAAUCAUUCAAUUAGUUGACCGAACUAAUGCAUAUCCUGAUGGGUUGGUUGAAGAUGUGUUGGUAAAAGUUAAUGAUUUGAUGUUUCCAGCUGAUUUUUAUGUACUUGAUAUGGAUGAUGAUCACUCCCCUGAUCCCUCACCUCUGUUAUUGGGUAGACCCUUUAUGAGCACAGCACAGACGAAAAUUGAUGUUAAUAAGGGUAUCUUGUUCAUGGAGUUUGAUGGGAAAAUUGUGCAUUUCAAUAUCUUUGAUACUAUGAAAUAUCCCUCAAACUCCAACUUUAGCACAGUUUUCUCUGUGAGUGCUAUUGACCCUGUAGUGCAGGAAGUGUUUGAAACUGAUGGCAGGGAUGAGUUGGAGGUGGCUUUGACCAAGCACCUCGAGUUGGAGACAACUCCUGAGGUGGAAUGGAGCGAGGACCUAAAAUGCACAAUAGGUGCAUUACACUCAUUGCAGUCCACCACGAAAAGGUAUGAAGUCUUACCUAUUUUUACUCCCGAACCUCACCAGAGGGUGUUGCCAUCUGUGGUGCAGGCACCUGUACUAGAAUUUAAACCUCUAUCAGAGCACCUGAAAUAUGCAUAUCUGGGUGAUAAUGAGACACUCCCGGUGAUUAUCUCAUCGACACUGUCAAAAAUCCAGGAGGAGAAACUGAUCCGGGUCCUUAGAGAGCAUAAAGAGGCGAUAGGUUGGACAAUCGCAGAUAUUAAGGGGAUCAGCUCGGCCAUCUGUAUGCACCGGAUUAGACUAGAAGAGGAUGCCAAACCUGUUAGGCAGGCUCAAAGGAGGCUCAACCCCCUAAUGAUGGAAGUUGUAAAGAAAGAAAUUUUAAAAUUGCUAGAUGUGGGGAUUAUUUUUGCAAUAUCAGAUAGCCCUUGGGUAAGCCCGAUCCAGGUAGUCCCAAAGAAGGCAGGGGUGACGGUGGAGGCAAACCAAACGGGUGAGCUCGUGCCAGUGCGCAAACCCACUGGAUGGAGGCAGUGUAUAGACUACCGUAGGCUAAACGCCGUCACCAAAAAGGACCAUUUCCCUCUCCCUUUCAUUGACCAAAUGGUUGAACGUUUAGCUUGUAGAGCUUAUUAUUGCUUUUUGGAUGGAUUUUCAGGAUACUUUCAGAUAGCAAUUGCUCCAGAGGAUCAAGAGAAGACAACCUUCACGUGCCCGUUCGGGACCUUUGCUUAUAGACGAAUGCCAUUUGCGUUGUGCAAUGCACCUGCAACAUUCCAGAGGUGUAUGGUAAGUAUUUUUUCUGAAUAUGUGGAGAAAAUUAUUGAAGUUUUCAUGGACGAUUUCAGUGUGUAUGGUGAUAGUUUUGAUACGUGUUUAGAUAAUCUGAAAUUGAUCCUGAUAAGGUGUAUAGAGACUAAUCUUGUGCUUAAUUGGGAAAAAUGUCAUUUUAUGGUUGAGCACGGGAUAGUCCUGGGUCAUAUUGUAUCGUCUAAGGGCAUAGAAGUUGACAAGGCUAAAAUAGAUAUUAUUUUUGCAUUACCUUACCUCGCGAGUGUGCGGAAGGUGCGUUCUUUUCUUGGACAUGCAGGUUUUUAUCGAAUGUUCAUCAAGGAUUUUUCAAAAAUUGGAGCCCCGUUAUUCCAACUCCUACAAAAGGAUGUGACCUUCGAAUUCGAUGAUAAGUGUGAGGAAGCCUUCAACAAGUUGAAAGAAUUGUUGACCUCACCCCCAAUUAUCCAGCCCCCUGAUUGGAGUCUACCAUUUGAGAUCAUGUGCGAUGCCAGUGAUCAUGCCGUAGGGGCUGUAUUGGGGCAAAGAGUAGGGAAGGCAGCUCACGUCAUCUACUAUGCAUCCCGAGCAUUGAAUGGAGCCCAAUUGAAUUACUCCACUACUGAAAAGAAGCUUCUUGCAGUUAUUUUUGCUUUAGAAAAAUUCAGGUCAUAUUUGCUAGGUGCUAAAGUAAUUGUAUUUUCUGACCAUGCAGCAUUAAGGUACCUAAUGACCAAGAAAGAUGCCAAACUGAGGCUCAUUAGGUGGAUAUUGCUACUGCAGGAAUUUGACCUGGAGAUACGGGAUAAAAGGGGCUCAGAGAAUUUAGUAGCUGACCAUCUGAGUCGUAUACCCGUUGGAGAGGAUAAUGAACCAUUGAGGGAUGCGUUCCCUGAAGAGCACUUAUUUUCUUUAAAUUCUCAGUUGCCUUUGUAUGCCGAUCUGGUCAAUUAUUUGGUAACUGGUAAUUUUCCUGCAGGUUGACCAAAAUCGAAGAGGGAUAAAUUGAAGAGCGACGCCAAGUAUUUUAUUUGGGACGACCCGUACCUAUGGAAGAGGUGUGCAGAUCAAGUGAUGCGGAGAUGUGUAAGUGAAAUGGAAUUUCAAUCGAUUUUAGCUUUUUGUCAUACUUUUGCCUGUGGAGGUCAUUUGGACCCAAGAGAACUGCUCAUAAGGUUUUAGAAAGUGGAUUUUAUUGGCCUUCAUUGUUUAAGGAUGCCUAUGUGUUUUGUAAGUCAUGUGAUCGCUGUCAAAGGGUAGGUAAUAUACCCCGUAGAGAUCAAAUGCCCCAAGUCCCGUUGAUUUUUAUUGAAAUUUUUGAUGUCUGGGGUAUAGAUUUCAUGGGGUCUUUUCCUACUUCAUUUGGUUUUUUAUAUAUUUUGCUGGCAGUUGAUUAUGUGUCUAAAUGGGUGGAGGCUAAGGCCACUCGAACUAAUGACUCGAAAGUAGUUGCAAAUUUUGUCAGGUCUAAUAUUUUUGUGCGAUUUGGAAUGCCUAGUGCUAUUGUCAGUGAUAGGGGAACGCACUUUUGCAACAAAAUCAUAGCUGCGUUGUUUCGCAAGUAUGGUGUACUCCAAUGGGUCUCAACGUCGUACCACCCUCAGACCAAUGGUCAAGCGGAGGUGUCGAAUCGAGAGAUCAAGUCUAUCUUGGAGAAAAUGGUGCGCCCCGAUAGGAAAGACUCGAGUCAAAGGCUGGAGGACGCACUUUGGGCCUAUCGGACGGCGUACAAGACUCCUAUAGGGAUGUCACCGUACAGGUUGGUAUUUGGGAAGCCGUGUCACCUUCCAGUGGAGUUUGAGCACAAAGCUUUUUGGGCGAUAAAGUAAUGCAACAUGAAUUUAGAGGAAGCCGGUGCCCAACGAAAGUUGGAUUUGCAAGAAUUAGAAGAGAUCCGGAACGAGGCUUACGAAAAUGCACUAAUUUAUAAGGAGAGAAGCCGGAUAUUUCAUGAUCAACAAAUUUCAAGAAAAUCCUUUGAAGUUGGUCAGAAGGUCCUACUAUACCAAUCCAGGCUCAAGCUAUUCCCAGGUAAACUACGUUCCCGUUGGAUUGGACCUUUUCUUGUUACUCAUGUUUUUCCAUAUGGUGCAGUUGAAAUCCGGAGCGCUAAAACAGACAACAAAUUUGUGGUGAAUGGACACCGUCUCAAGCAUUACUACGAAGGAUUUUCAGGUGAAAAGGUGGAGACAAUAAGUCUAGACGCGCCACCGUGUCCUAAUCAGUGACAUUUUACUAUGUCUAGCCAAAGACAUUAAAGACAGGCGCUCAUUGGGAGGCAACCCAAUUGUCCCUUUUAAUUAUUUGUUUGAUUUCGUGUGAUAGUUUAAAUAUGUUUUCCUUGAAUUCGACUGAUUUUGGGUUUCAGUUUUCGUUUUUGCUGAAUUGUAGGUGACCUUCAGUCUUGACGCGCCCGCGUGAUGACAUGCAGGAAGCUCACGAUCAGAAUCGUCUGAAAGCUCUCUUGCCCUUUUGACGCACCCGCGUGAUGACGUGCAGGAAGCUCACGAUCAGAAUCGUCUGAAAGCUCUCUUGCCCUCUUGACGUGCCCGCGUCACGUUCGCAGGAAAGGUACGGGUUUCAAAAAUUUAAAGAAAAAAUAAUAAUAAUAAUAAUUUAAAAUUUUGAAAUUAACUUCCGUAAAAAAAAAAAAGAAGAAAAAAAAUUUCACCGUGGCUUAAAUAGAGCCUAAAGAAGAGAAAAAAGAAACAAUUUCUUUCUUUUUUUUUUCUUUUUCUUCUUUCUUCCUUCUUUCUUUCUUUCUUCUUUCUCUUUUCCCUCUCUCUUCUCCCCUGUUUCUUCUCCCCUGUCCGUCGCCCGUGCGCCCCAUCGCUGCUCCACCUCCACACGCACGCCGACGCUGCGAGCCACCUGCGACCCCAGCGCCAGAUCUGGACCAUCGCCGAAACCCGCAGCCUCCGCCACCUCCACCUGAGCUCUGCCUCGCGCGCAACCCAGCUGCUCUGCGCCCGAAGCUCCACCGCCGCCACAGCCUCCCCACGCAGCUCCCUGCUCACGCGGCCACAAGCCCAUUGGAAACGGGACAGAGACUGCCGCCGAGCCACUUGCCCGCGUGACCGCCGCUGUUUUCCACCACCUCCCUCACGCGAGCUCUUUCCCUCUCAGCAGCAAUCCACUUCACAGCGCACCCGCUGCGCGCCGUCGCAGCCCUCGCAGCUCCAGCCCGUCUGGUCUAGUCCGCCGCGCGCACCAACCACCCACGGACGCUACCCCCAUCGCUAACCCACGCGGCCUCCACUCCAGUCUGUCCGCCGCCGCUGCUCGUGUCUCCCUUGCGCACCUCACGCCACCCGCUACUGUCCCCUUCCGUUUGGUUAGCAUCCACGGUGGAGGUAAUUGGAGGUUAUUUUCUCAAUUGUGUGACUUCCGCCUGUGAUACUGGUUGCAUUAUUUUUGCUGGGAAUUGCUACUUCUUUUGGGUUGGGUUCAACUGUGCAAUUAAUUGGCCAACUGGAGCCAUUUGUUGGGAUUUUGGGUGAGCUGAAAUACUGCAUUUGUGUGUUACAUUGGGAGGUUUAUUGGGUACAUUCUAACCGCUGUUUUCCAUUGUUACUCUCGCUGGGGUGUCUAUUAAAUUGCGAUUGAAGUAUUUUGGAUAUUGCAUGUUGAGAUUGAGGUUUCAUUGAAUUUGGCCUACGUUCUGCCCCCAGUGGUACUGGUGGGAAUAUUUUCAAUUGAAUUUGUUACCUCUAGUUGGUUGGCUACAUUAUUAUGGUCGAAUUCCUAAGUUGUCGUCAUUGCAUUUGUUGAUCUUGAUUUGGGGCAUUAACCGGCCAACUGGAGCCAUCUGUGCGUUUUUAGGCGCUAUUAUUGGUUUCUUCUCCCUUAACUUUGUCAACUAUAUUUGGUUGGGUAUUUGGUUGACUGCCACGGACUUGUAACUGUGUUUUGCUUCUAAUUGACCAGUUGCACAGCAGUUUUUUUUUAAUUGAUAGGGUGGUUAUACCUCUGGAUAUUUGUAUCCACUGGUUUGAGGACAUGGUGAGACCAAAAUCCUCCUCUAGGUCUAGGACCCCUAGAACCUCGCAAUCCCAACCCCAAGCCUCUACUCUAGUCAAUACCCCUAUAAAUCAACCUACUGCUCCCGGUGUCCGAACCUGGUUAGGUAGGGGUAGAGGUGCCCACGUGGCUUCCGCCACUCACUUGGGAGGGCAUUUGGAAUUCACUAGAGCCGCCGAUCAGCGACGCUAUGCUCAAGCUUGUGAGCGGCGUAUCAUUCCGUGCAAAUGCGCGGACCACAUUACUAUGGUUUUUCUGGGGAUCCAAGGGGAGGUUGAGCGCAUGUACACCGCCAUUGGAUGGCGCCCCUAUCUGGAUAUUUUCCAGCCAGCCUUUGUCGAGUUGACUAGAGAGUUUUACACCACUUUUAAGUUUGAAUUACCGACUAGGUAUACUGUUGCGACUCCCGAUAUCAUUCACUUCCGUCUCAUGGGCCAGGAAUUCAAUUUCUCUAUCACCCAGUUCAAUCUGGCUUUCGGUUUCAUCACUCGGGAGUAUGCAGAGACUAGGGAAUACGGUGAGAGUGCCUGCGAUUUUGUGGAACCUUUCCUUACCGCCUACCGUGAGGUGUGGGAGGACAUGUCUGUGGACAUGCAGCGUUACGAUCCCUCUCGGUCUCGGAGCUCCUUUCUAGAGGACCCGAGUGCUCGGUAUGUUCAGCGGCUUUUAGCAUAUAGCUACUCGGGCAGAAAGAACAGCUUCGGUAUUAUCUCUCGGCCGGAGCUCUUCUUCCUUUGGUGUAUGAAGAAUGGGUUCAAGGUCAAUUUGGGUUGUUGGUUGGCGGCACAGUUCAAGACCGUCAUGGCAAAGAAGAACAAGCCGUUGAUUCUUGGGUCGUAUAUCACGUACUUGGCGGUCCAGCUAGGCGUUCUGAAUCUACAGGAUCACGAUUUGCACUUGGCCUGCGACAUGGAGUAUCUCACUGCUGACCGGCUAGAGAAGAUGGGGGUUCUGGAGCUUGUCGAUGGCCACUACCGAUUUGUGCCCCCGGGACCGCCCCGCGCCCCGCCUCGCUCUUCCUCCACCCAUUCGGCCCCAGUUGGCGGUGAUCCUGGCCCGUCGACAUCCGCUCAGCUCCCUCCACCAGCAGGGGCUGAAGAUUGGCACCAAAUCAGGACGCAGAUUCAGAAUUUGGACGCCCGGAUGAUUAGCAUCGAGAGCAACGUGGCGGCUAUAUCACAGAAUCUGGCGGCAUUCCUGCAGCACUCGGGUUUCCCGCCCCCAAUCCCACCUCACCCUCCACUAUGACCCGGUUUCAGGGAAGUUUGGUUACUUUCUCCCUCACUUUUGUUGUUUUUUGACACAUUGAGGACAAUGUGUCCUAUAGGUGUGGGGGGGUCUAUAGUCUUUCUAGUUUUUAGUAGUUGUUAGUUUUUAGUUUUUUAGUAGUUUUAGUUUUAUUUCUAGUUGCGUAUUUUCUUUCUUUUCUUAGUGCUUAUUCCCCAUGUGAAAAGAAAAAGAAAACAAAAAAAAAGAGAAAAAAAUGUUGGUUUAUUGACUCUAACUCUACUUUUGCCAAGUUUUUUUUAAAUAAAAAUGUAUCGGGUUAAUGUGGUUGGAUCCAGAAUAUCUCCCUGGUGAAUAUCGGAUUGCUUGGCUCUUUUGAUUUCUGUGUUAAUUUCUCUAGGCAUAGGGAAUGACUGUUGGCAUUUUAAUGUGAACUGGUCCAAUAUUGACUCCAGUUCUCUAUGUUUGGCAAUAAUGAGGCGAGCUGUUCCUAUUUUUGGUUCUUAGUGUUGUUAUUAUGUGUUUUUGGCUUUGUUUGGCUGUGAAUAAUCUGGACUGUACUCCGCUAUGAGUUACUACUGAGUAACCGAGGAUCGGCACCUAAAAGUGUCGAUUCUCGCGUCAAAAGGUGGUACUUUAUAUGAGUACGUGGUCGUAUAGCAGUAGGAGCUGAGUAACCGGGCUCCUUCAUCUAAAAAUGUUGGAGUUCGCGUCAAAAGGCCCCGACGGCUAACGACUAAGUCUUUUUGUGUUAAUUAUUAUUGCUUUGAAAAACAAAAAAAAAAAAGAACGAAAAAAGAGAGAAUAAAUAAUAGGAAGGCUUGCCGGUUUAUGGACUUAAUAUGGAGACUUGUGUGAAUAUUUGGACCAUUAGCUAAUAAAUGUUGUGCGCCAUUCCCUUUUCUUAGAGUAGUUAACCUGGAAAUUGAAGGAAUUUGCAGUUUAGGGGCUAACCGGGGGGGAGGCUUCUUGGAUUUUAAUCACCAAUGCUCGAUAUAUGUUUUUCUCUUGAAGAUCUUGGCAAUAUAGGAGAUUGGACAAUGGCCAUCAUCGAAUUUUGGUGUUCGUUUACUAUUCUUAUGCUUGAGGACAAGCAUGGUUUAGGUGUAGGGGGAAUUGAUAGGGUGUAAUUUUACUAUUUAUUUUAUUAUUAAUUUCUCCUAUCACCUGACCUGAUGUGGAUUAAUUGCUGGAUUCUGCUCACUUUUAGUACUUUGUAUUUAUUUCAGGGAGUAGAACGGAAAUUUGAUAACAGGUGCUAAUUUGGCAGAAAAAAGUCCAGAUGAUAGAGCUUGCCCCAAGGGCAUUUUUGGAAAGGAGAACUUGUGCCCAUCUUGGUAAUUUGGGAGAAAAGGGAAACAGACAAAAUGGGUCUAACAUGGAUUGGAAGCGGCCGCACAGUAGCAGGGAAGAGGGCAGACGUAAAAGCAAUUGCAGGGGGGAAAAGGAGUUUUUUUAGUUUUUAGCUUAGCAUCUGAUUUUCCCUGGGAGACUUUUGUUAAAGAUUUCCUUUUGGCUGAUAUUACGCAUGGCAGAUGGCUUUUAACUUAUUCCUCCAUCUUUGACUUUUCUUCUUUAGCUUGUAGUAGUGGAUUGCUACUUACGAAUGUCAGCACUUAGCCAUUCGUGGCUUUUGAUCUUUUCUUCCUUAGAAAUUCUGAGUAGCCUCUUUUCCUUUGUGCGCCAGACGAAGUGAAAACUAUAAACUUUUGUAGUGUUUCUAUUCAUUCAAUAUAUUGAGACGAGUUGGAUUCUACCAAAUUUCAAUGGACAUGGCCGCUGGUUUCUCUUCAAUUUUAUAUGGGCUUUGUUCAUCGAACAUGAACUAAUUUCACCACUCUAGUCAAGGAACAACGAAGACUCUGGUUCGCCUAAAAAUUGUGAGAUCGUUUUAAUUUAAUCUUUUCCUUUUAUUUAUUGGUAUCCGCACAUUUCUUGAUUGCUAUGCUUAUGGUUAUUUAAUUAAUUGAUUGUCUUGGAUCCAGAUAAUUAAUUGAUCUGAUAGCCUAUUGUCAAUUAGGGCAUUUAAAUCCGUAAUUGUUUAAUUGUCCUGAAAUAGUGACAACUGGCACGAUUAGAUUCGUGCCAGGGGGGAUAUGCGGGCUAAUCUAAAAUAACCCUGGUAGUGUGUUAUUUGGUUAGAAUAGGGCUCCUCUAAUAUGUAAGGCAAUUGGGGAAUUAAAUUCUACGGGCGUACCUAGAAUUAUUUCUUAAUUAGAGUAGUGAUUAACGGGCGUACCUUGAUCACCGACACAGUAAGGAGGGGUUGACUGCCAUCGCUUGUUUGGCAGUUAUAACAUAUUUAUCAGUAAAUAAUUGGGAUUGCCUUGCAUCAAUGAUCAAUUAGAUGAACUAUUGCUGAAGUUACUUCUUGGCUAGAUCUUUAGUUAAUAUUACCUUGAUUUUGGUGAAUUGCCAUUUGAUUUUUAGUUGCCUACUUUAUUUUAUUUUUAAUUGUUUCCUUGCUUUAAUUGAGUUAGGCCUUUAAUUAUUGUUAUUCUAAGUUUAGUGAAUUGUGGUUUAAUUCCUAAUUAGUUAUUUAUUUUUACUUUCUUAUUUGAAUUUAUUUGCUUGUUAUCAUUCCUACGAAAUCACCCCCCUGUGUUACUUUGGAUUUCUUAAGAAACAAAUAUACCCAGUCCCUGUGGAUACGACCCUACUUGCCCUGUCCACGAAUUCAUAAUUAUUUGUGAAAAGAAAUAACCAUUCCACUCGGGUAUAUCGGAUCAAGCAAACUCUUCGGGAACAGGGUGAAUCAAGUAACCCAUUGCACACCUAAAAUCCCUGCUCCAGUACUUGGAAUUGGGUUUUGGUCAUUUUAACUGGCAAUUAAGUUUAAUUUUAUUAUUGCACAGGCUGACGACCCUGUCAUUGUAUUUGUACCAAAAGUGAAAACUUAACUAUUUUAGUUGUAUUUAUUUCAUCAUGUUGGAUUGUAUUCAAAUAAUUUUUGUUUGAUUGUUUUUAUAAGUUUCAAUUGUAAAAUUAAAAUGAAUAAUAACUUGAUGAUGUGUUGAUAUUUUAGUACUUGAUUAUUUAUUAAAAUUUAAUUAUAAUAAAAUUUUAUUAACUCAACGAGAAAAAUUUUAUUAAUCCCGUGGGGGCACCCGCGGGGAAAGCGGGGCGGGGCGAGGGGAGUGGGAGGCGGAGGACGGGGCGGGGGCGGGGGAUGGGGGAGGGGUCCCCCGCCCCAACCCCGCCAUCCCCCGUCCCGUUGUCAUCCCUAGUAAUAGACUGGCAAGCAUUGUGGUGGUCAUUGAGCAACUUAUAGGAGAAAUAGUCCUAUAAGCUGUUCAAUGACCAAUCACAACUUGCUAAUUGGAUGACUAAUAUAGCUCUAGCUGUAAUGUUUUAAUUAAAUUACAUCACUAACGUUGGGAUGACUUUUUAACCAAAAAAAAAAAGCCUUAGUUCAAGCUUUUCCCUUUAUUGUGCAUUUUUUAAAGCAUUUGAAAGGCACUGCAAAUCUGUCAUUUUGGACAUUUUAUUAUUGACUAACAAUGAAAGCCGUGGACGUCUACCCAUAACCAACACAAGAUUAAAUUAAUAUUAGAAAAAAUAAUUGAGUAAUUGGAAAAAAAAAAAAAAGAAGAGUCUAAUUUUCAUUGAAACCCACCGACAAACUAUACGUGUCCAUGGCUUUUGAAUAGUGCAUUCAACGUUUAAUUGUAUGGUCCAGUUCAUUGCAGAUUACAUGGAGUAAAGAUUGCGCUCUUUCCUUUUCACCCCUUUUGGAAUCGAUACUGUGGAGAAUUGGGUUUUUCCCUCCUUUUUUUCUUUUCUUUCCUUCUGUGGUUUGCAAAACAUACGUAAAAAUAUGAAAUCCGAAGCAUUCUUUAAUUGGUAUUAAGUAUUGUUGUUGAAAUUAAAAAGAAAAAAGAAAGAACAACAAAAUUCCCAAUCUGGGUUGAUUGUUGAGCUCUAGAUUGGUUGCAUCGUGCUUCCAUAGAAGCAAGAUUUGUAAAAUCGGAAUCCUACAUAGGAUCGAUUUUAGUUUCACAGGAUCGGAUUGUAAAAUCGUAAGAUCCUACCAAAAGCUCUCAAUUGCAAUUAAAGGUUGCAAUUCUUUAAUAAAUUACAAAUAUACCACAAAUAUUUUCAUUUACUUGCAAAAUGGAGCUUCGUAUUUCACAAAUUUACAAAAAAAUUGUAGGAUCGUACGAUCCUACCGAUCCUACGAUCCUACACGAUCCUACCGAUCCUGCUACGAUUCUAUGCGAUCCUACAAAGAUUAAUAUGAUUUGCGACUCUGCAUACGAUCCGGAUCGAUUUUGGUUAUCCGGAUCGUAGGAUCGUAUGAUCCUACGAUCCGGAUCGCGAUUUUGACAACUAUGCAUAGAAGCUCUCUUAGUGUGAUACACUGCUUUCAAUCAGUUUAACACGGGAAAAAAAAAAAGAGAUGAAAAGCAAAUUUGGUGGAGAUAAUUUCAGAAACCUCCCCUGAAGAUUUUGACUAUUCUACUGGUUUCCCUUCAGAUUUUAAAAAUUACACUAAUCUUCCUUGAAGUUAAUUAUCUUGUAACAUUUAAAUUCAAUCAAUAAUUUAAAAAAUGAUAUUAUGAGAGAGAAAAUAAUAUGAUUUUAUCAUUGCCCCCCAUCUUACUACAUUAUUUAAUUAAUUUAAUAGCAACCCACACAUUAAAGAAAAAUAUUAAAAUUUGUUGUUUAUCAUUAAAGAUCAAAUCGCUUAUAACAUCAAAUAAUAGUAUAUUAUUUAUAUUUUUCACUUAAUAUAAUAUCCAAAUUACUCUUUUCAAUUACAUACCCAUUGUUAGAGAAUCAACAACAAAUAACCAAAAAAUUUGCAACCAAAAUAUUACAAAAAAAAUAAACUUUAACAUCAUAAAUAUUCUUAUCAACAUAUUAAAGUUAGUUACUGAAAUUUUUAUGCUGUUAAACUUCACUCUUUUUGAAUACAGAUUUUUUUGAUUAUUUGUUAUUAAUUAUGUUUGAUGAUGGGUUUAUAAUUGAAAAGAACAAUUUGAAACUUACAUUAAGUAAAAUAUAUAGAGUGAUAUACUAUUUUUUAUAACAUAUGUGAUUCAAUCCUUCUUGAUAGGAUUGGUAAUAGAGGUAGAGGGGGGAGUCGGCUGCAUCCGGUCUUCUUUUCAUAGAUAGUACAAUAUUGCGAAAUCAAUCGCAUUCACACAAUAAUAUUUCGAAGUCAAUGCAUGGCUAAGUUGCAUAAAAGUACGAACACUUGUUAUUAUAUAGCUUAAGAUUCAAAACUUUCGAGCAUAACCCUCCACCCAACACAAUUGAAUAAUGAAUAUUCACGAUUGUCAAAUCUGUCAAAGCACAGUUUGAGGACAACCCAUUCCAACCUGCAAAAGAUUUUUUACUUUUCUAAAGUUGUUGAGAGCUGUAAAAAGACUUACCAUGCUUGCAUCCUCCGAGCCUUGGGAGUUAAAAAUGAAGGCACUGAGUGCUAUAAAAAGGGGAAUAGAGGCUGCCUAGAAGCAUAUCAGCCUAAAACAAGAAUUUGUAGUUAAGAUGGGAAGCAAAGCAAAAGCAAUGGGGUCUGGGCUGACUCCUCUUCUUGCCACUGUUUUAGUGGUGUUUGUUGCUCUUGGCUUGCCCUCACAAACUGCAGCUGAUGAUCACUACAAGUAUUCAUCUCCUCCUCCUCCUUACCACUAUCCCUCACCACCACCACCAGUGCAUAUACCUCCACCUCAUCCUGUUUACAAGUACAAAUCUCCACCACCCCCACCACCACACCCAGUUUACAAGUAUAAGUCACCACCACCACCUCCUCAUCCGGUAUACAAGUAUAAGUCUCCUCCGCCACCACCACACCCAGUUUACAAGUACAAGUCACCACCACCACCUCCUCAUCCGGUACCACACCCAGUUUACAAGUAUAAGUCACCUCCACCACCUCCUCAUCCGGUACCCACAGUUUACAAGUAUAAGUCACCACCACCACCUCCUCAUCCGGUAUACAAGUAUAAGUCUCCUCCGCCACCACCACACCCAGUUUACAAGUAUAAGUCACCACCACCACCUCCUCAUCCGGUGCCACACCCAGUUUACCACUACAAGUCACCACCACCACCUCCUCAUCCGGUACCACACCCAGUUUACCACUACAAGUCACCACCACCUCCUCACCCAGUUUACAAAUACGAGUCUCCACCACCACCAGUUUAUAAGUACAAGUCACCACCACCUCCUCCACCAGUUUACAAGUAUAAAUCUCCUCCACCACCACCACCAGUUUACCACUACAAGUCUCCACCACCUCCUCCCCCAGUUUACAAAUACAAGUCUCCACCACCUCCUCACCACUACUAAGCAAUUGCUUCUGAGGUAAUAACACUUGUUCAAUAUACCCACUUCUGCAUGAUAAAGCAUAUCUCUAUCAACACAAACUGUCAUGUCUAUCAUGCUAAGUGCCUUCACUUCAUCCACCAAAAUGACUGCUAGAAAAUUUUUUUUAUGUUACCAAAGAAAGGCAUCAUUUUUUCCCUCUGUUAUCAAGAACUUGUACAGUAUAUAGAUUAAAGAGUAUUUUUUUAACUAGCUUAUCAACUGAGAAAUGCAUAUAGCUGAUAGCCAGCUGAAUAUUUGCAGGCAAAGGAGAAGGAAACCAUGUUUGAGACCUUCUUGAAGAUGUAGAAGCAUAAGAAUAAAAGCCCAAUGUGAAGAUGAUGAUUUCAAGUUUUUCUACGUUACCAUUUCUUUAUCUAAAUUGGUUGUAGCGCCCAAGUUCCUUUGUUUAUGGGAUUUGUAUCGUUUUACGUACCAUGCAGUACAUGUCAUGUUUGUAAGGUUUUCUAUCCUGCCGGCAAACCGCAGGUUCCAUGUGAUAAAUGAAUACUAUUUAUGUUACGACACUUUUCUCUGUUUCUCUUAUAUUUUGUCUUUAAUAUUCUUAAUCAUAUUUUUAACAAAAAUAUUCAAACACUUAGGCAAUCUGGUCUAAUGCUAAUUGUAUGUUUUACUUUUCUUUUUCACCUGCUCCCCUUUUCAACUCAAAAGGAUGCAAUAGUUUGUGAUCACUGUUUAAGACGGAAGCAUGAUACUAAUGAAUAUCUCAUUGAAACUCAAGGAAACUAACAUUGCGAAAAGUGUAAAUCUUGAUUUGAUGCAACUAUUUAUUCGUGGAAUCUAUAGUUACAAAACUCAAAUUCUGACUGCGCCAUUGAUAAAUUAUUAAUGACGCUAUCAUCAUUAUUUAUCCCUAACUAGUUUCGACUACAACUGAACCCAAUAUUUUCCCCAUGAUAAAAGUUUUUGACUAUUUUACUGGCCUCUCUUCAAAUUUUAAAAAUUACACUAAUCUUCAUUGAGAUUAAUUAUCUUGUAACAUUUAAGUCCAAUUAAUAAUUAAAAAAUGAUAUUAUGAGAGAGAAAAUAAUAUAAUUUUAUCAUUGCCCCCCAUCUUGCUAUAUUAUUUAAUUAAUUUAAUAGCAACCCACACAUUAAAGAAAAAUACUAAAAUUUGCUGCUUUUCAUUAAAGAUCAAAUUGCAUAUGCCAUAAAACAUAGUAUAUCAUUCUAUAUGUUUCACUUAAUGUAAGAUCCCAAUUGUUCUUUUCAAUUACAAACCCAUUGUCAAACAUGAUCAAUAACAAAUAAUCAAAAAAUUUGCAACCAAAAUAUUACAAAAAAAAACUUUAACAUCAUAAAUAUUCUUACCACCUCUAGUGCAUUCACCCUCAUAAAAUAAUUCAAGACCCUACUGUCAUAAAAUGACUGAUCAACUCCUGUAAACCUAAUUUGACAACAUUUAAAUGGAGAACUUUAGCUAAAAGAAUUAUGGUCAAGCUAAAGAAAAAACCAGUUAUUUUCCAACAUAUGCAACCAUUGAUCAGGGGAAAAAAAAAAGCAAAAAGACAUCUUCAAUCAUUUAAUAGCUUACAGGGCAAAUUAACCCUUGAGUGAAAACUGGUUGCUCUAGAAUUAAAAUUUUACCUUAGUUACCCAGGCAACUUUUUUGUUGCCUUUUCUUUUUCUUUUUUGGGUAUAUAGCUCCAGUUUUGCCCCCUCUGUCAAGCUUAUAUAAUUAUUAAGAUAAUAAAAGUGCCUUUAAUAGUAUUAAUAUAUCCAUUGACUUGAGCUGUCAUCGAUCGGUUUGGGCUACUUCGAUUCCAUGAGAACAAAUGGUAAUAAAAGUACUCAGAAAAUGGGGAGUCAUGAAACCCUUUUGUUCUAUUCAUUGCUAAGAUGCUUUUCUCUAUAAAGAGACUUCCUAACGAAAAUACUUUGUAGAUUUCUUUACUCCAAGUGGUGCAUGGAAAAUUAAUAUUUUCAAUUAUCAAAUAAAAUUCCCUUUUUUCGGCGUAGAUUUCAUCCAUCCAGCUGUUAACACAUUCUAUAAAUCCGAAUUGACUAAUCUUUUCGUUUCCAUUUUCCAACUUGCGAAUACGGCAUAUAGUGUCUGCUAAACACUAUAUAUUCUCUGCCAAAUAUGAAUACAUAUCACUUUUCUGAGCAAGUGCAGAGUCAUUAUCAUUUUUAUUCCCACCUAACAAAUUAGGGAUAAAAAAGUUAAUAAUCUUUACAUGCUAUCAGGUCACAAGUUAAUAAUCUUUUAAAGAACAUGUUAAAUUAAUUUAUUGGUAUGAAUAGUAGUCAAAGAAGUAUGUUAAAGUUAGUAAUCUUUAAAAUAAUAUGUUAAAAUCAUUCGUACAAAUUAGUCAGAGAAGUAGCAUAAACACCGCGAUGCAAUUAAUACUUUCAAUCUCAAGGUCUCUAUUAUGGAAAUUUGCAUCGGUCAAUAUACACUUGGCAUAAUAUAAUCUCCCAACUCAUUUCUUUACAAAUGCACCUUUAAUCACCACCAAAAGGUGUGGACAUGAUCUUUACCCUAGAAAACUAUUCACCGACAGGCAAAUUGACGUCAGAAAUACUGAGGAAUUCUAGUUUCCUUCGGGUUCAUGCCAUGUUGUAUCCUUCAACUGUAACUCGAUUUCUAAGCUGUAAUUUGUGACAUAAUAGUCCUUAAACUAUGAAACCCUUCUUACUUAAUUACAAUGGUUAAUACAAUGCCCGUGACUAGACAAGUAUGAAGCAACCAUAACAGAAAAAAAAUCCAAAAUUAGAGAAAAGAAAGAAGUUUCGCGACCACCACCAGUUUACAAGUCACCUCCACCACCUCCUCCAGUUUACAAGUCACCUCCACCACCUUACCAUUAUUCCUCACCACCACCUCCAGUGCAUUCACCCCCACCACCACCAGUUUACAAGUCUCCGCCACCACCUUACCAUUAUUCCUCACCACCACCUCCUGUGCAUGCACCUCCACCACCAAUUUACAAGUCACCUCCUCCAGUUUACAAGUCUCCACCACCACCUUACGAUUAUUCCUCACCACCACCUCCAGUGCAUUCACCCCCACCACCACCAAUUUAUAAGUCUCCCCCACCGCCUCCCCCAGUAUAUAAGUCACCACCACCACCUCCUCCAGUAUACAAAUCACCUCCACCACCUCCUCCAGUUGACAAAUCUCCACCACCACCAAUUUAUAAAUACAAGUCUCCUCCACUACCUCCUCCAGUGUACAAGUCAUCACCACCACCUGCUUACAAGUCUCCACCUCCUCCAGUUUACAGUUCCCCACCACCACCAAUCUACAAGUCUCCACCUCCACCCUACCAUUACUACUACAAUUCUCCUCCUCCUCCUCGUCACUACUAAGCAAUUGUAUCCAAGUUUUUGAGGUAAUAACGCUUAACCAAUAAAUUAACUUUCGCAUGAUAAACCUUAUCUCUAUCAAGACAAACUGCCAUGUGUAUCAUGCCAAAUACGUACACCUAGAUCCAUGAAAAUGAAUGGUAGAAAGUUUUCUUAAGAACCAAGAACAGCAUUAGUAUUCCCUCUGCUUCCAAAAACUUGUGUAUUAAAUAGAUUAAUGAAUUGUUUAACAUGCUCAUCUACUUGAAAAUGCACAAUACCCAUAACCCACUGAAAUUUUUGCAGGAAAAGGGAAAGAGAAUCUGUGUUUGAGAGCUUCAUGAAGAUGUUGAAGAAUAAGAAUAAAAGCCCAAUGCAAGGAUGUUUUCAAGUUUUUCUAUGUUUCCACUUUAAUUUGUAAAUUGAAUUUUGCGACUCAAUUAAUUCCCUGUUUGUGAGGUACGUAUUGUUUUACGUACCAUGCCGUACAUUUUUUUUUUCCAACAAACGGUAUCAUGUUAUAGAUAUUAACACUUGACCUUACAAGGAUUAGUUACAAAAAGGGGAUACUACCCUCAACUCUGUCCUAGCUAAAUCAGUCAGCCAUAUUGGGAAAUUAGUUUCCCAUUCAAUAUCAUGUACAAGCUUCACAGCAUAUUGUGCUAAUUGAUGGCUGAUGUGAUUUUCAGUUCUAGGUAUAAACACAAAAGAACAUUUUUCAAAAGCUAGACUAAGUUCCUGCACAUCUUCUAAGAUAGUUGCAGUCGUGUAGUCAUACUCCUUGCGUUUAGUAAUCUGCUCUACCACUGAUUUGCAGUCUGUAUGGACUAUAAUUUGUGUCCAACCUGCUUGGGUAGCCAUCAGCAGAGCAUUUCUCACAGCCCGAGCUUCCACUUCACUUGCCGAUCCCUUUCCCUGUGUGACAAUUCCUUUUGCUUUCAAAAGCUGUCCUUUCCAAUUUCUUGCUAUAAUCCCUUGUCCGGUCCUGACUCGUUUAGCUGAUAUCGCUGCAUCGGUAUACAGCCUUAUCUCUUCCUUCCUUGGCCGCACUCUCCUGGUAGGUAAGGCAUCAUUCAGCUUCCCUGCGAUCUCCUUCUGGUCUGUACUCCCUACCUGUUCAAACUCAAGCCAUUCCUCCUGUGCUUUCCUUACUAUUUUUACUGGAUCCUGGUUGGCUUGUUCAAAAAAUUUUUUGUUCCUGGCUUUCCAAAUUUGCCAAAGGAUAUUGAUAGUAAGACUAACUCUCUCCUGACCUUGGUUCAGUGCCAGCGAUUGUGUGACUUGUUCCCACCAUAACCAAAAGUUAUAUUGCAUACCCAGUAAUCCAUCCCACCUGACCGGUGCUAGCUUCCACGUUUCCACAGCCUUUUCACAGAAGAAAAACAAAUGCUCAAUAGUUUCCAUAUCUUCACCACAGCAACCACAUCUGCCUUCCCCUCUAUGUAGCCUUUUCGACAUCUGUUCAUUGACUGGCAGACAAUUUUGUAAGCACUUCCACAUGAAGUGUUUUAGUUUGGCCUUCACCUUCAAAUGCCAUAGCUGCUUCCACACAUUUCGUUUUCGUAUCUCCCAACUUGUUUCUGCCUCUUGGCCUGUCCUUGUACCUGCUUUUCCUUCCCGUUGCCUUGCUAAAGCAUAACCAGAUUUCACGCUAUAAAUUCCAGCUUUGGAAUGCCCCCAUACCAACCUAUCCUUUCUUCUUCCUAUACUUGUUGGAAUUCCCUUUAUGUGCUCUGCAUCUUUUGCACAAAACCACUUGAGAAGCAAAUCAUUUUUCCAUUUCCCUUCCUCUAUCAGCUCACUUACCCAUUCCAACUUGCAUCCCACAGGUUGUGUGGUUGAUGCAAAGCCGGUAUCUGAACCAACUAUCCAUCUGUCCCGCCACAUGUUGACUGACUUGCCAUCUCCAAUUCUUUUCCAAAGACCAUCAUACAGAAAGGAGGCUGCACUAUGAAUACUCUUCCAACACCAUGAGGCUGAAGAGACUGGCUUCUUGUCCAUCCAUUUUUCAUCACUCAUAUACUUCGCCUUCAUUACCUUACUUACUAACAAAUUUGGAGCCAUUAAGAAUCUCCAAAUUUGUUUUGCCAGUAAUGCUGUGUUGAAGGCCUCCAAAUCUCUAAAGCCUAAACCUCCUCUUCCCUUAACUUCUAAGAGCUUCUUCCAGCUUGCCCAAUGUACACAGGUACCCUUUUCUCCCUUCCCCCACCAGAAACUCGCUAUUUUACCUGUGAUUUGUCUACACAAACCCCUUGGAAGUCUAAAGCAAGCCAUCACAUAUGUUGGCAUAGCCAUAAUCACUGAUUUGACCAGAAUUUCUUUCCCUCCUUGGCUCAACAGUUUUUGUUUCCAACCUUGCAACUUGUUACUAAUUUUGUUCUGGACAAAUGCAAAGACCUGUGUCUUUGAUCUUCCAAUUGCCAUUGGGAGUCCUAGGUAGGUUCCAUUCCUUGCCUCUUUAAUGUUAUCUAAUACCUCCCUCACUCCAUUCUUCCUUUGAUCAGUGGUAUUUUUGCUAUAGAAGAUAGCUGACUUUUCAAAAUUCACCACCUGUCCGGAUGCUUGACCAUAUCUUUCCAAUAUGCUUUUGACCUUCCUCGCCUCCUGCUUGGUUGCUUGGCAGCAUAGUAGAGAAUCAUCUGCAAAAAAUAGGUGAGAAACCAUCGGACUGUCCUUGCAUAUUUUGAUCCCUGUAAUUUCCUUGUUCAUCAUAGCUUUAUGGAUCAAACAUGAAAGACCUUCAGCGCAUAUAAUAAACAAGUACGGGGAUAGGGGGUCUCCUUGUCUAAGCCCUCUACUCGGUUGAACACAGCCUACCUUUUGCCCAUUUAAGUUGAAGGAGUAAGUCACAGUAGAUAGGCAAGACAUGAUCCAUUUAACAAAAAUUGGACAAAACCCCAUUUUCAUCAUAACUCUCCCCACAUAUUUCCAUUCGACUCUAUCGUAAGCUUUGGACAUGUCCAGUUUAAGAGCCAUAAAUCCUACCCUUCCCUUUCUCCUAUUUUUCAAAAAAUGCAGGAUUUCAUGUGCAACUACUACAUUAUCAAGAAUUUGACGGCCUGGGAUAAAAGCGGAUUGAGAGGGACUAAUACAAUGAUGCAAGACACCUUUCAAUCUAUUAGCUAUGAUUUUAGAAAUGAUUUUAUACAGGACAUUGCACAAGCUAAUAGGUCUAAAAUGCACCACAGAUUCAGGAGUAUCAACUUUAGGAAUCAACGAAAUAAUAGUAUCAUUCACAGCUUUGAGCAAAUGCCCAGUAUGAAAGAAACUCUUAAUAGCUGCUACCACAUCAUCCUUGAUAAUAUCCCAAUAGUGUUGAAAAAAUAGAGGAGACAUACCAUCCGUUCCUGGUGCUUUAUUAGGGUGCAUCGAGAACAAAGCUUUCCUGAUCUCACUUUCCUCCACUUGUCGUAUCAGUUGUCCAUUCAUAUGACUCGAAAUAGUGCUUGGAAUUUCAGCUAGAAUGUCCUCAAAGCAGUCCGGGUUAGUAGUGGUAAAAAGGUCUUUAUAGUACUCACAAAGUUCCUCCUCAAUCUCAUGUUCCUCCUUGCACCAUGUCCCAUCUUUUUUCUGCAAUAUAGUGAUCUUAUUUCUCCUCCUCUUUGCCAUGACCGAAGAAUGGAAAAAAGCUGUAUUCUUGUCCCCUUCUUUGAGCCACUUGUUCCUGGAUUUUUGACUCCAAAACAUCUCUUCCUCUGCAUAAGCUUUAUUCAAUUGUGCUUUUAGUUCAGCCACUUGUACUCUUUUCCCUUCAUCCUUUCUUGCUUUCACUUCAGCCAAUUUCUCCUUUAACACUUUAAUUCUAACCUUUGAGUUUCCCUGCACCUUUUUCCUCCAAUCCAGAAUAGCCAUGCGACAUUCCUUUAUUUUUGUAGCCACUCUAAACAUCCUGGACCCUGACUUCACCUUUGUCCAUGCUCCUUGAAUCACCCUUUUUGCUUCUGGAUUUAGCGUCCAUCGUUGAUCAAAGUAAAAUCUCCGUUUUCUCCUUGUGUUUUCCGGGUUUGUAUCCACAAGAAGCAUUAGAUGAUCAGAGGCUUCAGUAUCUAAAUGAGUACACUGUGCCUUUUCAAAUCUUUGCAGCCAUUCGGUGCUGCAUAAACAUCUAUCCAACCUCUCUUUCACUUCCCCAUCCCCCUCCCAACUAUUGCACCAAAUCCACGGGACCCCUUGAUAACCUAAGUCAACCAGGUUAUUGUCUUUGAUAAACCUGUUGAACUCCCUAAAACAUCUUUCAGCUCUAUCCCUUCCUCCCCACUUCUCCUCACUAGACCUCAAAUCAUUAAAAUCUCCUACAAUGAUCCAGCCAUCCCCCCAGUCCCUCAUCCUGUCCUCUAAAUAUUUCCAUUGUGCUUUUCUAAUGUUACUAUCUGUGCUUGCAUAAACACACACUAGCCCCCAGUAUCCUUUAGUAUCCUUGUCCUCAACUCUAGCACUAAUACACCAAUCAGUACUUACAAUCUGGUCUAAAAUCACCUCAUUGUUCCAGAAUAAUGCUAGACCGCCUGCUUUACCUAUUGAAUUCACAAAAAAGCUAUUGUCAUACUGAAUCUUCCUUUGAACCUUGCCCAUAAACCCUUCCUGAUUCUUAGUUUCACAAAGGAACACCACCUUAGGAGAGUGGAAGUUAGUCACUUCCUUUAGUUGGGGACUUGUCAAGGGGCCUCCUACACCUCGACAAUUCCACACCACAACCUUCAUUUACACUUUGGAGGCUUUCCGGGGCUAGCCUCCAUUUCCCCUAUUGUACUAACAUUUAUUAGAUCCAGUUUCAUAACCUUUACCUUCGGUACAUUAUCAUCAUCCUCCUCUAUCGGUUGUGUUCCCUGAAACAUACCAUCAGCCUUCCUUUUAGCACACGAAACCUGCGUUACUUGUCCAUUUGUAUCUGCCUUUAAGGAUGUUUUAGCCGGCCUCCCUCUUCUUUUAAAACUGCUUCUUUUUUCAGCUUUGUUAUCUUCUUCCCCUGGAGUAGCCUCCUUUCUUGGCAUUCUUGCAUUUGUCUCCUCCUGCUUUAUUGACCCUACCCGCAAACUUUCACAUUCCUGUUUUGAGCUGUCCGUUUCCAUAUCCUCAUAAUCUACUGGUGGGAUUACGCUGCUCCCUCCUUUACUCCCUUCCUGUACCCUACCCUCCUUUUCACCAUUUCCCUCCAUUAAGACCACAGCCAAACUUUCCACCCGUUGGUUUGCCUUUCCAUACUGCCUGCUGUCUUUUAGAAUCUCAUCCCACCUCUCUUCAUAUUGUCUCGUCAUCAUUUUCUCCUUAUCCCCCCUUUCCUUUCCCCCCAAGACUCUACCAUUUUUUCCCCCAAGAGUUAAUGUAUCUCCAGCCAUUUGUACUCCAGUUUGAACUUCACUACUAGGAGACCCUGCCCCCACCCUCCUUGCAUCAAUUUCACUUACUCCUUCCAGCCGUCCCUUUAAGGGAGAUACCAUUAUAUUUCCAGCUCUCAUCCAGGCACCAUAUUGUUCCUCUCGCUUCUCCCCCCCACCCUUCCUACCACAGUACAAGUCCUAUCACUAUGCCCAAUGAUACCACACCUAUAACAGAAAUCAGGGCAGCGUUCAUACCUGAACUCAACCCACACUGCCUGGUUCUUACAGUUGAUCUUUGUCCCUCUAACCAGUGGUUUCGUUAUAUCUACCUCAGCCAUAAUCUUCAUGUGGCGACCCUCUUUCCCACCACUUCCUGGGAGAAUCACUCCCCUCACUGAUUUAAAGAUCCCUCCUAUUUUCAAACCCACUGCUCUGCUCAACCAGUGCACCGGUAGGUUCCAUAGUUGAAUCCAAAGAAAGGAAUGCUGGAAAAAGCUGCUGUUUGUAUCAUACCCCUCUACCCACUCCUUCACUAUCAGCAACUGGUUGUCCAUGACCCAAGGCCCUCCAGAUAAGAUCUUUUUCUUUUCCCCUUCAUCUCCCAGAUGGAAAUGGAAUAAGUUAGGACCUAACUCAGUCACUUUCAUCUUUGAGGGGUAUCCCCAUGCAUGAUUUGUAAAGUUCUUUAACCCCGUAAAGUUGGCAAUUUUUUCACCAAUCAGCUUUCCUACCAGGCUUCCUUGACACUCAGAGACGCCUUCUUCCAGGUCCUCACCACUCAGAUCGACACCUCCUAACUCUGUUUCAGACAAGUCAAAAUUUUGAAAGGCUCUUUCUAAAGCAUCCGCCAUUGCUGUGACGAGAGCUCCUUGAGAAACCAAGCACUAUUUCUGAGCUAUGAGUGACCCACUGACAGACCUGUGAAGAAUUGCAAAGACAGACAAAGCUGUGUUAUCCGUACACACUAAAAACCAACCAGAAAAACAGAGAGGAACUCGACAGAAAAAGCACAGGCACAAGAAGAAACGAAAGAAAAAAGAAAAACCAACAAACCACUAUCCCACUCCCGACCACAUAACAGCAUUAAAGAAAGGGACACAAAUACGACACUCCAACUUCCGAUCACAUGCUCUGACUCAAUGGAUCAUAUCUUGCCCAAAGCGUUUACUCCUCCAACCGAUUCCAAACCACUACAGACAUUGUCUCCCAUUUUGAAGCCGGAAGAAAGGUGGCUUCUGGACAGGGAACAUGAAAGCAAAGGUUGAACUAAAGAUUUGAUUUUAGAUCUGAAAAUUACGCUGUAGGAAAAAGUGCUAUGUGUUUGUACCUCACCCACUCUCCCACACCGAGGAGGGGAACCUCUAAAGUUAGAGAGAGAAGCUCUCAAGUUAGAGAGAAGCUUUGGAAGUUAAUUACCAACGUACCAUGCCGUACAUGUUUGUAAGGAUUUCUAUCCUAUUGGCAAAAGUCGGUUCCAUACAAUUAAUCAAUUCAUUUCACUUCUAUUGGCUCUACUAUUUAUGCAUGUUACGACACUCUUUCCCUUAUAUUUUGCCUUUAAUAUUAUGAGUCAAUAGUAAUAAUGGGCCUUUUUCUUAAAAUUAUACUAUUAUACAUAGGUAGUUUGGUCUAACGCUAAAUUCAUGUUUGUCUUUCUUUUAUUCCCUUUACAUCUCAAAGUAUACUAUAGUUUGUAAUCAUUGUGGUGAUGAUAUUACCAGCUGGUACUUAUAGUUUAAGGCAGAGACAUGAUAUUAACAACUAUCUCAUUGAAACAUAAGUCAAAAUCAUGACAAGUGUGAGUCUUGGUUAAUGCACAAUUUGUUAGUGGAAUUUAUAUUUAUAAAACUCAAAAAAAAUUUUUGACAAUGCUAUUACUAAUUAAUUAAGGACUUCAUUGCUAUAAUUUAUCGCUUACUAAUUUAAACUAUAAAUGAUCUCAAUACUUUUCUCCAUGAUGUCGAUUUCUUUAGACUACGAAAGGGAAAAAUUAGUGACAUAUCCCUUACUGAUUACAACAUCAGCAAAAAUUAGUUAUAAACUUUUCCGGUGGUUUUAAAUCCCUCGGGCACUAAGGUUUUUUGCACAUCGAGUGAAUUAAGGAACAUAGGCAAUUCGUUCUGCAUACCAAGUCCUUGUUUAAGAUGCACGUACUAAAAUGCAUCCACUUCAUUAAUUUGGAAAAUUGCCAUAGUUUUUUUUAAGCAUUUUGAUUUUUUACAUGAUUCAAAAUUUUCUUAUUGGAUACAAUCACUUUGUGUCAAGAACACAUUUUCAAUCAUCUUUUUUAUCUUCUCAAUAAGAAAAUAAAAAUUUAUUCAUGCUUUUCUAACAUAUCCAAUCAUUGAUCUGAAAAAUAAAGAAUUAAAAAAAAAAGACAUUUUCAAUCAUUGCUUACGGGGCAACUUCCCCAUGUGAACCUCAUCAAACAAAGCCAAUAAUAUGAAGGAACAUCUAAAUACACUUUUGCCCUAAAGGCUGGUUGCCUUGGGGUCAAAAUUUAACCUUCGGGAGUAUAAUUACCCGCCAAAUUUAUUAUUUUUUUUAUGGGUAUAUAGUUCCAAUUUUGCCUCCUGUUAAGCUUAUAAAUAUAUUACGACCCAGAAAAUAAAGGAAUCUUGAAUAGUAACAUGUCCAUUGACUUGAGUUGUUAUCAAUUUGGCUACUUCGAUUCCAUGAGGCCAAUCCAAUUCACACUAGCUAGAGAAAAUGGUGAUAAAGGCACUUAGAAAUUUAUAUGUAAUAUUGAUUGGUAGUAACUGAUAAGUAUAUAUUUUACGUGUUUUAAAUAUGUUUUAUUAGUUAGUUUUGGUGUGUUUUAACUACUUUUAUAACUAAUUAACUAGGAAUCUAGUGAAAAUAUGCAUUUUGUGGUUUGAAGUGUAAAAAUUGUAUUUCUAUGGAUUUUAAUGGUGAAAACUUCAUGUUUUUGUAGGUUUAAUGAUUCAAUCAUCAAAUGACAUGAUUUGAGAAGAUAAUUAGAUGAUUGAUGAUGUUUUGAAGUGAUAAAAAGAGAAUACAAAGUGCAAGAGAGGAAAUGCAAUCAAGAAUAAAAGAAGAAAAUUUUUGUAGCUUUGACAUAUUGUCGUAUUUCGGCAAUAUAUUGAGCUACAAUGAUCGGAUUAAGGUGAUUCUUAAACCAUUUGAAGCUAAAAUAUAGAUCUACAUUUGGCAUGAAGGCAUCGAAACCCAUGUCAGUCAUUUUCCUUGUCAAAAUGUUGAAAUACAGAAGUGCAACUCUGUUCUCGAAAGCUAAAACAGAGCUCUGGCUAGUCGAGGGUAUUUUCAUCAUUUCUUAGUCCACAGAGCUCCAAAUGAGAUGAUUCUUAAGGCAUUAGAACCCUAACUCAAAGAGCUACAACUUUCAUAUUUUGUACAAGAGUUAGUUCGGCCUCUAUCAUUAAGAAAAUAGUAGUUGAAGUGGUGCCAAAUGCAUAGAAGUGAAAACGCGAGCUAUCAAUACUCGACCUGAAGUCGCGUAUUCCUGAGGUCAUGCAUUCUCUUCUAUUUUCUGCAACUUGCCCUGCUUUCACAUAACUUUUUCAUCUCAAUUCCAACUAUCAAUUUCGGCUAUAUCUGAUCAAGAAAAGUGUGGAAAGUUUGAAAGACAACUCAUAGGAGUUUCAAGAGUCAAAAAUUACAAUUAGAAACAACUCAUUUGGCUCUUGAAUCCUCUAUAAAUAGAGGCCUUUGAAGAACAUUUUCACAACUUUGGAAGGUUAGAGAAACUCCACAAAAACAUAGUCUUCACUAGAAUUUCCUUAGUUCAUUAGUUAGGGUAGUAUAGUAUAGUUAGUGUAGCUUUUCCUUCUUGUAUUUAUAGUUAGGUUUGAAUGAAGAUUCAGGAGCAAAGAUAGAGAGGUUGAUCUCAUGUGACAAGGGUGAUAUCUCUUCUACUACUUUCUCUUUUGUAUUUGAUUUCAUAUUUAACUAUACUACAAAUUUGGCUUUGUUUUUUUUUUUUUAUCAUGUUUAGUUAAAGUUUAUGCCUAGAGUAUGGAUGACCUUUUUAUAUCUUGUUUGUGAUAUUUAACUGGUUAUUUGAUGAUGUUAUUUUUGAGCAAGUUAUUUAUCACUUUUGCUUUUCUAAUCAUGAUUAACUGGCCAUUAGUUGUGAUUAUCUAAAAGUGUUAAGUUUGUAAUGAGAAUUGGAGUUUAACACUAGUUCAAGGAAGUGAUAAAUUUAGGGAGUUCACUCAUGAGAGUAGAGGAACACCUUUGUGACCUAAGUGACUUGUUUCAUAUAAUUUCAUAGAAAAAAUGAACUUGUAAUUAAUUUCAUAACCACGAGAGUAAGUAUGGUUUAGCUAUAUGUAUAGUUGAUUCACUACGAGAGUAGGUUUCACAUACAUUAGAAAAUUACAUCAUAACUAGUCAAGAUAAUAUCAUUCAUUUAAUCAGUAAUCUCAUUUGCAUGAGUAGUAAGGCAUUCCAUAUCUCUAGGAGGUUUUUAGUAUUAUUUUCAUUACUUUUAUGUUUAUGGUAGUCUAGAUAAUAAUGGAGUUCGAAAACUACUAGUAAUUGAAAAUUUUCCCUGUGGGAUCGACCUUUAAUACCCUAUACUCGCUCUCGACUCGUAUACUUGAGAAAAAUCACGUGUGCGGUAUUUAGAAUUUAUAAAUGUAAAACUUGACUGUAGAUGAACUAAUUGAUAUAUGUAUACCCCGCACUCGUCAGUAACCAGCUUGUAUUGAUCCCACUAUUGUGGAUAAUUGUGCUCUUAUGAAAAAAAAUUAUAAAAAAAUUAGCAAAAUUUAUGAUAACAAAUUAAAUUUAUUCAUACAAAUCAGUGAAAGAAGUAGAAUUUUAAAGUCCAUGAUGAAAUUAAUACUUUCAAGGGCUCUAUUAGGAAGACUUCACUUGUUGGUGAAACUACACUAGCACAGUUAUAUGCACAUUUACUGUUUUGGUAUCUAAUUUCCUUGCCUUAAGUUGGGUGCAGAUGUUUAUAUUACAAAUAGAUGGUAUCAUAAAAUUGUUGUAUUCACGUUUGUUCUUUUUUUUCUUCCUUAAGUUUUUUUCUUUAUUCUCGUGACUUCAAAAAUACGAACUCAAGAAAUUGGCUGCUUAAUCAAUAUGUCAUACAGGCUUCGCUAGUGAGGUAUAACUUCACAACUAGAGUCAAUAGAAAUUAUCAAAUGAUUUUUUAACAUCCAAAUUAAGCAAUAAAUUUUGUUUUCAUUUUAUGACAUAUAAUAGUACUACUUCAUGAGAGAUUUUAUAGUUUCUUUUAGGUAUCAUACCUACAAGUGAUAUUUGUCAUUGGAUAGUGACAGAAGUGUUAAUGAUUGUAAGAUUAAAUAUUGUUAAAUAUUGAAAUUUAAACUAUUUAUCUUUAUUGAAAGAUACAAGUUAAAGAAUCGUUCAAGGGGGCAAUUUUCCAUCUUGUCUUUUUGAAAAAACGCUAUCACAUUGUAUAGGCAUGAUAGGUUCAAAUUUGUCAUUAAAUUUAUGAUUGAUUUUCCUUUUAUUCAAGCCAAAUAUUGUUUUAAUUAUCAAAUUCUACUUAUAUUUGGUUAAUUGUACUAAUUGUAGGGCGGUAGAGCAAAAGUUGCUAAAAAUAGGCGAUUUUCUGCAAAUUGGUUGUCAAGGCUGAAGGAUUUGGGAUUCGCAUGUUCAAGGCCUGUUUCCAAGUUUGAUUCAAACUCUGGACAGUUUUAGAGGAAGAUUUGGAAGAUUUGAAAUUUCAUUAUUAGUUUUAUGGUUGAAUUAGGAAUCUUGGAAUAAUUUCUUUUGUGAUUUAUUUUUCUAUUUAGGAGACUAGUUGUUAUUUAGUAGUAGACUUCAAUUAGAAAACAAAGAGAAAAAGAAGGCCGGAAUCCCGCUUGAUUAAUACCUUGGCCAGGGAACAAUCUCGGUGGGGAGGACGGCCACUUAGCCUCUCAAUUCAUCUUGCUUUUCGUUAGUUUGAGAGGAAAACCAAUUGCAACUAGAUUCAAUGGAGUCUGGCAGAAUUUCUUCUAGGAUGCGUAGCUAAAUCCUCAAUUUUUAGUCGAAGGUCAAUUUGAAAAUUCGGUUCCAAAUAUCUGUGAAAUCGAAUUAUUUUACUUAUUUCUUUUAUUUAUUGGUAUUCGCACGUUUUCUGAUUUAACUUUUUAUGAUUGUUUUGUUAUUUGAAUGUCAAGGGUCCGAUAUUCGAAUUAACUUAAUAAUCUACUGCCAAAUUAACCGGUUAAAUCCGUAAUUGUUUGAUUGAUUAAUAUCAGUGGCGACUAGCGUGAUUGGUCCCAUGUUAGGAAAACGUCUGAUCUAAUUUAAACAAACCGUCGUAGCGUGUUUGUUGAUUAGGGUUGGGCUUUUCUAAUUCUUAAUUCAAUUGAGAAAUUAAAUCCCCCGGUCGUACCUAGGAUUAUUUUUUUGUUAGCGAAAUAGUUAAUGGUCGUACCUUGACUAUCGAAAAAGUAAGGAAGAGUUGAUUGUUUAUCGCGUGUACGACAACUAUAAUCAAUCUAUUAAUGAGUAAUUGAAUUAUCUUUGCAUCAGUAAUCAGUUGAAUGGACCGUGUCUGAAAAGUUGUACCUUUGGCUAGAGUCUUAUCUGUUGUUGAUUCAUUCAUAUCUAUCUUCAUGCGUUGUUUUAAUUUAGUUAAUUAGUUAUUUUUAUAAAAACCCCUCAUCUCUGGACUCUAAAAGAAAUAAAUUAUUUCUAGUUCCUGUGGAUUCGAUCCUACUCACCAUACAAUCCAACCUGCAAUUGUAUGAACCCCAAUCUCGCUUCCUAGUCCACCAUUUUUCUCUAGGUAAUAAUCUCCCUUCUAAUUUCUUCACAAAAUGCACCUUUCAUCACCUCCAAUAGCGUCGACAUGAUCUUUACCCCAGAAGACUAUUCACCGACUCUCAAUUGACGUUAGAAAAUCUAAGAGUAAUUCUACUUUACCCUAAGAUUGAUAUCAACAAGACAAGGACAAUUUAGAAUUAUUACACGCCUCUUCUUAAUAGGAAAAAGAAAUAGAGAAGAAAGUCAGGCCAGGUCUAAUUUCUUUUCAAAGGCAAUACAACAUUACGAAAUCAAGCAUUCAUUCAUACAAAUAUUUCAUAGUCACCGGUUUGCUGAGUAGAAAAAUUUAGACAAAAACUUAAUAUUAUAUUGUUUAAGAGUUAACAAUUUAGAGCUUAAUCUCCUUGUACUUUGGAGUUAACAAUUUAGAGCUUAAUCUCCUUGUACUUUGGACUAAACUUGAACGUGAAAGGAAAUCCCAAAACCAUAUUGGGCAUGAAUUCACACUUAAUAUACCCAAUAAAAGAUGGCGACUGGUGAAAGGCAGUGGAGACUGGUGGAGAGAUUUGAGGAAUAGAAGCAGACGGAAAAGCAACAAAUUUUUGCCGAAAAACGGUCACUUUCAUGGUUAAUUUUGCUACUCUCCAAUUGUACUUGACCAAUUACAACAAUUUCAUGGAGUUUGAUACGUGAAAAGAAUUUUUUAUAAAUUUUAUUUUGAUCCAUAAUGUUAUCUUUACAUAUAUAAAACAUUUUACAAUUUUGAUUUUGGCGCAGUUAACUUUUGGUAAACAAAAAUGCUCAUGUUUAAAAAACCGGAAAUAAAACAAAACAAGAAACAAAAGAAAUAAGAGGGUAGCAUAGACAUUUUGGAUUUUUCCGUUAAUUUGGAUGAUUUCCACCCACGUUCUAAUUUAAUCCAAAACACAAAGGAAUUACGUAGAGGUUUUAAAUAAUGAGGGAGCUUCAUGAUCGAACCCCAAACCACAAGGCGAUUUACUAUAUUUUACUCUUAAAUUUUGGUUUCAUCUCAUAGCAUACAAGAGUUCUAUUUCACUAUCUGUAGACAAAGACUUUCUAUGGUUGAUGUACCAUAGGAAAAAAUCUGCCUAUACAACGUGAUAGCAUUUUUUCAAAAACACAAGAUGGAAAAUUGCCCCCUUAAACGGGGAAAUUCAUGAUCUUUCCUCGAACAAAGAAUACUCACGCCUAUUCAAGAUGGAAAAUUGCCCCCUUAAACGUCUAUUUGUCAAUUCUUGAAAAAAGAAUACUCACGCCUAAAACACGGCCUCUUCAUCUGCAGAAUUCUAAAAAGUUAGGUAAACUCUAUAAACAAGUUGAUAGGUACAAUCGUACCCAAGAUCAAGUACAGAUAGUUGUACAUUCACUGCUGCAAUAACUAAUCUGAUGACUUACAAACAUAUCAUGGUCAAUCGUUGAAUGGUAAUGAGUCUUUUGUUAUGCAUUAGUAUUAGUGUGUACACUCUAAUAGAUUGAUACUUAUACUCUUUAAAUUAUCAUAAUAAUACCCUUAAUUAACUUUAACUCUUAAAAAGAAUACGUGUUAAUACACGAGAGUGUGUAACCUGAAUUGUUACUUAUACAUUAGUGUGUAAUAGAUAGGGAUGGCAAUGGGGGCGGGUGCCCGCAGGCAACCGCCCCGCGGGGGGCUCUCGGGGCGGGGAGGGGGGAAUUUUUUCCCCCCGUUUAGAAACGGGGCAGGGGACGGGGGAGUAUACCCCCGCCCCAUCCCCCGCAAAAAAAAUUAUAUAUAUAUAAUUAUAUAUAAUAUGUAAUUUAAUUAGUUAUAAACUUAUGAUAAUGAUAUUAUUAGUUAGAUGUAUUAUAUAAUGUAUAUUAGUGUAUGUAAUAUAAUUAAUAUUAUCAAUUAUACGAAUAAUUAGACAUGUCUACUAAUAGAAUUUAUUAAUUAGUUAUACUAAAUUUACUAAUACAUUUAUACUAAAUUUCUAAUUACAUUUAAUAGAAUAACACUUUUUUCUAAAAAAAAAAGCACAAACACAAUAAUGAAUUAGUGAUUGUAUUUUUACCAAAAAUGAAAACUUAACUAUUUUAGUUGCAUUUAUUUCAUCAUGUUGGAUUGUAUUCAAAUAAUUUUUGUUUGAUUGUUUUUAUGAGUUUCAAUUGUAAAAUUAAAAUGAAUAAUAACUUGAUGAAUAAUAAUGUCAAUCGUUGAAUGGUGUGUACACUCUAAUAUUAUGCAUUAGUAUUAGUGUGUACACUCUAAUAGAUUGAUACUUAUACUCUUUAAAUUAUCAUAAUAAUACCCUUAAUUAACUUUAACUCUUAAAAAGAAUACGUGUUAAUAACUCUUAACCUGAAUUGUUACUUAUACAUUAGUGUGAAAUAGAACGGCAAGCAUUGAGCAACUUAUAGGAGAAAUAGUCCUAUAAGCUGUUGGAUGACUAAUAUAGCUCUAGCUGUAAUGUUUUAAUUAAAUUACAUCACUAACGUUGGGAUGACUAAUGGUUUAAAAAUAAUUGAGUAAUUGGAAAAAAAAAAAGAGACUAAUUUUCAUUGAAACCCACCGACAAACUAAACGUGUCCAUGGCUUUUGAAUAGUGCAUUCAACGUUUAAUUGUAUAGUCCAGUUCAUUGCAGAUUACAUGGAGUAAAGAUUGUGCUCUUUCCUUUUUCACCCCUUUUGGAAUCGAUACUGUGGAGAAUUGGGUUUUUCCCUUCUUUUUUUCUUUUCUUUCUUUCUGUGCUUUGCAAAACAUAGGUAAAAUUAUGAAAUCCGAAGCAUUCUUUAAUUGGGAUUAAGUAUUGUUCUUGAAAUUAAAAAGAAGAAAGAAAGAACAACAAAAUUCCCUGAUUGGUUGCAUCGUGCUUCCAUAGAAGCUCUCUUAGUGUGAUACACUGCUUUCAAUCAGUUUAACAUGGAAAAAAGAAAGAGAUGAAAAGCAAAUUUGGUGGGGAUAAUUUCAGAAACCUCCCCUGAAGAUUUUGACUAUUCUACUGGUCUCCCUUCAGAUUUUAAAAAUUACACUAAUCUUCCUUGAAGUUAUAACAUUUAAAUUCAAUCAAUAAUUUAAAAAAUGAUAUUAUGAAAGAGAAAAUAAUAUGAUUUUAUCAUUGCCCCCCAUCUUACUACAUUAUUUAAUUAAUUUAAUAGCAACCCACACAUUAAAGAAAAAUAUAAAAUUUGUUAUUUAUCAUUAAAGAUCAAAUCGCUUAUAACAUCAAAUAAUAGUAUAUUAUUUAUAUUUUUCACUUAACAUAAUAUCCAAAUUACUCUUUUCAAUUACAUACUCAUUGUUAGACAAUCAACAACAAAUAACCAAAAAAUUUGCAACCAAAAUAUUACAAAAAAAAAUAAACUUUAACAUCAUAAAUAUUCUUAUCAACAUAUUAAAGUUAGUUACUGAAAUUUUUAUGGUGUUAAACUUCACUCUUUGUAAUAUUUUGGUUACAGAUUUUUUUUGAUUAUUUUUUAUUAAUUAUGUUUGAUGAUGGGUUUGUAAUUGAAAAGAAUAAUUUAAAACUUACAUUAAGUGAAAUAUAUAGAGUGAUAUACUAUUUUUUAUAACAUAUGUGAUUCAAUCCUUCUUGAUAGGAUUGGUAAUAGAGGUAGAGGGGGGAGUCGGCUGCAUCCGGUCUUCUUUUCAUAGAUAGUACAAUAUUGCGAAAUCAAUCGCAUUCACACAAUAAUAUUUCGAAGUCAAUGCAUGGCUAAGUUGCAUAAAAGUACGAACACUUGUUAUUAUAUAGCUUAAGAUUCAAAACUUUAGAGCAUAACCCUCCACCUAACACAAUUGAAUAAUGAAUAUUCACGUUUGUCAAAUCUGUCAAAGCACAGUUUGAGGACAACCCAUUCCAACCUGCAAAAGAUUUUUUACUUUUCUAAAGUUGUUGAGAGCUGUAAAAAGACCUACCAUGCUUACAUCCUCCGAGCCUUGGGAGUUAAAAAUGAAGGCACUGAGUGCUAUAAAAAGGGGGCUAGAGGCUGCCUAGAAGCAUAUCAGCCUAAAACAAGAAUUUGUUGUUAUGAUGGGAAGCAAAGCAAAAGCAAUGGGGUCUGGGCUGACUCCUCUUCUUGCCACUGUUUUAGUGGUAUUUGUUGCUCUUGGCUUGCCCUCAGAAACAGCAGCUGAUGAUCACUACAAGUAUUCAUCUCCUCCUCCUCCUUACCACUAUCCCUCACCACCGCCUCCAGUGCAUUUACCUCCACCAGUGUACAAAUACAAGUCCCCACCACCACCUCAUCAUGUUUACAAGUACAAAUCUCCACCACCCCCACCACCACACCCAGUUUACAAGUAUAAGUCACCACCACCACCUCCUCAUCCGGUACCACACCCAGUUUACAAGUAUAAGUCACCACCACCACCUCCUCAUCCGGUAUACAAGUAUAAGUCUCCUCCGCCACCACCACACCCAGUUUACAAGUAUAAGUCACCACCACCACCUCCUCAUCCGGUACCACACCCAGUUUACAAGUAUAAGUCUCCUCCGCCACCAGUUUACAAAUAUAAGUCUCCUCCACCACCACCUCCAGUGUACAAGUACAAGUCUCCACCACCACCAGUUUACAAGUACAAAUCACCACCACCUCCUCCCCCAGUUUACAAAUACAAGUCUCCACCACCACCAGUUUACCACUACAAGUCACCACCACCUCCUCACCCAGUUUACAAGUACAAAUCUCCUCCACCACCAAUUUACCACUACAAGUCACCACCACCUCCUCCCCCAGUUUACAAAUACAAGUCUCCACCUCCUCCUCACCACUACUAAGCAAUUGCUUCUGAGGUAAUAACACUUGUUCAAUAACACUUGAUAGCCAGCUGAAUAUUUGCAGGCAAAGGAGAAGGAAACCAGUGUUUGAGACCUUCUUGAAGAUGUAGAAGCAUAAGAAUUAAAGCCCAAUGUGAAGAUGAUGAUUUCAAGUUUUUCUACGUUACCAUUUCAAUAUCUAAAUUGGUUGUAGCGCCUUAGUUCCUUUGUUUAUGGGAUUUGUAUCGUUUUACGUACCAUGCAGUACAUGUCAUGUUUGUAAGGUUUUCUAUCCUGCCGGCAAACCGCAGGUUCCAUGUAAUAAAUCAAUACUAUUUAUAUUACGACACUUUUCUCUGUUUCUCUUAUAUUUUGUCUUUAAUAUUCUUAAUCAUAUUUUUAACAAAAAUAUUCAAACACUUCAGCAAUGGUUCACCUAGUUGAUCAUCGAAGCAGAGGCAAUUCCAAUUAUUUAUCAAUAAAUAGGAUAUAACUACCAAACAAGCGAUGGCAGUUAACCCCUCCUUACUGUGUCGGUGAUCAAGGUACGCCCGUUAAUCACUGCUCUAAUUGAGAAAUAAUCCUAAGUACGCCCGUAGAAUUUAAUUCCCCAAUUGCCUUACAUAUUAGAGGAGCCCUAUUCUAACCAAAUAACGCACUAUCAGGGUUAUUUUAGAUUAGCCCGCGUAUUCCCCUGACAUAAAUCUAAUCAUGCCAGUUGUCAUUAUUUUGAGGUAAUUAAACAAUUACGGAUUUAACACCUCAAUUGACAAUAGAUUAUUAAAUUAAUUAAUUAUUCGGAUCCAAGACAAUCAAUUAAUUAAACAACCAUAAGCACUACAAUCAGAGAAUAUGCAAAUACCAAUAAAUAAAUAAAAAAUAAAAUUAAAUCGAUCUCACAAUUUUUAGGCGAAUCAGAGCAUCCGUUGUCCCUUGACUAGAGCAAGGAAAUUAGUUCAUAUUUGAUGAACUAAACCCAUACAAAAGGGAAGCGAGAAAUGCAGCCAUUAUCCUUUGAAAUCUGGAAAAUUCAACUUGUCCGAAUAUCGAAUAGAUAGUAAUACUACAAAAGGUAAUUCAUAGCUUCCCUUUCGUCUGACACACAAGAAGAAAAAAAAGGGCUGCUAAUAACUAAAGGAGGAAAAGUCAAAGUCCUAAGCUAUGCUACAAGACGAAAAACUAAAGAAGACAAAAAGGCAGUGCUCAUUCCCUGCAAUCUCAAUUCCUAUUCUAUCUAAGUGCUCUCCAAUGUGCGGCGGCUCCCCUUCCGGAGAGGACGAAGUGGCACCCUUUUUUCCUGCGCAAUUUUCCUAUAUAAAGUAGUGCUCCUUGCAGCGGCUCCUGUGCGAAAAAAUGAAGACUUCGGCCCAAUUUGCCUAACAAGGGCUCACGUUUUGUUGUUCUAAAAAUGUCCCUAGGACAAACUCUAUCAUCUGAACUCUUUUCUUGCCAAAUUAGUACCUGUUAUUAUAUUUUCGUUCUACUCCCUGAAAUAAAUGCAAAAUAUCAAAAGUGAGUAGAAUCUAGCAAUUAAUCCACAUUAGGUCAGGUAAUAGGGAAAAUUAAUAAUAAAAUAAAUGAUAAAAUUGCAAUCUAUCACGGGACCACUGUGGUAAGGUGUGUUUCGCCUAUUAUAAGGAGUUCGGAGAGUUAGACGUGUUGGAGGCGGAGGCGCGGUCACUCCUGCACGCCCUCCAGCUGUGUGCAGAUCGCGAGGUACGGGCGUUGACUGUAGAAUCUGAUUCAAAGGUGCUUGUUCAACUAGUUUGCUCGGAUAUGAGGUCGAAGUGGCCGGUGUGUAUCGUAUUGCGGGAAAUAAGACAUUUGAUCCGGCGGAUGGGUGCAUCCCUUCAUCAUAUAUUCCGUGAGGCCAAUUCGGUGGCGGACGCAUUGGCUUCUCUGCAAUUGGGAGGGCAGCAGUACUACACCUCAGGCGUGGCGCUGCCUUUCAGGCCCAGAGGAGAGGCUCUGCUGGAUCGUCAAGGAGUACCUCGCAUCCGUGAGGCGCUCACUAAGGUUUGAUAGGCUAUGUCCUCCUUUCAAAAAACUUAUUUCAUCUACUCCUUGUAAUCAUUUUUCUUAUCAAUAAAUUGAGGCUUUUUAUUUAAAAAAAAACAUAUAAUUUAAGGCAAAAAUAUGAUCCUAGCGAGUAUCGCACUGAGACAUUAGGAAACAUCAUUAAAAGAGUAUUUCUUGAGUUAGUGCAACUAUUUCUUAGGGGAAUUUAUAGUUACAAAAUUCAAAAAUUUGAGAUUCUAUUACUGAUUAAUUAAGGGCGUUAUCACUAUUUUUCUUAUUAUCACCAUUAUUUACCCCACAUACUAUAAGUUUUUUUAGGGCACAGGAAAAGAGGUGGGCCGAUGUUUAGUUAUGUACAAAAGUUCAAAAUUUGUAGAUAACUUAUCAUGUGCCCUUAGAGCGUAGAAUACAGAAAAAAUAUCUUAAACUAUAACUAAUCCUAAUAUUUUUCUCUAUGAUAAACUAGCUCUUAUCCAUUUCUUUAGAUGAUGAAAGGAAAUAGUUAGUCACCUGUCCUCUAGUGAUUACAACAGCAUCAAAACAAAUUAGCACUCUUUUCCCGUAGUUUAAAAAUCCCUCAGCCACUAAGAUUUUGCAUGUCGAACGAAUUAAGGAACAUAGAAGGUUCGUGCUGCACCACAGUGUCCUUGUUGACGAUGCAAAGACAGAAAUGCAUCCGCGUAUACUUCCUUAAGCAUUUUGAUUACUUUAUGAUUCGAACUUUUCUUGUCUGACAGCUGGACUUAAUUGAAAAACACAAGUAACAAUAUUUCAAAGUUGAUUCGUCAAAGUUUACCCAAUUGGUGAAACUUUCUUCAUAGAGCUGACUUUGUAUUAGGUGACAAUGAUAUGGAAUUGAUGUCCUUCCCUUUUUCCUUUUUUUGUGUUGAAGACGCACAACGUUUUCAAUGGCAAAUUUAUAUGGGCUUUUCACGACAAAAUGUGUUCUGAAAAGUUCAUUCCAGAGGUUAAAAUUUUGUGUGUUAAAAAUUUGCUUCUCAGGACUUUGAUGGGAAAGUCUUGGUGUUUCCAAAAAGUUUAAGCAGGAUGCUUCUGGCUUUCUCUCCAUGUAUUUGUGAGUUAGAUCUAAAAUUAUCAGGGCUCCAGAGAUCUCUUGAAAUCGCAGCAUAUAUUGAAGUCUUUCCAGAAGGAGUCUUUUUUUUUUUUUUUAUGAAUUAUGAUAGAUAAUUAAUCUGACGGUGCAUAUAUAUAUAUAUGUGAUUUGCAGUAGGGUGUUUGACGAAAUGGUUAGGCUUCCUAAGUAAUGAUAGGAAUGCCAUUUGCAAAGAAGGACAGGGGGCUGGUGCUGUCAUAUUUUAUGCGAUUUGAUCCGUUGUUGUAUAAGUUUAAACUUUUGACGUGCAAUUGUGCUAUAAUAUUAUACUAAAUAUAUGUGUGAAAUAUUUUGUCUAUAUACAUCACUUUUAUCAUGAAUACAACAGCUGAGUAUAAUAAUAUAGUAUAAUGUAAUUGUACACCAAAUAAUGUAGCAAAUAUAACAAUUGAUCCGAAUUACACGGAACCAUAACAACAAGAUCACCGCCUCCCAAAUUUUACAAAAUUAGGUUUUUUUUUUUUCUCUUAGAUUAUUGAAAAUUUUCAAAAAUAAUCUACAUAAUUUAAGCUUUUGUCCUACAAAAAUUUGAAGAGAUUUUACAUUACAAGCUUAAGCUUAGAUAUAUUAAACUUUGCCCCCAAGAUUAAUUUUCCGUUUUUAUCUAUGAACCGAUCCAUAUAGCUAGUUAGACUGUAGUCCUCACAUUUGUGGGAUUUAACACCCAAGAUUCUCCUUCUUGGAAUGUAAAAUGUAGAUCUUCUAUGUUAAUAAUUCAAGACCCUACUGUCAUAAACGAAAUGACUGAUCAACUCCUGUAAACCUAAUUUGACAACAUUUAAAUGGAGAACUUUAGCUAAAAGAAUUAUGGUCAAGCUAAAGAAAAAGCCAGUUAUUUUCCAACAUAUGCAAUCAUUGAUCAGGAAAAAAAAAAAAAAGCAAAAAGACAUCUUCAAUCAUUUAAUAGCUCACAGUGCAAAUUAACCCCUAAGCGAAAACUGGUUGCUCUAGAAUCAAAAUUUUACCUUAGUUACCCAGGCAACUUUUUUGUUGCUUUUUUUUUUUUCUUUUCCUUUUUGGGUAUAUAUAUAGCUCCAGUUUUGCCCCCUCUGUCAAGCUUAUAUAAUUAUUAAGAUAAUAAAAGUGCCUUGAAUAGUAUUAAUAUAUCCAUUGACUUGAGCUGUCAUCGAUCGGUUUGGGCUACUUCGAUUCCAUGAGAACAAAUGGUAAUAAAAGUACUCAGAAAAUAGGGAGCCAUGAAACCCUUUUGUUCUAUUCAUUGCUAAGAUGCUUUUCUCUAUAAAGAGACUUCCUAACGAAAGUACUUUGUAGAUUUCUUUACUCCAAGUGGUGCAUGGAAAAUUAAAAUAUUCAAUUAUCAAAUAAAAUUCCCUUUUUUCGGUGUAGAUUUCAUCCAUCCAGCUGUUAACACAUUUUAUGUAUCCGAAUUAUAUAUUCUCUACCAAAUAUUGUAACUUUUCUGAGCAUCUUUACAUUUUUAUUCCCACCUAACAAAUUAGUUGUUGAGCAUCUUUACAUGCUAUCGGAUCACAAGUUAAUAAUCUUUUAAAGAACAUGUUAAAUUAAUUUAUUGGUAUGAAUAGUCAAAGAAGUAUAUUAAAGUUAGUAAUCUUUAAACACCACGAUGCAAUUAAUACUUUCAAGCUCAAGGUCUUUUUUUUUUUUUUUUUUGGUACUGUACUUCCUUGCUUUAUAGUAUGCACGUUUAUUUCUGUGGAUUGCUUAAGCUUAUAUUGUUAAUAAUUGGGCAUUUAACCAUAAAUUAUAAUGAUUAUGAAGUCAUAUAUAUAUAUAUAUAUAUAAGAAAAUUACCACAAUUAUUCAAUUUUUUUUGCAAAUUCAAAUUUUAUUAAUAAGAAAUAGGCAGUAAGCUUUUACAAACGGAAAAAAAAAAUCCUACAACAACUCUAGGACCUUUGAAAGAAAGAAAAAAAAAAGAAAAGAAAAGCUUAAGGACUCUACCUCAUAGAAGCUAAACAAUCCUACAAAUAAACUGCAAAAUAAAUCACAAUAACGCAAAAUUUUUGUCUUUCUUCCGUAUGAAAUGAAACUACGAAGUCAAGAAUUGACUCCUUUAACCGCUAUUGCCAGCGGGCUCCGUCAGCAAGAUACAACUUUGCAAUUUGAUUCAAUAGAAAUCCUCAAAUAGCUAUUUUGACAGGCAAAUUAAGCAUUAAUUUUGGUAUCCCUUCAUAAAAUACAAGAGUACUUUUGAUUAUAUCUAUAGAUCAACUUUCUAGGCUAUUUUGAUGUAUUAUAAGAAAAUCUGCCUCAACAAUUUUGAUAGCAUUUUUCCAAAAGCAGAAGAUGGAAAAUUGCCCAUUUGUACUGGGGAGUUCGUGAUCUUUUCCUCCUUCUAGUCUACUUACAAUUCUUGGAAAAAGGAAUACUCACAUCUCAAACAACUGCCUGUUCAUCUGCAAUGUCCUGCCGAAUUCUAGAAAGUUAGGUGGCAAUGCUAAUUACAUUUCAAAAUUGACUGCUGCGAUGACUAAUUCGAUGGCUUACUACAUGGUCAACGUUUGGAUCCCUUCCUGUCCUUUUUGGAUGCACAUUUUUUUUCUCUAGGCAAUAUAUAAUCUCCCAACUCAUUUCUUUACAAAUGCACCUUUAAUCACCACCAAAAGGUGUGGACAUGAUCUUUACCCUAGAAAACUAAUCACCGACAGGCAAAUUGACGUCAGAAAUACUAAGAGGAAUUCUAGUUUCCUUCGGGUUAAUGCCAUUUUGUACCCUUCAACUGUAACUCGAUUUCUAAACUAUAAUUUGUGACAUUAUAGUCCUUAAACUAUGAAACCCCUCUUACUUAAGUACAAUGGUUAAUACAAUACCCGUGACUAGACAAGCAACCAUAACAAAAAAAAAUCCAAAAUUAGAGAAAAGAAAGAAGUUUCGCGACCAAAGUAUGUAUCAAGGCAUAGUAUAGAAAUAAAAGUGUCCAAAUUAAGAGUUUAGGGAUAAAAGAGAUCAAGAUAUAGUUUAGGGAUUGAUUUGUCUCAAUUAGAGUUUUGAUGUCAACUAAGAAGAGAGAUAUAGUUGAAGGGUAGAAUAUAGAUAUAACAGUUCAAUGAUUGAUAUCAACGAGACAAUGACAACUUUGGAUUAUUACCAACCUCUUCUUGAUGGGAAAAGGAAAUAGAGAAGAAAGUCGGGCCUGGUCUAAGCCUGCUUCGGAGGCAAAACAACAUUAUGAAAUCACCGGCAUUCACACAAAUAUGUCAAAGUCACCGGCAUGCUAAGUUGCAUAAUUUAUACAAACACUGAAUAAUAUAUUGUUCUUAAAAUUUUUGUUUAAGAUUUAACAAUUAGAGCACGGUACACGAAUUAGCAAUAUUAAAUAAUGAAUGUUCACGAUUGAUAAAGUUAUCAAAGUACAGUUUGAGGACAACCCAUUCCAACGUGUACAAGAUGUUUAGCCUUUGAAAAGUUAAUUAGAGAAGGUGACGAGAUUUUACUAGGCUUAAAUCUUCUAGGCCUCGGAAGUAAAAAAUGAAGGCCUUUGAGUGCUAUAAAAAGGGGGCUAGAUGUUGCCUAGAAGCAUAUCAGCCUCAGACCACAUUUUGUAGCAAUGGGGAGCAAAGCAAAAGCAAUGGGGUCUAGGCUGACUCCUCUUCUUACCACCGUUUUAGUGGUAUUUGUUGCUCUUGGCUUGCCUUCAGAAACUGUGGCUGAUUACUACAAGUAUUCAUCUCCUCCUCCUCCUUACCAUUAUUCCUCACCACCACCUCCUGUGCAUUCACCUCCACCACCGCCAAUUUAUAAGUCACCCCCACCACCUUACCACUACUCCUCACCGCCACCUCCAGUGUAUUCAUCUCCACCACCACCUUCGCCAGUUUACAAGUCUCCGCCACCACCUUACCAUUAUUCGUCACCACCGCCUCCGGUGCAUUCACCUCCACCACCACCUGUUUACAAGUCACCUCCACCACCUUCGCCAGUUUACAAGUCUCCGCCACCACCUUACUAUUAUUCGUCACCACCGCCUCCGGUGCAUUCACCUCCACCACCACCGAUUUACGAGUCACCUCCACCACCUCCUCCAGUUUACAAGUCUCCGCCACCACCUUACCAUUAUUCCUCACCACCACCUCCAACGCAUUCACUCCCACCACCAGUUUACAAAUCACCGCCACCACCUCCUCCUAUGUAUAAGUCCCCUCCACCACCUUAUCAUUAUUCCUCACCACCACCUCCAGUGCAUUCACCCCCACUGCCACCAAUUUACAAGUCUCCGCCACCUCCAAUCUACAAGUAUAAGUCACCACCACCUCCUCCCCCAAUUUACAAGUCACCACCACCACCUCCUCCAGUAUAUAAGUCCCUACCCCCACCAGUGUAUAAGUACAAGUCUCCACCACCACCUCCUCCAGUAUACAAAUCACCUCCACCACCUCCUCCAGUUUACAAAUCUCUACCACCACCAAUUUAUAAAUACAAGUCUCCUCCACCACCUCCUCCGGUUUACAAUUCCCCACCACCACCAAUCUACAAGUCUCCACCUCCACCCUCCCAUUACUACUACAAUUCUCCUCCUCCUCCUCCUCAUCACUACUAAGCAAUUGUAUCCAAGUUUUUGAGGUAAUAAUGCUAAACCAAUAUAUUAACUUUCGCAUGAUAAACUUUAUCUCUAUCAAGACAAACUGCCAUGUGCAUCAAGCCAAAUACGUACACUUCGAUCCAUGAAAAUGACAAGUAGAAGGUUUUCUUAAGAACCAAGGAACAGCAUUAGUAUUCCCUCUGUUUCCAAAACUUGUGUAUUAAAUAGAUUAAUGAAUUGUUUAACAUGCUUAUCUACUUGAAAAUGCACAAUACCCAUAACCCACUGAAAUUUUUGCAGGUAAAGGGGAAGAGAAUCUGUGUUUGAGAGCUUCAUGAAGAUGUUGAAGAAUAAGAAUAAAAGCCCAAUGCGAGGAUGUUUUCAAGUUUUUCUAUGUUUCCACUUUAAUUUGUAAAUUGAAUUUUUCGACUUAAUUAAUUCCCUGUUUGUGGGGUACGUAUUGUUUUACGUACCAUGCCGUACAUGUUUGUAAGGAUUUCUAUCCUAUUGGCAAAAGUCGGUUCCAUACAAUUAAUCAAUUCAUUUCACUUCUAUUGGCUCUACUAUUUAUGCACGUUACGACAUUUUUUCUCUCUUUCCCUUAUAUUUUGUCUUUAAUAUUAUUGAGUCAAUAGUAAUACUGGGCCAUUUUUUUUAAAACUUAUACUAGUAUACAUAGGUAGUUUGGUCUAACGCCAAAUUCAUGUUUGUCUUUCUUUUAUUCCCUUUACAUUUCAAAGUAUACUAUAGUUUGUGAUCAUUGUGGUGAUGAUAUUACCAGCUGGUACUUAUAGUUUAAGGCAGAGACAUGAUAUUAACAACUAUCUCAUUGAAACAUAAGGAAAAAUCAUGACAAGUGUGAGUCUUGGUUAAUGCACAAUUUGUUAGUGGAAUUUAUAUUUAUAAAACUCAAAAAAAAAAUUUUGACAAUGCUAUUACUAAUUAAUUAAGGACUUUAUUGCUAUAAUUUAUCGCUUGCUAGUUUAAACUAUAAAUGAUCUCAAUACUUUUCUCCAUGAUGUCGAUUUCUUUAGAUACGAAAGGGAAAAAUUAGUGACAUAUCCCUUACUGAUUACAACAUCAGCAAAAAUUAGUUAUAAACUUUUCCGGUGGUUUUAAAUCCCCGGGCCCUAAGAUUUUUUGCUCAUCGAGUGAAUUAAGGAACAUAGGCAAUUCAUUUUGCAUACCAAGUCCUUGUUUAAGAUGCAAGUACUAAAAUGCAUCCACUUCAUUAAUUUGGGAAAUUGCCAUAGUUUUUUUAAGCAUUUUGAUUUUUUACAUGAUUUAAAAUUUUCUUAUUGGAUACAAUCACUUUGUAUCAAGAACACAUUUUCAAUCACCUUUUUUUAUCUUCUCAAUGAGAAAAUAAAAAUUUAUUCAUGCUUUUCUAACAUAUUCAAUCAUUGAUCUGAAAAUUAAAACAUUAAGAAAAGGACAUUUUCAAACAUUAAGAAGUAGUAUUUUAAAGACCAUGAUGAAAUUAAUACUUUCAAGGUCUCUAUUAGGAAGACUUCCUUUAUUAAUACUCUACUAGGCAGAGUUAUAUGCACGUUUACUGUUUUGGCCUUAAGUUGGGUGCAGAUGCUUAUAUUACAAAUAGAUGGUAUCAAAAAAUUGUUGUAUUCACGUCUGUUCUUUUUUUCUUCCUUAAGUUUUUUUCUUUAUUCUCGUGACUUCGCUAGUGAGGUAUAACUUCACAACUAGAGUCAAUAGAAAUCGUCAAAUGAUUUUUUGACAUCCAAAUUAAGCAAUAAAUUUUGUUUUCAUUUCAUAACAUAUAAUAGUACUACUUCAUGGGAGAUUUUAUAGUUUCUUUAGGGUAUCAUACCUACAAUUGAUAUUUAUCAUUGGAUAGUGAAAGAAGUGUUAAUGUCUCUAAGAUUAAAUAUUGUUAAAUAUUGAAAAUUUGAACUAUUUAUCUCUAUUGAGAGAUACAACUUAAAGAAUCCUACCCAAAAGAGACUAGAAUUUUCUCUGUUUUUCAUCAUCUGUAGACAUAAACUUUCCACGGUUGAUAGCAUUUUUCAUCAUCUAUAAGGAAAUUUUGCCUAUACAAUGUGAUAGCAUUUUUCAAAAAGACAAGAUGGAAAAUUGCCCCCCUUGAACGGAAAAUUGCCCCCUUGUCAAUUCUUUAAAAAAGAAUACCGUCCCGCAGAAUUCUAGAAAGUUAGGCAAAACUAGACAAGUUGACAGGUAUAAUCAGACCCAAGAUCAGGAACAAGCAGUUGCACAUUUCAAAAUUCGCUGCUGCAACAACUAAUUUGAUGACUUACAACACUAAAUGGUCAAACUUUGAAUGGCAAUGAAUCUUUUGUUGUACAUCAUGAUGUAAUUUUCAUGUUACAUAAUAGAUUGAUAUCUAUGUUCUUUAAAUUAUCAUAAUAAUUAAAUUUAACUGAAAAAAAGAACACAUAUCAAUACACAAAAGUGUGCAACGUGAAUGUUAUUUUAGUGUAUUGCAGAAGACCUAUAGUCUCUUCAUAUCUCUUCCUGCACGUAUCAAUUCGUUUCCUCUAGAUAAUAAUCUCCCAACUCAUUUAUUUACAAAUGCACCUUUUAUGUUUUAUUACCUCCAAAAGCCUAAAAAUCAAUUCACCGACUCGCAUUUGGUAUCAGAAAUUCUUAUUACGAAUUCUACUUUACUCAAAGAUUGACUGUUAAUAAUGAGACAACGACCAUUUUGUAUUAUUACACCGUCCUUCUUGAUAGGCAAAAGAAAUAGAGAGGAAAGCGGGUCCGUAUAUGGUCUUUUAUUCAUAGAUAAUACAACAUUACGCCAUCGAGCAUUCACACAAUAUUUCAAAGUCAUUGCAUGCCUAAGGCCUGCUUGAUAAUCUAAUUCCGUACUUAAAUUUAAUAAAUUCAAAUCUUAACACAUUCAAAUCGUUUGAUAACAAAAAAUUGAACAUCUAAAUUAAUUAAGUAACACUGAAUUUUCUAGGCAAAACUUGCUCCCAAAAUUAAGUGAUAAGUUAUUCACUUAUCACUGAAUAUGAUAUGUAUUCAAAUGUAUUAGAUUUAAUACUUAAUAAUUUAAUGAAUUCAAAUUUCAUAUUUCAUAUUUCAGUUUUAUCAAACACACCUUAAGUUGCAAAAUAAUACCAAAACUUGUUAUUACAUAGCUUGAGAUUCAAAAAUUUAGAGCAUAAUUCUCAACCAAACACAAUUGAAUAAUGAAUAUUCACGAGUGUCAAAUCUAUCAAAGUACAAUUUGAGGACAACCCAUUCAAACGCGUACACGAUUUUUAACUUUUCUAAAGUUGUUGAGAGCUGUUGAAAGAGAUUUACCAUGUUUACAUCUUCCAAGUCUUGGGAGUAAAAAAUGAAGCCACUGAGUGCUAUAAAAAGGGGGGUAGAGGCCACUUGAGAUCCUCGGUGACAUGUUUUCUAUGCCAAUCCAAUGCCACCAAUAGUGUUGCGCCAAGUGUCAUGUUAUUAUUUACACUUGUGUUAAACUAAGCCAAGUUGAAUUAUUAGAAAAUUAAAGUGUAAAUAAUAACAUGACACUUGGCGCAAUACUAUUGGUGACAUUGGGUUGGCAUAGAAAAUAUGUCACCGAGGAUCCCAAGUGGAUAGAUGCUGCCUAGAAGCAUAUCAGCCUAAAACAAGAAUUUGUAGUAACAAUGGGGAGCAAAGCAAAAGCAACGGGGUCUAGGCUGACUCCUCUUCUUACCACUGUUUUAGUGGUAUUUGUUGCCCUUGGCUUGCCCUUGGAAACUGCAGCUGAUUAUUACAAGUAUUCAUCUCCUCCUCCUCCUCCUUACCAGUAUUCCUCACCACCACCUCCAGUGUAUUCACCUCCACCAACCCCUGUUUAUAAGUUACCCCCACCAUCUCCUCUAGUUUACAAGUCCUCACCACCACCUUACCACUACUCACCACCUCCUGUGUAUUCACCUCCACCAUCACCAAUUUACAAGUCACUGCCACCACCCCCUCCAGUAUACAACUCCCCGCCUCCACCAGUGUACAAAUACAAGUCCCCACCACCACCUUCUCCAAUUUACAAAUCUCCACCGCCACCAGUUUACAAGUACAAGUCACCCCCACCACCUCCUCCGGUAUACAAGUCUCCUCCGCCACCUGUUUACGAGUACAAGUCUCCUCCACCACCUCCUCCAGUGUACAAGUCCCCACCACCUCCAGUUUACAAGUACAAGUCACCACCACCUCCUCCCCCGGUUUACCAAUCUCCUCCACCACCAGUUUACAAAUACAAGUCACCACCACCUCCUCCCCCAGUUUACCAGUCUCCACCUCCACCCUAUCAUCACUACUACGGUUCUCCUCCUCCUCACCACUACUAAGCAAGUGCAUCUAAGUUUUGAGGUAAUAAUACCGAUCCAAAACUUUAUCAACGCAAACUGCCAUGUAUAUCAUGCUAAGGACGUACACUUGAUCCAUGAAAAUGGCUAGUAGAAGAUUUUUUUUAAGAACCAGAGAAAUACAUUAUUUUUUCGCUCUGUUUUCAAGAAUUUGAGCAGUAUACAGAUUAAAGAGUGUUUUUUUUAAACUUGCUUAUCAACUUAGAAAUGCACAUAGCUGAAAGCCAACUGAAUAUUUGCAGGCAAAGGAGAAGGCAAUCGGUGUUUGAGACCUUCAUGAAGAUGUAGAAGAAUAAGAAUAAAAGCCCAAUGCGAGGAUGAUUUCAAGUUUCUACGUUACCAUUUCUACAUCUAAAUUGACUUUAGCUCCUGAGUUCCAUGUCUAUGGGGUUUGUACUGUUUUACGUACCAUGCAGUACAUGCUUGUAAGGUUUUCUGUCCUGUUGGCAAGCCGCAGGUCCAUAUAAUAAAUGAAUACUAUUUAUAUUACGACACUUUUCUCUCUUUCUCUUAUAUUUUGUCUUUAAUAUUGUUGAUCAUUUUUUUUUUUUAUCAAAAGUAUCAAAUGCUUAGGCAAUUUGGUCUAAUGCUAAUUGUUUUACAUUUAUUUUUCACCUACAUCCCUUUUCAACUCAAAGGAUGCUACAGUUUGUGAUCAUUGUUUAAGACCGAAGCAUGGUACUAAUAAAUAUCUCAUUGAAAGUCAAGGAAACUAACAUUAUGAAAAGUGUAAAUCUUGAUUUGUGAAACUAUUUAUUCGUGGAAUUUAGAGAUACAAAACUCAAAUUGUGACGGUGUUGUUGCUAAAUUAUUUUUUUUUUAUAAUAAAACACAGUUCAUUCAAGGAUUACUGGAAAUCGUCCAGCACAAUUGAGAUACAUUGUUGCCCAGGUGGCAGAUAAAUAUGCACUAAAAUUAUAGAUAUGCAAUUUAACAAAUACAUAAGAUUUGAGAAAUUAAGGACAAAUCUAAAAAGGACCAUAAAUUUGAAAAACAUUUCAUCCUAGAAUAAGUCGCUGCAACUCUCUUUGUGCAUGCUGUAAUCGUCAGAUCUACUAAUCAACAGUUGUAAGGUCCAGUAAAGAUGGUGAGAUCUGCCGAGAUUGAUCCAAAUCUGAAAUAUUCCCUCAGAUCUGCUAUCCAAUUGGUUCAAACUCAAUACUGAAAGUGAAAUCUGAUGAGAAGACUGAAAAAAUUGUAGAUCUAACAUAUAGAUCUAAAAAAACUCCAAGAUUUGAAAAAGUAAAGAAACAAAACUAAAUAAAACUCUCAUUAAGAUAGUUUAGGAGAGACUAAAACUCUCAAUAGGACACCCUAGGAGAGAAGAAAACUCUCACUAGGAUAACCUAUGAGAGACUUUAUUGAAUGAAAGGAAAAGCAAAGGACAAAGGAAGAAGAAGGGAGACCUUGGCUUAAGGCCAAGGUCUCCCUCCUAUGGAGGAGGAAGGGUAGAGGAGGAAGCCUAGAGAGAAGGAAGAGAAUCCCUCCGCUAGAGGGAAGGAAGAGCCUCUGAGAGGGUACCCGUGUUGUUGCUAAAUUAUUAAGGACAUUAUCACCAUUACUUUUCCCUUACUAGUUUCAACUGCAAUGAUCUCAAUCUUUUUGUGACUAAUUCUUUUCUUAAUAAUUUAUAAAUACAAAACUCACAAAGAAUAUGUGACUUAUUCUUUCCUUUCGUCUUCUAAAGAAAAUGCCAACUGUUAGUUUAUCAAGGGAAAAAGGAUCGACAUCAGUUGUUAUUGAAACUAGUAAGGAAUAAAUAAUGGUGAUAAUGUCCUUAAUAAUUUAACAACAGCACCAUCAGAAUUUGAGCUUUGUAUCUAUAAAUUCCACGAAUAAAUAGUUUCAUCAAAUCAAGAUUUACACUUUUCAUAAUGUUAAGUUUCCUUGACUUUCAAUGAGAUAUUUAUUAGUAUCAUGCUUCGGUCGUAAACAACGAUCACAAACGAUAGCAUCCUUUGAGUUGAAAAGGGUAGUGAAAAAGAGAAGUAAAAAAUACAAUUAGCAUUCCCUCAAAUUGUAGAAAGUUAGGUAGCAUUAUAGACAAGUUGAUAGCCGUAAUUAUACUAAAAAUCAGGCAAAAGCCAGCAAUUUUACAUUUCAAAAUUCACCUAUUCAAUAACUAAUUCGAUGGCUUGCUACAUGGUCAAAAUUCACCACAUAUCCCUUUCCUCAAUCAGGGGCUUCUACAAUUACCAGUUCCAAUUGUAUGGUAUAGUGUAAAUAUCAACAAAUUAGAUGUAGACACUAAUAUAAUAAAUAUGGAUGCUAAGGCAACAACAUACAAAAACAUAAUAAAUUUUGGCAUUCCUUAAAAAAUUACGUCCCCAAAUCAAUCUCAUACACCCAAUUUCUAAUUUAUUUAACUCAUUCCGUCUAUUAACUGCACCAUACAAUCCAACCUGCAAUUGCAUGAACCCCAAUCUCGCUUCCUAGUCCACCAUUUUUCUCUAGGUAAUAAUCUCCCUUCUAAUUUCUUCACAAAAUGCACCUUUCAUCACCUCCAAUAGCGUCGACAUGAUCUUUACCCUAGAAGACUAUUCACCGACUCCCAAUUGACGUCAGAAAAUCUAAGAGUAAUUCUACUUUACCCUAAGAUUGAUAUCAACUAGACAAUGACAAUUUAGAAUUAUUACACGCCUCUUCUUAAUAGGAAAAAGAAAUAGAGAAGAAAGUCAGGCCAGGUCUAAUUUCUUUUCGAAGGCAAUACAACAUUACGAAAUCAAGCAUUCAUUCAUACAAAUAUUUCAUAGUCACCGGUUUGCUGAGUAGAAAAGUUUAUACAAAAACUUAAUAUUAUAUUGUUUAAGAGUUAACAAUUUAGAGCUUAAUCUCCUUGUACUUUGGACUAAACUCGAACGUGAAAGGAAAUCCCAAAACCAUAUUGGGCAUGAAUUCACACUUAAAUAGACCCAAAAAAAGAUGGCGACUGGUGAAAGGCAGUGGAGACUGGUGGUGAGAUUUGAGGAAUAGAAGCAGACGGAAAAGCCACAAAUUUUUGCCGAAAGAGGGUCACUUUCAUGGUUAAUUUUGCUACUCUCUACUUGUACUUGACCAAUGACAGGUUGUCAGUCUGUGCAAUAAUAAAAACCUGUUCAAACUAAAAGUAAUUUCUGUAGAUAGUGGUAAGCAGGGUCGAAUCCACAGGGAUUAGGUGUAACUGUUUCUUUUCAAAUUCACAAUAACAAAGGGGGUGUUUUUAUGCAGAAUGUGACAAUCAAAGAAAUUCAAUUAAAAGUAAAAUAAUAAAAAUAAAAUAGCCAACUAGAAAUUAAAUAACAAUUUACUAAAAUCAAAUGAGUGAUAAUUAAGGAUCUAGCCAAGGAAUAACUUCAGCAGUGGUUCACCUAAUUGAUCAUUGGAACAAAGGCAAUUCCAAUUAUUUACUAAUAAAUAGGUUAUAACUGCCAAACAAGCGAUGACAGUCAAUCACUCCUUACUGUGUCGGUGAUUAAGGUACGCCCGUUAAUCACUGCCCUAAUUGAGAAAUAAUCUUAGGUACGCCCGUAAGAUUUAAUUUUCCAAUUGCCUUACAUAUUAGAGGAGUGUCAGGAACAAGGAAAUAGAAUGGGACGUCGUUUAAUGCAAAGGGUUGUGCGUUUAAGGCCUUAGAAGCAAUACUACGUCGUUCUAAUAACAUAGGCGGUGCUGGUGUGAUAGGCCAAGUUAGUUGAGGGUCAAUUACAUAAAUAGCCUUCUGUAACAGAUUUUUGGUUAUGUUUUUGAAUGAAAAGUAUCUCGCUGCUUUCUCUCUCUUGUCUGUUAUUUCCCUCCCUUUUCUUCUUUCUCUCUUCCCUCUUCUUAAUCUUGUUUCUUUCUUCUGAUUCUUCCCCCAAAUUCAAUACAAUUCCAGAAAUUAACCUGCAAGUCUGACAUUUGGUAUCAGAGCGGUCGAUUCUUGGCCGCGAAGGUAUCAGAAAUGGCUGAGAGCACGCGAUUCAGGACACUGGAGGAGCAACUCAAGAAGCAGGAGAAUCGGUUGCAAGAACUGGCGGAAUCCAUGGCUGCACUGCAGAGUACGAGUUCCGAGGAGUUGCGGCAUAAGCUACAGGCGGAAAUGGAGCAGAACAAUGCAAAAUUGGACGCGGUGGUGGGAAGUCUGGACCAGAAGUUCAAUAAAAUGGAACAGAGACUCAGUACAGUGUUGAAGCUGCUGAUGAAGGAGAAAGGUCUCCCUGAUGUCGAAGGAGGAAUUUCUGAUCCAAUCUUGCCGACUCCUCCAUCUCAUCUGAGGUUAGCAUCCUCAGUCGAAGGGAUUGGGCACCAACAAGAGUACAGAGGUAGGCAAUUCACUCCUAAUGUACCUCGAUUAGAACUGCCAAUGUUUAACUCUGGAAACCCUAGGGAAUGGACCAGGAAAUGCCAGAAAUAUUUUUUGAACUAUCAGAUAGCAGAGAGUCAAAAGGUAGAGGUAGCAGAGAUGUUUUUGGAAGGUAGAGCUGACAAUUGGUUUCAAGGAGUGAAAUUGGUGAGGCCAGGGUUGUCUUGGGGGGAAUUUAGUGAACUUUUGUGUGAAAGAUUUUCUGGAAGUAGUUCUCGUGACAUUGUGGAGGAAUUUAACAAGUUACAGCAGAAAGGAACUGUUGAGGAAUAUGAGGAGAAAUUUGAAGAACUAAAAGCUCUAAUGCUGAUGAAAACCCCCAGGUUGGAUGAACUUUACUUUGUUUCCAGUUUUAUUAGUGGCCUCAGGGAAGAAAUUAGACCUAUGGUGAAGAUGUUUAAGCCUCAAACACUGAUGAAGGCCUUUGAAGUUGCGGAGUUGCAGGAGUGUUCCCUGGAAAUCCAAUCGAAACAAAACAGAACUUCAAGGAGGACAGCAAUGGAACCCAAGUUUGGAAUGUAUAAGGGCACUACGAGUGAUUAGGGUCGCCAAAAUUCAUAUAAGUUGCCUGGAGUCACUCCUGUCUCCAGGAGGACUAAUGCAGUACACAAGGAAUUUAGUAAGAUAUCAGCGGAGGAAAUGCAGUAUAAGCGUAAGCACAGCCUGUGCUAUAGGUGUGGAGAGAAGUUUGGAAUAGGUCAUCAGUGUAAGAAAGGAAGUCUGAACUGUGUGAGCACUGAGGAAGAGGAGGACACUGAAUUUGAGGAUGCGGAAGGGGAACAGGAUGAGUUAACAGGAAGGGUCGGGGAACUUGCAGAAGUCUCUUUGAAUGCUUUAUCUGGUGCCAUAAGGAGGAAAUCCAUCCUGUUGAUAGGGAACUUAGGGGGGCUUCCAGUCAAAAUUUUGGUGGACACAGGCAGUUCUAACAGCUUCAUUCACCACAGGAUUGUCAACCUACUGCAUCUACCAUAUCAGGCAGUCAGUCCAUUUACUGUGACUCUAGCAGAUGGAACUGACAUUACCAGUGGAGCCAUCAGUCCCAGCGUGUCUUGGUUAAUUCAGGACUAUCAAUUCCAAUUUGACUUAAAAGUAAUGGAAUUAGGGGGAUGGGAUAUAAUUCUGGGGGUGGACUGGAUGUGCCAGUAUAGUCCCAUUACAUUUGAUUUCCACUCUCUUAGCAUUGCCCUUAGUGAUAGGGGUUCUUUACUACACCUCCAAGGACUUGUGAAGCAACCUACUAUGGAACUGGUGAGGGGCAGGGAUCUCAGCUCGUUUAUACAGGAGAAGCAAAGAAACUGUGCAGCCAUGCAUGCUGAUAGGGCCAGGGAAACAGGAGAGCAGCUUCCAAAAGCUAUAGAAAGGAUCCUGGAACAGCACUCUCAGGUUUUCUCCACCCCAACAGGAUUACCCCCAGAGAGGGAAUUGGACCAUCAGAUCAACCUCAAACCAGGAGCUGAACCCUUCAAGCUCAAACCUUACAGGUACCCCCACUCACAUAAAGCAGAAAUUGAAAAAAAAGUUGCUGAGAUGCUCACUAAUGGAAUUGUUAUACAUAGCACAAGCCCCUAUGCCUCCCCUGUAUUGUUAGUAAAGAAAAAGGAUAACUCCUGGAGAUUAUGCAUAGAUUACAGGAAGCUGAACGAGCUGACUAUAAAGGAUAAGUUCCCUAUUCCCAACAUAGAUGAACUAUUGGAUGAAUUACAUGGAACCAGAUACAUGUCCAAACUGGAUCUCAGAGCUGGUUACCAUCAGUUGAGGGUGAAAGCUGUUGAUACCCCUAAGACUGCCUUCCAGACACACCAUGGCCACUUUGAAUUCUUAGUGAUGCCUUUUGGACUCACAAACGCGCCAGCUACAUUUCAGUCCUUGAUGAACAGAAUAUUUCAGCCAUAUCUCAGAAAGUUUGUCCUAGUCUUCUUUGACUACAUAUUAGUGUACAGCCCCACACUAGAGAUGCAUGCACAGCAUCUACAGAUUGUGCUCAAUAUUUUAGAAGAAAAUCAGCUGUAUUACAAGAGGUCAAAGUGCUCUUUUGCCCAGUCCUCAAUUGAAUACUUGGGGCACGUGAUCUCAGAGGCAGGAGUGAGUAUGGAUGUGGCUAAGGUGGAGUGUAUCAAGUCCUGGUCUGUUCCUAGUACAGUCAAGGAGCUGAGAGGGUUUUUGGGAUUAAUUGGUUACUACAGGAGAUUCAUUAAAGGCUAUGGAGUGAUUAGCAAACCCUUGACUGUAUUGUUGAAAAAGGAAGGUUUUGCAUGGAACCAUGAAGCUCAAAUGGCCUUUGAAGAUUUGAAAAAGGUUAUGACCACAGCCCCAGUGCUGAGCAUGCCUAAUUUCGAACUUCCUUUUGUCAUAGAGACUGAUGCCUGUGGAAUAGGUAUUGGAGCAGUGUUGAUGCAGCAAGGACAUCCUAUUGCUUUCCUUAGCAAGGCAUUAUCAGUUCAGAAUUUGGGGUUAUCAGUCUAUGAAAAAGAGCUUUUUGCCUUAGUGCUAGCUGUAACUAAGUGGAGGCAUUACCUGGUGGGUCAUCACUUCAUUAUCAGGACAGAUCACCAAGCUCUCAAACAUUUGAUAGAGCAAAGGCUUACUCAUCCACUCCAGCACAAGUGGCUAACUAAGCUACUUGGUUUGGACUAUGAAAUACAGUAUAAAAAGGGUGCAGACAAUGGGGUGGCAGACGCCCUCUCCAGGAGAAGGAUUGAGGGAAACACUGUUGACUGUGGAGAGACUGGGCAUCAGACCUGCGCCAUAACCUCAGCUCAGCCUAGUUGGAUGCAGGAAAUGCUAGAAAGCUACAUUGGAGAUGCAGAGGCUCAACAGAAGUUAUCUGAGCUAUUGCUGGAUCCCAAUGCAGAUCCAGAUUAUCAGUUAAAGAAUGGGAUGCUCAAGUUUAAAGGGCGGCUGUACAUAGGAUCUGCUAACAACAUUAGGACCAAGGUGGUCAGAGCAUUGCAUGACUCAGCCCUUGGGGGGCACUCAGGUCCUGGAAUCCGUAAGGAUGUCCUUCAAUAUGUGAGAUCUUGUGAUGUGUGUCAAAGGAACAAACAUGAAAAUGUUCCUUAUCCUGGGUUGCUGCAACCAAUUCCUGUACCUCAGCAGGCUUGGUCACACCUCACCAUGGAUUUUAUUGAGCAACUACCCCCAUCCCAUGGAUUUGAUACCAUUUUGGUGGUGGUGGAUAGGUUAACCAAGUUCAGCCACUUCAUUCGACUCACUCACCCUUUUUCUGCACAGCAGGUAGCACAGCUUUUCCUUGACAACAUAUACAAGCUGCAUGGACUUCCUGAGACCAUUAUAACUGACAGGGACAUAAUCUUUCUUAGUAAGUUUUGGCAAGAGUUAUUUGGUAUGGUAGGGGUAAAGCUGCACUACAGUUCAUCGUAUCACCCUCAAUCAGAUGGUCAAAGUGAAAGGGUCAAUCAGUGUUUGGAAAACUAUCUCAGGUGUAUGUGCAGUGAGCAUCCUUCUCACUGGAGCAGUUGGCUUCCUACAGCUGAGUUAUGGUACAACACUAACUUCCAUACUAGCUUGCAGGUGACACCAUUCGAAGCACUAUACGGGUAUAAACCAAAUCACCUUCCCUUAGGACCUUUUCAUGAUAGCCUGGUACCUGCUGCUGGUAACAUGGUGCAGACUAGGCUCCAAAUUCUAUCCCUCAUCAAAGAGAAUCUAGCCACCGCCCAGAAUCGAAUGAAAAUGUUUACUGAUAAGCACAGGACUGAACGUGUCUUCCAAGUGGGGGAUUGGGUAUUUCUCAAGCUGCAACCUUACAGGCAACAAUCAGUGGCCUUACGGAAGAAUUUGAAGUUGGCUGCCAAAUACUUUGGACCUUUCCAGAUCCUUGCGAGAGUAGGGGAAGUCGCCUACAGACUUAAGUUGCCAGAGGGAGCUCGAGUUCAUUCCGUGUUCCAUGUGUCCUUACUUAAAAGGAAAGUGGGAGUUACACAGCAGGUAAAGCCCAGCUUGCCAGAAGUAGACGCAUCAGACCAAUGUUUGCUGAAGCCAGAGAAGAUUCUCCAGAGGCGUGUUAUCAUACGAGCUGCCAAACCAAUCAUCCAGUACCUGGUGAAGUGGAACAACUUACCAGAAUCCGAAGCAUCAUGGGAGGAUAAAAGCUUCAUUGACAGACAAUUUCCGGAAUUUCAAGCUUGAGGACAAGCUUUGCUUAAGGGGAAGAGAUUGUCAGGAACAAGGAAAUAGAAUGGGACGUCGUUUAAUGCAAAGGGUUGUGCGUUUAAGGCCUUAGAAGCAAUACUACGUCAUUCUAAUAACAUAGGCGGUGCUGGUGUGAUAGGCCAAGUUAGUUGAGGGUCAAUUACAUAAAUAGCCUUCUGUAACAGAUUUUUGGUUAUGUUUUUGAAUGAAAAGUAUCUCGCUGCUUUCUCUCUCUUGUCUGUUAUUUCCCUCCCUUUUCUUCUUUCUCUCUUCCCUCUUCUUAAUCUUGUUUCUUUCUUCUGAUUCUUCCCCCAAAUUCAAUACAAUUCCAGAAAUUAACCUGCAGAUCUGACAAGGAGCCCUAUUCUAACCAAAUAACACACUACCAGGGUUAUUUUAGGUUAGCCCGCGUAUUCCCCUGACAUGAAUCCAAUCAUGCCAGUUAUCACUAUUUUGAAACAAUUAAACAAUUACGGAUUUAACGUCCCAAUUGACAAUAGAUUAUCAAAUUAACUAAUUAUCCGGAUCCAAAACAAUCAAUUAAUUAAAUAAUCAUAAGCACUGUAAUCAGGGAAUAUUUGAAUACCAAUAAAUAAAAAGAAAGGACAAAAUUAAAUCGAUUUCACAAUUUUUAAACGAACCACAACCUCAGUUGUUCCUCGGCUAGAUUGAGAAAAUUAGCUCAUGUUCGAUGCGAAAAAUCCACAAGAAAUUGUUAAGAGAGCCGCGGCCAUUGUCCCUUGAAAUUGGGGAAAUUCAAUUCGGUUGAACUACGAAAGAAAAGUAAGCUACAGAGAGUUGCCGAUUGGGUUUUGCUUGUCCCUAACAUGCGAGGGAGCAAAGCCACGAAAGGACGACAAAGGUCAAAAAGAAAGGCUACAGAGCAUGUUCCAGGUCUUUUUGUGCUCUCCACAUCCGAGCCAACGAAAAGAAAUAAAAAACUACCAGGAGCUAAAGGAAAACCGCAAGAAAAGUCAAAGGCUAAAAAAACUUCCUAGUGCUUGUUCUCUGCUUAUCUCUUUAUCUAAUUCUAAGUCCCCGAUUUUUUGCUCCGUGCGGCGGCUCCCCCGGAGAGAAAGGAUUGCAUCCGCUGCCCUCUUCCACCAAUUACCAAAAUGGGCACACCGCUUCUUUUUCAAAAAUGCUCCUGGAUAAACUCUAUCAUCUGGACUUUUUUUCUGUCAAAUUGACAUUUAUUAUUAUAUUUUCGUUCUACUCCCUGAAAUAAAUGUAAAAUAUUAAAAAUGAGUAGAAUCCGACAAUUAAUUCACAUCAGGUCAGAUAAUAAAGAAAAUUAAUAAUAAAAUAAAUAAAUAAAUUGCAACCUAUCAACCAAAUACAACAAUUUCAUGGAGUUUGAUACACAAGCCCAAAUACACGAGAGUGUGUAACCUGAAUUGUUACUUAUACAUUAGUGUGUAAUAGAACGGCAAGCAUUAUGGUGGUCAUUGAGCAACUUGUAGGAGAAAUAGUCCUAUAAGCUGUUCAAUGACCAAUCACAACUUGCUAAUUGGAUGACUAAUAUAGCUCUAGCUGUAAUGUUUUAAUUAAAUUCCAUCACUAACGUUGGGAUGACUUUUUAAUCAAAAAAAAAAAAGCCUUAGUUCAAGCUUUUCCCCUUAUUGUGCAUUUUUUAAAACAUUUGAUAGGCACUGCAAAUCUGUCAUUUUGGACAUUUUAUUAUUAACUAACAAUGAAAGCCGUGGACAUCAACCCAUAUCCAACAAAAUAUUAAAUUAAUAUUAGAAAAAAUUAUUAAGUAAUUGGAAAAAAAAAGAAGAGGCUAAUUUUCAUUGAAACCCACCGACAAACUAUACGCUGCUUUCAAUCAGUUUUAACACGGGAAAAAGAAAAGGCAUGAAAAGCAAAAUUUGUGGGGAUAAUUUCGGAAACCUCCCAUGAAGUUUUUGACUAUUUUACUGGCCUCCCUUCAGAUUUUAAAAAUUGGACUAAUCUUCCUUAAAGUUAAUUAUCUUGUAACAUUUAGAUCCGAUCAAUAAUUUAAAAAAUAAUAUUAUGAGAGAGAAAAUAAUAUGAUUUUAUUAUUGCCCCCAUCUCACCACAUUAUUUAAUUAAUUUAAUAGCAACCCACACAUUAAAGAAAAUGACAGGUCGUCAACCUGUGCAAUAAUAAAAUUAAACCUAAUUGCCAGUUAAAAUGACCAAAACCCAAUUCCAAGUACUGGAGCAGGGACUCUAGGUGUGCAAUGGGUUACUUGAUUCACCCUGUUCCCGAAGAGUUUGCUUGAUCCGAUAUACCCGAAUGGAAUGGUUAUUCCUUUUCACAAAUGAUUAGGAAUUUGUAGACAGGGCAAGUAGGGUCGUAUCCACAGAGACUGGGUAUAUUUGUUUCUUAAGAAAUCCAAAGUAACACAGGGGGUGAUUUUGUAGGAACGACGAUAAUUAAAUAAAUUCAAAUGAGAAAGUAAAAAUAAAUAAUUAACUAGAAAUUAAACCACAAUUUACUGAACUCAGGAUAACAAUAGUUAAAGGCCUCAAUUAAUUAAAAUAAGGAAACAAUCAAAAAUAAAAUAAAGUAGGUAAUUAAAAGUCAAAUGGCAAUCCACUACAAUCAAGGAAAUAUUAACUAAAGAUCUAGCCAAGAAAUAACUUCAGCAAUGGUUCACCUAAUCGAUCAUUGAUGCAAAGCAAUCCCAAUUAUUUACUAAUAAAUAGGUUAUAACUACCAAACAAGCGAUGGCAGUCAACCCCUCCUUACUGUGUCGGUGAUCAAGGUACGCCCGUUAAUCACUGCUCUAAUUGAGAAAUAAUCCUAGGUACGCCCGUAGAAUUUAAUUCCCCAACUGCCUUACGUAUUAGAGGAGCCCUAUUCUACCCAAAUAACACACUACCAGGGUUAUUUUAGAUUAGCCCGCGUAUCCCCCUGACACGAAUCUAAUCGUGCCAGUUGUCACUAAUUUGAGGUAAUUAAACAAUUACGGAUUCAAUACCCCAAUUGACAAUAGAUUAUCAAACCAAUGAAUUAUCCGGAUCCAAGACAAUCAACUAAUUAAAUAAUCAUAAGCACUGCAACCAAGGAAUAUGCGAAUACCAAUAAAUAAAGGAAAAGAUAAAAUUAAAUCGAUCUCACAAUUUACAGGUGACCCAAAGCAUCAGUCGUUUCUUGACUAGAACGAGGGGGUUAGCUCAUAUUGGAUGAACUAAGCCCGCGGGAAAUUCCAGCAAAAGUCACGGCCGUUGUAUGCAUUUCAAGAGCCGCAAUUCGUCAAACACUUGGAAAGCGAAUGUAAGGCACGGGUAACAAUUGAAACUUUCUAAUUGUUCCUAGCAUUCGUAAAGCAAAUUCACUCCAGAAGUACAGUGAGGAAAAGUCAAAGAAAGUGGGCUUCAAUUCCUUGCUCCUGACAUGCGUGGAGACAAGCCAAUGCAAGACUACAAUAAACUAACAAGGAAAAGUCAAGAAUUGGAGCUAAGCUCCCCUGCCAUGCGCAGGAAUCCCAAAAGUAAAAAGUAAAGCUUCAAAGAAAAGUCAACAAUUCUUCCUAAGCUACAGACGGAAGAUCCAGCACAAAAGCCAGCUCCCUUUUUGAUCCCUUUUUCCCCCUUCUUAUUGCGGCGGCUCACCAGGAGAGGAGAGCCCUCCGUCCGUCCUUUCUUCCGGAAAUUACCAAAAUGGGCAUGACAUCUUCUCUUCCAAAAGUGCCCCUGGGACAAGCUUUCUCAUCUGAAUUCUUUUUUUUUCCAAUUUGGCACCUGUUAUCAUAUUUAUAUUCUACUCCCUGAAAUAAACGUCAAAUACUAAAAGUGAGUAGAAUCCAGCAAAUAAAUCCACAUCAAGUCAGGUAAUAGGAGGAAUUAAUAAUAAAAUAAAUGAAUAAAUUGCACCCUAUCAAUUCCCUCCACACCUAAACCAUGCUUGUCCUCAAGCAUAAGAAAAGUAAACGAACACCAAAAUUCGACGAUAGCCAUUGCCCAAUCUCCUAUAUUGCCAAGACAUUCAAGAGAAAAACACAUAUCGAGCAUUGGUGAUUAGAAUCCCAGAAGCAUCCCCCCGGUUAGCCUCUAACCCCCAGAUUCCUUCAAUUUCCAACUUAACUACUCUAAGAAAGAGGAAUGGCACACAACAUUUAUCAGCUAGUGGUCCGAAUAUUCACACAAGUCUUCAUAUCCAAUCCAUAAACCGGCAAGCUUCCCUAUUAUUUAGUCUCUCUUUUUUUCCGUUUUUUUUCAUUUUCAUUCUUCCCCUCUUUUUUUUUUUUUUUUAAAGCAGUAGCAAUCAACACAAAAGACUUAGUCGUUAGCCGUCAGGGCCUUUUGAUGCGAACUCCAACAUUUUUAGAAGGAGGAGCCCGGUUACUCAGCUCCUACCGCUAUACGACCACGCACUCAUAUAAAAUACCACCUUUUGACGCGAGAAUCGACACUUUUAGGUGCCGAUCCCCGGUUACUCAGUAGUAACUUAAUAGCGGAGCACAGUCAAGCUUAUUCUCAGCCAAACAAUGCACAAACGCAAAAUAACAGCACUAACAAUCAAACAUAGGAGCAGCUCGCCUCAUUAUUGUCAAACAUGGAGAACUGGAGUCAAUAUUGGACCAGUUCACAUUAAAAGGCCAUAUUCAUUCCCUACGCCUAGAAAAGUUAACAAAGAAAUCGAAAGAGUCAAACAGUUAAAUAUUCACCAAGGGGAUAUUCAGGACCCAACCACACUAACCCGAUACAUUUUGUAUUUUAAAAACUUGGCAAAAGUAGAUUUGGAGUCAAUGAGUCCACAUCUCAAUUUUAGCCUUCACAUGAAAGGCAAUCACCAAGAAGAAAGAACGGAAAAAUAAGCAACUAGAAAUGAGACUACGAAAAACUACUAAAACUAAAAACUCACUUUUUUUCUUUUUCUCUUUUUUUUUCUUUUUGAAUUUUUUUUUCAUUUUUAUUUUUUUUUAUUUUUUUUAUUUUUUAAACAUUAACUAUAAACAUUAACUACUAAAAACUAAAAACUAAAACUACUAAAAACUAAAAACACUAAAAACUGCUAAAAUGAAAAGCUGAAAACUGAAAACUACUAAAAACGGAGCACACUAGCAUAACUUUAGAUCCCCCCCACACCUAUAGGACACAUUGUCCUCAAUGUGACAAAUAAGAACCAAAAGUGAAGCACAAGUGAGAGGGGAAUCAGCCAAACUUCCCUGAAAUCGGGUCACAGCGGAGGGCGAGGUGGAAAUGGAGGUGCAAAGCCUGUAUGCAUCAGGAACUGUGCCAAAUUCUGUGCUAUGCCGGCGACAUUGGCGUCGACGUUGGUCAUCCGGGCCUGCAAAUCCUGAACCAGCUCCCUGAGAUGCUGCCAAUCAUCGGUCCCAGGUGGUGGAGGUGGCGCAGAAGUAGAGGUAGACGGCCCAGCAGUGUCCGCGGCCGACCCAGGGAAUGAAGAUGGCCCUGCCCGGGCCGAAUGGUGUGCACCCGGGGCUCGAGGUGGUCCCGGACGGGUAAACUGGUGAAAACCAUCUGGCAGACGCUCGACGACCCCCAUUUUCUCUAAGCAAACUACGUCCAAGUGCUCCAUCUCAAAUGCCAAAUGGAGGUCGUGGUCAUCCAGGUUAAGAACUCCCAACUGGGUCGCCAAGUGAGUGAUGUAGGACCCAAGGAUCAGUGGUUUGUUCUUCUUGGUCAAGACCGUCUUGAACUGUGCGGCCAACCAACAUCCCAAGUUCACCUUGAUAUUGUUCUUCAUACUCCAGAGAAAGAAGAAUUCGGGCCGAGAGAGUAUACCGGAGCUGUCCUUGCGCCCCGAGUAGCUAUAAGCUAAGAAUCGCUGAACAUAGCGGGCGCUAGGGUCCUUAAGAAAGGAGCUCCUGGACCGGGAAGGAUCGUAGCGUUGCCUAUCGACGGACAUGUCCUCCCAUACAUCAUGGUAGUGGGAGAGGAAAGGCUCUACGUAGUCACAGGCACUCUCCGCAUACUCCCUAGUCUCAGCAUACUCUCUAGUGAUAAACCCAAAUGCCAGAUUGAAUUGAGUAAUGGAGAAAUUGAAUUCUCGACCCAUGAGCCGGAAAUGAAUGACAUUCGGUGUUUCACCCGUGUAUCUCGUAGGUAAUUCGAACUCAAAGGUGGAGUAAAACUCCCGGAUCAGCUCAACAAAAGCGGGACAAGAAAUAUGGAAAUAUGGGCGCCACCCAAUGGCUGUGAACAUUUGCUCAACCUCCUCCCGUAUACCCAGGGCAGUUAGAGAGAGUCUAUGACAAGACUUACAGGAUAUUAUACGCCUCUCGCAGACCUUAGCGUACCUCUGCCGAUCGGCGGGUCUGGUAAAUGUUAAGUGCCCCCCAAAAUGAACAGGUGCAUCUACCUGAGCACCCCUAUCCCUACCCAAACGGGUUCGAACACUAGAAGAGGAGGGUAGGUUGGUAGGUGAGUUGACAGGAAUAGAGGCUUGUGGAGGGGGUUGAGACUGAGAGGUCCUAGACCUAGAGGAGGAUUUCGGUCUCACCAUUCCCCCCAAAGUAAGUUCAAGGCAACAGAAAAUCCGACAAGUAUAGAAACCAGCAAUUGACAAAGCAAAAAUCUCCCAGUAGUAACCCAGCCAAUAGCAAACAAAAGAGUUCCAGCAAGUAAUCAACAAGCAAUUCAGAAAUAUCUCAACUAAAAUCUCAAGAGAAACCCCAGCGAGUUAUCCAGCAAUUCAAGCAAUAUCCCCAAGCAAUGUGGUGGUCAAAAUGUCAUCUCCAAAUUGAACAAAUAAUCAGAGCAUUGCAACACAUUGAAAAUCUCAAUAAACGGCUCCAGUUGGCCAAGAAAAAUUGCUAACUCAUACUCAGCAAUAGUAGUGCAGCAAAGGGACAGUAACCACGCAAUAAAAACACUUAGCUUGCACUCAAAUGGUCACCCCAAAUAACAACCCAGUAUGAAACCCGCAGGCAGAGUAUUCCUCAAACCGUUAGCCUAAACCCAGUCAACAACCACGGCCAGAAAUAACCCCAUAAAUAGUGCAAUGAGUAAUCCCCAGCAACAUAAUCAGGUGUAAUCAACUGGAGCAAGCAAUUUACAUGGCAUAGAAACCUCCCAAUCAAACAAGUGCAUUAUUCUAGCGCACCCCAAAAUUCCAAGAAAUGGCUCCAGUUGGCCAAUUAAUUUCACAAUGUCACCCAACUCAGGAGAAAUAGCAAUUCCACACAAAAAUAGUCAAACCAGUACCACUGGCGAAAAAUCUUUCAAAUAUGCACAAUUUGCUACCAAAUAUCACCGGCUAACACUGAAAAAUUGAGGGCAAGUGUCAAAUACCUCCACAGGGACUACCCCAGGCGGCAGACAGAGAAGCGGCGUUGAAGCUGGUGGUCGAGCGGGGCGGCGCUCGCGUCGGCGUGCGCAGCGGCGACGGCGCGCGAGGAUGGAGUUUCGGGAGGUUGCGUGCGGGCUUGGCUGAAGACGCGGCGCGCGCUAGGGCUUCGCUGCGGCAGGCGUGCAGCAGGGGAGAAGAAAGAAAAGAGAAAGAAAGAAAGAAAAAGAAAGGAAAGAAAGAACAGAAAAGAAGGAAAAGAAAAAGGAAUUUUUCUUUUUUUUCUUUUUCUUUAGGCUACGGUUUAGAGGACAAAUUUUUCUUCUUCUUGUUUUCUACUUUUUUAUUUUUUUAUUUUUUAGUUUUUAAUUUAUUACUAUUAUUAUCAUAUUUAAUUGAGGAAAAAAAAUGUUUUUUUUUAAAUCCCUACCUUUCCCACGAACGUGACGCGGGCACGUCAAGAGGGCAAGAGAGCUCCCAGAAGUUUCAGAAUUUUCUGAUCGUAAGCGUCCUGCACAUCACCACGCGGGCACGUCAUGAGGACAGGAGAGCUCCCAGAAGUUCAGAAUUUUCUGAUCGUGAGCGCCCUGCACGUCACCACGCGGGCACGUCAUGAGGCCAGGAGAGCUCCCAGAAGUUUGAAGUUUCUGAUUCCUGCCCGUCAUCACGCGGGCGCGUCAUGACUGAAGGUCACCUACAAAUCAGCAAAAACGAAAACUAACACCCAAAAUCAGUCAAAUUCAGGGAAAGCAGAUUUAAACUAUGCUACAAAACCAACAAACAAUUAAAAGAAAUAAUUAGGUUGCCUCCCAAUGAGCGCCUUUCUUUAAUGUCUUUGGCUAGACAUGGUAAAGUGUCACUGAUUAGGACACGGUGGUGCGUCAAGCCUUAUUGUCUCCACCUCUCUACCUGAAAAUCCUUCGUAAUAAUAUUUGAGACGGUGUCCAUUCACCACAAAUUUGUUGUCUGUCUUAGCACUCUGGAUCUCAACUGCACCAUAGGGAAAAACAUGAGUAACAAUGAAAGGUCCAAUCCAACGGGAACGUAGCUUACCUGGGAAUAGCUUGAGCCUGGAUUGGUACAGGAGGACCUUCUGACCAACUUCAAAUGUUUUUCUUGAAAUUUGUUGGUCAUGAAAUGCCCGGCUUUUCUCCUUAUAUAUCAAGGCGUUUUCGUAUGCUUCGUUCCGGAUCUCCUCCAAUUCUUGCAAAUCCAACUUCCGUUGAGCACCGGCCUCCUCUAAAUUCAUAUUGCAGUGCUUUAUCGCCCAAAAAGCCUUGUGCUCGAACUCCACUGGAAGGUGACACGGCUUCCCAAAUACCAACCUGUACGGUGACAUCCCAAUAGGAGUCUUGUACGCCGUCCGAUAGGCCCAGAGUGCGUCUUCCAACCUUUGGCUCCAGUCUUUUCUAUCAGGGCGCACCAUUUUCUCUAAAAUGGACUUAAUCUCCCGAUUCGACACCUCCGCUUGACCAUUGGUCUGAGGGUGGUAUGACGUUGAGACCCUGUGGAGUACACCAUACUUGCGAAACAACGCAGCUAUGGUUUUGUUGCAAAAGUACGUUCCCCUAUCACUGACAAUAGCUCUAGGCAUUCCAAACCGCACAAAGAUAUUAGACCUGAUAAAAUCUGCAACUACUCUCGAAUCAUUAGUUCGAGUGGCCUUAGCCUCCACCCAUUUAGACACAUAAUCAACUGCCAGCAAAAUAUAUAAAAAACCAAAUGAAGUAGGAAAAGGCCCCAUGAAAUCUAUACCCCAGACAUCAAAAAUUUCAACAAAAAUCAACGGGACCUGGGGCAUUUGAUCUCUACGGGCUAUAUUACCUACCAUUUGACAGCGAUCACAUGACUUACAAAACACAUAGGCAUCUCUAAACAAUGAAGGCCAAUAAAAUCCACUUUCUAAAACCUUAUGAGCAGUUCUCUUAGGUCCAAAAUGACCUCCACAGGCAAAAGUAUGACAAAAAGCUAAAAUUGAUUGAAAUUCCAUUUCACUUACACAUCUCCUCAUCACUUGAUCGGCACACCUCUUCCAUAGGUACGGGUCAUCCCAGAUAAAAUACUUGGCAUCGCUCUUCAAUUUAUCCCUCUUCGAUUUCGGCCAACCUGCAGGAAAAUUACCAGUUACCAAAUAAUUGACCAAAUCAGCAUACCAAGGCAACUGAGAAUUUAAGAAAAAUAGGUAUUCUUCGGGGAAUGCAUCCUUCAAUGGCUCGCUAUCCUCUUCAACUAGUAUGCGACUCAAAUGGUCCGCUACUAGAUUUUCUGAGCCUUUUUUGUCCCUUAUCUCCAAGUCAAAUUCCUGUAGGAGCAGUAUCCACCGUAUGAGCCUCGGUUUUGCAUCUUUCUUGGUCAUCAGGUACCUCAAUGCUGCAUGAUCAGAAAAUACAAUCACUUUAGCACCUAACAAGUAUGACCUAAAUUUUUCCAAAGCAAAAAUAACUGCCAGAAGCUCCUUCUCAGUGGUGGAAUAAUUCAACUGGGCUCCAUUCAAGGCCCGGGAUGCGUAAUAGAUGACAUGAGCCGCCUUGCCUAUUCUUUGCCCCAGUACAGCCCCAACAGCGUGAUCACUGGCAUCGCACAUGAUCUCAAAUGGCAAAUUCCAAUCGGGGGGUUGGAUGAUUGGGGGUGAAGUCAGCAAUUCCUUCAGCUUGUUAAAGGCUCUCUCACACUUAUCAUCAAAUUCGAAGGCUACAUCUUUUUGUAGGAGUUGGAACAACGGGGCUCCAAUCUUUGAAAAAUCCUUGAUGAACCUUCGAUAAAAACCUGCAUGUCCAAGAAAAGAGCGCACCUCCCGCACACUCGCGGGGUAAGGUAAUGCAGAAAUAAUGUCUAUUUUAGCCUUGUCAACUUCUAUGCCCUUAGACGAUACAAUAUGACCCAGGACUAUUCCGUGCUCAACCAUAAAAUGACAUUUUUCCCAAUUAAGCACAAGAUUAGUCUCUAUACACCUGAUCAGGAUUAAUUUCAGGUUAUCUAGACAAGUAUCAAAACUAUCACCAUACACACUGAAAUCAUCCAUGAAAACUUCUAUUAUUUUCUCAACAUACUCGGAAAAGAUGCUUACCAUACAUCUUUGGAAAGUCGCAGGUGCAUUGCACAACCCAAAUGGCAUUCGUCUGUAGGCAAAGGUCCCGAACGGGCACGUGAAGGUUGUCUUCUCUUGAUCCUCCGGGGCAAUUGCUAUCUGAAAGUAUCCUGAAAAUCCAUCCAAAAAGCAAUAAUAAGCCCUACCAGCUAAACGUUCAACCAUUUGGUCAAUGAAAGGGAGAGGGAAAUGGUCCUUUUUGGUGACGGCGUUUAGCCUACGGUAAUCUAUACAUUGCCUCCAUCCAGUGGGUUUGCGCACUGGCACGAGCUCACCAGUUUGGUUGGCCUCUACCGUCACUCCUGCAUUCUUUGGGACUACCUGGACCGGACUCACCCAAGGGCUAUCAGAUAUUGCAAAAAUGAUGCCCACAUCUAGCAAUUUUAGAAUCUCUUUCUUUACGACUUCCAUCAUGAGGGGAUUGAGCCUUCUUUGAGCCUGCCUAACAGGUUUGGCAUCGUCUUCCAGCCUAAUCCGGUGCAUACAAAUGGCCGGGCUGAUCCCCUUAAUGUCUGCGAUUGUCCAGCCUAUUGCCUCUUUAUGCUCCCGAAGGACCCGGAUCAAUUUCUCUUCCUGGGUCUUUGACAGUGCCGAUGAGAUAAUCACUGGGAGUGUCUCAUUAUCACCUAGGUAUGCGUAUUUCAGGUGCUCUGGUAGAGGUUUCAACUCCAGUACAGGUGCCUGCACCACAGAUGGCAAUACCCUCUGGUGAGCCUUGGGAGUAAAAAUAGGUAAGACUUCAUACCUUUUCGUGGUGGUCUGCAACGAGUGUAAUGCACCUAUUGUGCAUUUUAAAUCCUCGCUCCACUCCACCUCAGGAGUUGUCUCCAACUCGAGGUGCUUGGUUAAAGCCACCUCCAGCUCAUCCCUGCCAUCAGUUUCAAACACUUCCUGCACUACAGGGUCAAUAGCACUCACAGAAAAAACUGAGCUAAAGUUGGAGUUAGAGGGGUACUUCAUAGUAUCAAAAAUAUUAAAAUGCACAAUUUACCCAUCAAACUCCAUGGACAAGGUACCCUUAUUAACAUCAAUUUUCGUCUGCGCAGUGCUCAUAAAAGGUCUACCCAAUAACAAAGGUGAGGGAUCAGGGGAGUGAUCAUCAUCCAUAUCUAGUACAUAAAAAUCAGCUGGAAACACCAAAUCAUUAACCUUUACCAACACAUCUUCAAUCAACCCAUCAGGAUAUGCAUUAGUUCGGUCAGCUAAUUGAAUAAUUAUUCCAGUUUCUUUUAAUGGACCUAGUUUCAAAGAAGCAUAGAUAGAUUUAGGCAUGACAUUAAUUGAUGCUCCCAGAUCCAGCAUGGCCCUUCUGAUCACAGUAUUACCUAUCUUACAGGGAAUAGUAAACAUACCUGGGUCCCCGCACUUUGGUGGGAGCUUUCUCUGCAGGACCGCAGACACAUUUUCUCCAACUAUGACCCGUUCAUCUCCCCUCAACCGCCUUCGGUUGACACACAAGUCCCUUAGGAACUUGGCAUAUUUUGGUACUUGUUUGAUGGCGUCUAAGAGGGGGAUAUUUAUCUCAACCUUGCGAAAAACCUCCAAGAUCUCCUUCUCCUUAUCCUGCUUCUUCGAUUUUUCCAACCUGCUAGGAAAAGGAGGCGGGUUAGUUUUAACUGUAAUUAUUGGGUCAGGAAGUACCUCUGGAUCUGCACCAUUGCUGUCCUCCCUUUCGAGCUCAUUUUCGAUCUUCUCUUCAUCCUUGUCCUUGGGAAUCACAGGUUCAGGCCCCUGAAUUUCUUUCCCACUCCUUAGGAUCAUUGCGCUCACGUUCUUCGGAUUCAACUCCGGUUGAGAUGGCAGCUUCCCUUGGUUCUGGGACUCCCAACGGUUCAUUCUGGUGGCCAAUUGACCUAUCUGAUUCCUUAUGUCCUGCAUUUCGGAGUCCGUCUUUUGCUGAUUUUGCAUAAUAGCUGCCUCCGUCCUUUGCUGAUUCUGCGCCAUGGUUGUCAUCAUUUGUUUCAGCAUCUCAUCCGUAGAUGAACCAGAUUGAGGGAGCGGAGGUGGUCGGGGUUGGUAUUGCUGCUGGUACCCUGGUGGCUUAUUUGGCACAAAGUUAGACUGCCUGUUUGGCGUGAAGUUGGAUUGCCUAUUUCCACCAUAACUGAGGUUGGGAUGAUCUCUCCACCCGGGGUUGUAGGUGCUUGAGUAAGGGUCGUACUGCUUCCUUGGCGCGGGCGCGUGGUCAGCCAUGUUCACCUGUUCCGCAGUUUCUUCCUGAAUCAUUGGGCACAUGUCUGCAGAGUGACCUAUACCAGUGCAAAUCCCGCAUACCCUGGCUUGUGAUGCAUUUCUCACAGCCUAUUGCCUAACGAACGCAGUCAACUCAUUUAGCUGCUGCUGCACAGAGGGUGUCUCUAUCUCAUUCACCCUACGUAUUGGGACAUCCUAUCUUGUACUGAAUUGCUGUGAAUUCUCUGCCAUCCCCUCUAUUAACUCCCGUGCUUCCUGAGGGGUUUUGUUCACCAGUGCCCCUCCACUUGCAGCAUCAAUGAUGCUCCUGUCUCUAAAAAUGAGCCCCUCAUAGAAAUAUUGUAUGAUCAACUGCUCACUUAUUUGGUGAUGGGGGCACCUGCGCAACAAGCUCUUAUACCGUUCCCAAUACUCGUAAAGUGACUCCUCGGGAUGCUGCUUGAUCCCACAAAUUUCUUUCCUUAGACUCGCAGCCCUGGACGCAGGAAAAUAUUUAUCCAGAAAUUUUUUCUUCAAUUGGUCCCACGUGGUGAUGCUACCUGGUGACAGGUAGUACAGCCAGUCCUUCGCAGAAUCUUUCAAGGAGAAGGGGAAUGCCCUCAUUUUUAUCUGCUCUUCUGUGAUUCCCGGGGGUUUCAUACUGUUGCAAACGACAUCAAACUCCUGCAGAUGCUUAUACGGCUCUUCACCUGGUAAACCAUGAAAAGAGAGUAAAAGCUGAAUCAGACCAGAUUUUAGUUCAAAUGGAAUGUUGUCAUUUAAAGCUGGGAAAGUAAUGCAUAACGGCUGCUGAGUUAAAUCAGGAGCAGCCAACUCCCUUAAUGUUUAUGCAUUAGCCAUGGUGCCUUCCUGCUGGUCAGAGUCACUCGAAGUGUUACCAAACGAAUCUGUUGGUUCAACUUCUGACUCGGGUCUUUGAGAUGUAGCACUAGAGUGCUCUUCUCUGAGCUGUCUGGUUUCCUUUCUCGUUCUACGCGCGGUCUUCUCUACCUCAGGAUCAAAAACCAAAUCACCUGUGCGACAAGAUCGAGGCAUACACUAGAAGAAAACCAGAAAAUUAGGACAAAAUUGAAUUUAAGAAGAAACAAAUAAUAACGCCAGUCCCCGGCAACGGCGCCAAAAAUUGACAGGUCGUCAACCUGUGCAAUAAUAAAAUUAAACCUAAUUGCCAGUUAAAAUGACCAAAACCCAAUUCCAAGUACUGGAGCAGGGACUCUAGGUGUGCAAUGGGUUACUUGAUUCACCCUGUUCCCGAAGAGUUUGCUUGAUCCGAUAUACCCGAAUGGAAUGGUUAUUCCUUUUCACAAAUGAUUAGGAAUUUGUAGACAGGGCAAGUAGGGUCGUAUCCACAGAGACUGGGUAUAUUUGUUUCUUAAGAAAUCCAAAGUAACACAGGGGGUGAUUUUGUAGGAACGACGAUAAUUAAAUAAAUUCAAAUGAGAAAGUAAAAAUAAAUAAUUAACUAGAAAUUAAACCACAAUUUACUGAACUCAGGAUAACAAUAGUUAAAGGCCUCAAUUAAUUAAAAUAAGGAAACAAUCAAAAAUAAAAUAAAGUAGGUAAUUAAAAGUCAAAUGGCAAUCCACUACAAUCAAGGAAAUAUUAACUAAAGAUCUAGCCAAGAAAUAACUUCAGCAAUGGUUCACCUAAUCGAUCAUUGAUGCAAAGCAAUCCCAAUUAUUUACUAAUAAAUAGGUUAUAACUACCAAACAAGCGAUGGCAGUCAACCCCUCCUUACUGUGUCGGUGAUCAAGGUACGCCCGUUAAUCACUGCUCUAAUUGAGAAAUAAUCCUAGGUACGCCCGUAGAAUUUAAUUCCCCAACUGCCUUACGUAUUAGAGGAGCCCUAUUCUACCCAAAUAACACACUACCAGGGUUAUUUUAGAUUAGCCCGCGUAUCCCCCUGACACGAAUCUAAUCGUGCCAGUUGUCACUAAUUUGAGGUAAUUAAACAAUUACGGAUUCAAUACCCCAAUUGACAAUAGAUUAUCAAACCAAUGAAUUAUCCGGAUCCAAGACAAUCAACUAAUUAAAUAAUCAUAAGCACUGCAACCAAGGAAUAUGCGAAUACCAAUAAAUAAAGGAAAAGAUAAAAUUAAAUCGAUCUCACAAUUUACAGGUGAUCCAAAGCAUCAGUCGUUUCUUGACUAGAACGAGGGGGUUAGCUCAUAUUGGAUGAACUAAGCCCGCGGGAAAUUCCAGCAAAAGUCACGGCCGUUGUAUGCAUUUCAAGAGCCGCAAUUCGUCAAACACUUGGAAAGCGAAUGUAAGGCACGGGUAACAAUUGAAGCUUUCUAAUUGUUCCUAGCAUUCGUAAAGCAAAUUCACUCCAGAAGUACAGUGAGGAAAAGUCAAAGAAAGUGGGCUUCAAUUCCUUGCUCCUGACAUGCGUGGAGACAAGCCAAUGCAAGACUACAAUAAACUAACAAGGAAAAGUCAAGAAUUGGAGCUAAGCUCCCCUGCCAUGCGCAGGAAUCCGAAAAGUAAAAAGUAAAGCUUCAAAGAAAAGUCAACAAUUCUUCCUAAGCUACAGACGGAAGAUCCAGCACAAAAGCCAGCUCCCUUUUUUAUCCCUUUUUCCCCCUUCUUAUUGCGGCGGCUCACCAGGAGAGGAGAGCCCUCCGUCCGUCCUUUCUUCCGAAAAUUACCAAAAUGGGCAUGACAUCUUCUCUUCCAAAAGUGCCCCUGGGACAAGCUUUCUCAUCUGAAUUCUUUUUUUUUCCAAUUUGGCACCUGUUAUCAUAUUUAUAUUCUACUCCCUGAAAUAAACGUCAAAUACUAAAAGUGAGUAGAAUCCAGCAAAUAAAUCCACAUCAAGUCAGGUAAUAGGAGGAAUUAAUAAUAAAAUAAAUGAAUAAAUUGCACCCUAUCAGAAAAAUGCAAAAAUUUGUUAUUUAUCAUUAAGGAUCAUAUCGCAUAUAACAUCAAAAAAUAGUAUAUUAUUUAUAUCUUUCACUUAAUAUAAUAUCCAAAUUACUCUUUUCAGUUACAUACCCAUUGUUAGACAAAAUCAACAACAAAUAACCAAAAAAUUUGCAACCAAAAUAUUACCAAAAAAAUAAACUUUAACAUCAUAAAUAUUUUUAUCAACAUAUUAAAGUUAGUUAUUGAAAUUUUUAUGGUGUUAAACUUCACUCUUAGCAAUAUUUUGGUUACAGAUUUUUUUGAUUAUUUAUUGUUGAUCGUGUUUGACAAUGGAUUUGUAACUGAAAAGAAUAAUUUGAAUCUUACAUUAAGUGAAAUAUAUAAAAUAUUAUACUAUUUUUUAUGGCAUAUGUGAUUCUUUUUUUUUUUUUUAUCAGAACGGCAACAUUGUAUUAAUAGUAAACCAAUUACAGUAUAGGUGGGCAACCGCCCUCACAAUCUGCCUGGACUUGUUCCAGCAGCCAAACUGGGAAGUUUUCCUUCCAUUCAGUAUUUUGUUCCAAAGUAAUAGCUACUUUAGCUAGUUUAUGGCUAACAAAGUUGUUCACCCUAUUUGCAAAGGUAAAACAACAUUCAUCAAAUUUUAUUCAUGUACAAUUGUUGCUAUCACCACGUCCUCCUCCUCCUCCUCACUGCACACUACUUGACUACCACCCUUCGCCAACCUUGCUGUUGCAUGUGCAACUAUCAUGGCCUCUCUUAGCGCCUUUGCUUCUUCGACCUUUGGACUGGCACAGCUAAAAUUUGGAACAGCCCAGGCCCACCCGCAAUCUUCCCAACCAAUCCCUGGCCACCCUUUUCCCACCCAGCUUCUAUGGCAUGUGUGAUUCAAUCCUUCUUGAUAGGAUUGGUAAUAGAGGCAGAGGGGGGAGCCGGCUGCAUCCGGUCUACUUUUCAUAGAUAGUACAAUAUUGCGAAAUCGAUCGCAUUCACACAAGAAUAUUUCGAAGUCAUUGCAUCGCUAAGUUGCAAAAAAGUACAAACACUUGUUAUUAUAUAGCUUAAGAUUCAAAACUUUAGAGCACAACCCUCCACCUAACACAAUUGAAUAAUGAAUAUUCACGAUUGUCAAAUCUGUCAAAGCACAGUUUGAGGACAACCCAUUCCAACCUGCAAAAGAUUUUUGACUUUUUUAAAGUUGUUGAGAGCUGUAAAAAGACUUACCAUGCUUACAUCUUCCGAGCCUUGGGAGUUAAAAAUGAAGGCACUGAGUGCUAUAAAAAGGGGGCUAGAGGCUGCCUAGAAGCAUAUCAGCCUAAAACAAGAAUUUGUAGUUAUGAUGGGAAGCAAAGCAAAAGCAAUGGGGUCUGGGCUGACUCCUCUUCUUACCACUGUUUUAGUGGUAUUUGUUGCUCUUGGCUUGCCCUCAGAAACUGCAGCUGAUGAUCACUACAAGUAUUCAUCUCCUCCUCCUCCUUACCACUAUCCCUCACCACCACCUCCAGUGCAUUUACCUCCACCAGUGUACAAAUACAAGUCCCCACCACCACCUCAUCAUGUUUACAAGUACAAAUCUCCACCACCCCCACCACCACACCCAGUUUACAAGUAUAAGUCGCCACCACCACCUCCUCAUCCGGUAUACAAGUACAAGUCUCCUCCGCCACCUCCUCAUCCGGUACCACACCCAGUUUACAAGUAUAAGUCACCACCACCACCUCCUCAUCCGGUACCACACCCAGUUUACAAGUAUAAGUCUCCUCCGCCACCAGUUUACAAAUAUAAGUCUCCUCCACCACCACCUCCAGUGUACAAAUACAAGUCUCCACCACCACCAGUUUACCACUACAAGUCUCCACCACCUCCUCCCCCAGUUUACAAAUACAAGUCUCCACCACCACCACCACCAGUUUACCACUACAAGUCACCACCACCUCCUCCCCCAGUUUACAAAUACAAGUCUCCACCACCUCCUCACCACUACUAAGCAAUUGCUUCUGAGGUAAUAACACUUGUUCAAUAUACCCACUUCUGCAUGAUAAAGCAUAUCUCUAUCAACACAAACUGUCAUGUCUAUCAUGCUAAGUGCCUUCACUUCAUCCACCAAAAUGACUGCUAGAAAAUUUUUUUUAUGUUACCAAAGAAAGGCAUCAUUUUUUCCCUCUGUUAUCAAGAACUUGUACAGUAUAUAGAUUAAAGAGUAUUUUUUUAACUAGCUUAUCAACUGAGAAAUGCAUAUAGCUGAUAGCCAGCUGAAUAUUUGCAGGCAAAGGAGAAGGAAACCAGUGUUUGAGACCUUCUUGAAGAUGUAGAAGCAUAAGAAUUAAAGCCCAAUGUGAAGAUGAUGAUUUCAAGUUUUUCUACGUUACCAUUUCUUUAUCUAAAUUGGUUGUAGCGCCUUAGUUCCUUUGUUUAUGGGAUUUGUAUCGUUUUACGUACCAUGCAGUACAUGUCAUGUUUGUAAGGUUUUCUAUCCUGCCGGCAAACCGCAGGUUCCAUGUAAUAAAUCAAUACUAUUUAUAUUACGACACUUUUCUCUGUUUCUCUUAUAUUUUGUCGUCUUUAAUAUUCUUAAUCAUAUUUUUAACAAAAAUAUUCAAACACUUAGGCAAUCUGGUCUAAUGCUAAUUGUAUGUUUUACUUUUCUUUUUCACCUGCUCCCCUUUUCAACUCAAAAGGAUGCAAUAGUUUGUGAUCACUGUUGAAGACGGAAGCAUGAUACUAAUGAAUAUAUCAUUGAAACUCAAGGAAACUAACAUUAUGAAAAGUGUAAAUCUUGAUUUGAUGCAACUAUUUAUUCGUGGAAUCUAUAGUUACAAAACUCAAACUCUGACUGCGCCAUUGAUAAAUUAUUAAUGACGCUAUCAUCAUUAUUUAUCCCCAACUAGUUUCGACUACAACUGAACCCAAUAUUUUCCCCAUGAUAAAAGUUUUUUACUAUUUUACUGGCCUCUCUUCAAAUUUUAAAAAUUACACUAAUCUUCAUUGAGAUUAAUUAUCUUGUAGCAUUUAAGUCCAAUUAAUAAUUAAAAAAUAAUAUUAUGAGAGAGAAAAUAAUAUAAUUUUAUCAUUGCCCCCCAUCUUGCUAUAUUAUUUAAUUAAUUUAAUAGCAACCCACACAUUAAAGAAAAAUACUAAAAUUUGCUGCUUUUCAUUAAAGAUCAAAUUGCAUAUGCCAUAAAACAUAGUAUAUCAUUCUAUAUGUUUCACUUAAUGUAAGAUCCCAAUUGUUCUUUUCAAUUACAAACCCAUUGUCAAACAUGAUCAAUAACAAAUAACCAAAAAAUUUGCAACCAAAAUAUUACAAAAAAAAACUUUAACAUCAUAAAUAUUCUUACCACCUCUAGUGCAUUCACCCUCAUAAAAUAAUUCAAGACCCUACUGUCAUAAAAUGACUGAUCAACUCCUGUAAACCUAAUUUGACAACAUUUAAAUGGAGAACUUUAGCUAAAAGAAUUAUGGUCAAGCUAAAGAAAAAACCAGUUAUUUUCCAACAUAUGCAAUCAUUGAUCAGGGAAAAAAAAAAGAAGCAAAAAGACAUCUUCAAUCAUUUAAUAGCUUACAGGGCAAAUUAACCCCUAAGCGAAAACUGGUUGCUCUAGAAUCAAAAUUUUACUUUAGUUACCCAGGCAACUUUUUUUGUUGCCUUUUCUUUUUCUUUUUUGGGUAUAUAUAUAGCUCCAGUUUUGCCCCCUCUGUCAAGCUUAUAUAAUUAUUAAGAUAAUAAAAGUGCCUUUAAUAGUAUUAAUAUAUCCAUUGACUUGAGCUGUCAUCGAUCGGUUUGGGCUACUUCGAUUCCAUGAGAACAAAUGGUAAUAAAAGUACUCAGAAAAUGGGGAGUCAUGAAACCCUUUUGUUCUAUUCAUUGCUAAGAUGCUUUUCUCUAUAAAGACACUUCCUAACGAAAAUACUUUGUAGAUUUCUUUACUCCAAGUGGUGCAUGGAAAAUUAAUAUUUUCAAUUAUCAAAUAAAAUUCCCUUUUUUCGGUGUAGAUUUCAUCCAUUCAGCUGUUAACACUCCGAAUUGACUAAUCUUUUCGUUUCCAUUUUCCAACUUGCGAAUACGGCAUCUUACAUAUUGUCUGCUGAAUAUGAAUACAUAUCCCUUUUCUGAGCAGGUGCAGAGUCAUUAUCAUUUUUAUUCCCACCUAACAAAUUAGUUAAUAAUCUUUUAAAGAACAUGUUAAAUUAAUUUAUUGGUAUGAAUAGUAGUCAAAGAAGUAUGUUAAAGUUAGUAAUCUUUAAAAUAAUAUGUUAAAAUUAUUCGUACAAAUUAGCCAGAGAAGUAGCAUAAACACCGCGAUGCAAUUAAUACUUUCAAUCUCAAGGUCUCUAUUAUGGAAAUUUGCAUCGGUCAACAUACACAAAGCAUUAUUGUAUGCACGUCUCUCUAUUAUGGAAAUUUGCAUAGGUCAAUAUACACUUGGCAUAGUUGCAUGCACGUCCAAUUUUUUUUUAUUUUUAUUUUUGGUAUUUUACUUCCUGCCUUAAGUUGCCUGCAGAUGUUUGUAUUACAAAUAUAUGGUAUACUAAAUAUAUAGUAUGCACAUUAAUUUCUUUGGGUUGCUUAAGGGUAUAUUGUUAAUAAUAGGGGGUUUAACCAUAAAUUAUAACAAUGAUGAAGUAAUAUAUAUUAGAAAAUUAACACAAUUAUGAUUUUUUUUUUUGUAAAAUUCAAAUUUUAUUAAUAAGAAAUGAAAUAGGCAGUAAGCAUUUACAAACCGAAAACAAAAUCCUACAACAACUCUAGGACUCUACACCUUAUUAAAAAAAAACAUUUUGAUAGCGUUUUUCCAAAAGCAGAAGAUGGAAAAUUGCCCAUUUGUACUGGGGAGUUCGUGAUCUUUUCCUCAUUCUAGUCUACUUACAAUUCUUGGAAAAAGGAAUACUCACAUCUCAAACAACAGCCUGUUCAUCUGCAGUGUCCUGCCGAAUUCUAGAAAGUUUGGUGGCAAUGUUAAUUACAUUUCAAAAUUGACUGCUGCGAUAACUAAUUCGAUGGCUUACUACAUGGUCAACGUUUGGAUCUCUUCCUGUCCUUUUUGGAUGCACAUUUUUUUUCUCUAGGUAAUAUAUAAUCUCCCAACUCAUUUCUUUACAAAUGCACCUUUAAUCACCACCAAAAGGUGUGGACAUGAUCUUUACCCUAGAAAACUAUUCACCGACAGGCAAAUUGACGUCAGAAAUACUAAGAGGAAUUCUAGUUUCCUUCGGGUUAAUGCCAUUUUGUACCCUUCAACUGUAACUCAAUUUCUAAGCUGUAAUUUGUGACAUUAUAGUCCUUAAACUAUGAAACCCUUUCUUAUUUAAUUACAAUGGUUAAUACAAUGCCCGUGACUAGACAAGUAUGAAGCAACCAUAACAAAAAAAAAAUCCAAAAUUAGAGAAAAGAAAGAAGUUGCGACCAAAGUAUGUAUCAAGGCAUAGUAUAGAAAUAAAAGUGUCAAAAUUAAGAGUUUAGGGAUAAAAAAGAAUCAAAAUAUAGUUUAGGAAUUGAUUUGUCUCAAUUAGAGUUUAGAUGUCAACUAAGAAGAGAGAUAUAGUUGAAGGGUAGAAUAUAGAUAUAACAGUUCAAUGAUUGAUAUCAACGAGACAAUGACAACUUUGGAUUAUUACCAACCUCUUCUUGAUGGAAAAGGAAAUAGAGAAGAAAGUCGGGCCUGGUCUAAGCCUGUUUCGGAGGCAAAACAACAUUAUGAAAUCACCGGCAUUCACACAAAUAUGUCAAAGUCACCGGCAUGCUAAGUUGCAAAAUUUAUACAAACACUGAAUAUUAUAUUCUUCUCAAAAUUUUUGUUUAAGAUUUAACAAUUAGAGCACGGUACACGAAUUAGCAAUAUUAAAUAAUGAAUGUUCACGAUUGAUAAAGUUAUCAAAGUACAGUUUGAGGACAACCCAUUCCAACGUGUACAAGAUGUUUAGCCUUUGAAAAGUUAAUUAGAGAAGGUGACGAGAUUUUACUAGGCUUACAACUUCUAGGCCUUGGGAGUAAAAAGUGAAGACACUGAGUGCUAUAAAAAGGGGGCUAGAUGUUGCCUAGAAGCAUAUCAGCCUCGGACCACAUUUUGUAGCAAUGGGGAGCAAAGCAAAAGCAAUGGGGUCUAGGCUGACUCCUCUUUUUACCACCGUUUUAGUGGUAUUUGUUGCACUUGGCUUGCCUUCAGAAACUGCAGCUGAUUACGACAAGUAUUCACCUCCUCCUCCUCCUUACCAUUAUUACUCACCACCACCUCUUGUGCAUUCACCUCCACCACCGCCAGUUUAUAAGUCACCCCCACCACCUUAUCACUACUUCUCACCACCACCUCCAGUGUAUCCAUCUCCACCACCAUCUGUUUACAAGUCACCUCCACCACCUUCGCCAGUAUACAAGUCCCCACCACCACCUUAUCAAUAUUCCUCACCACCACCUCCAGUGCAUUCACCUCCACCACCACCGAUUUAUAAGUCACCUCCACCACCUCCUCCAGUUUACAAGUCCCCGCCACCACCUUACCAUUAUUCCGCACCAUCACCUCCAGUGCAUUCACCUCCACCACCACCGAUUUACAAGUCACCUCCACCACCUCCUCCAGUUUACAAGUCUCCAUCACCACCUUACCAUUAUUCCUCACCACCACCUCCAGUGCAUUCACCCCUACCACCACCGGUUUACAAGUCUCUGCCACCACCUUACCAUUAUUCCUCACCACCACCUCCUAUGCAUGCACCUCCACCACCAAUAUACAAGUCACCUCCACCACCUCCUCCAGUUUACAAGUCUCCACCACCACCUUACCAUUAUUCCUCACCACCACCUCCAGUGCAUUCACCCCUACCACCACCAGUUUACAAGUCUCCGCCACCACCUUACCAUUAUUCCUCACCACCACCUCCUGUGCAUGCACUGCCACCACCAAUUUACAAGUCACCUCCACCACCUCCUCCAGUUUACAAGUCCCCACCACCACCUUACCAUUAUUCCUCACCACUACCUCCAGUGCAUUCACCUCCACCACCACCGAUUUACAAGUCACCUUCACCACCUCCUCCAGUUUACAAGUCUUCACCACCACCUUACCAUUAUUCCUCACCACCACCACUCUUCAAUUUGGAUGUAAUUCAAUUUUCCUUGUAAUCGGUGGCCCUCCUUCGGAAUCCAAAUAGUCAUUGAGUGCAGCCUUCUUUCUUUAUUUUUUACUCAUUUUCACCUCAUAAAUUGCUUUCAUCCCCUAAAACUUGUUCGCUGGAAUUUUGAAUUUACCCAUACAACUAAACUCAGAAAAUUCUUACACAAAGGGAUUAGUAGCAUGAAUAGCAAACACAGAAUAAGAGAUAACAGUAUGUUUUAUUGUAUUAAAAAUAUUAAAGUGGAUUAUUUCUCCAUCGAAUUCCAUUGUGAGAGUAUCGUUACUAACAUCAAUCUUAGUUUGAGCAGUACUCAAGAAUGACCUUCCUAAUAUAAUGGGUGAUGGAUUUGGGACACUUUCAUCAUCCAUAUAAAACACAUAAAAAUCAACAGAAAAAAUUAAUCCAUCUACUUGAACUAAAAACAUCCUCAACUACCCCAUUUAGAUAAGCAAAUAUACGAUCAGCCAAUUGAAUUAUUAUCCCUAUUUCUUUUAAAUGUUCUAAAUUUAGGGAAUCAUAAAUUGAUUUAGACAUCACAUUAAUAGAAAUCUUUAAAUCUAUCAUGGCAUUUUUUAUAUUAGAAUGUCCAAUCUUACAUGAGAUAGUAAACAUACCUAGAUUCUCGCAUUUAGGUGGUAGUUUCCUUUGUAAAAUUGCUGAAACGUUCUCAUCUACCACAAUAUGCUUGUCCUCCUCAAUUUCUUCUUGUUGACACACAAGUUUUUCAAGCAUUUAACGUAUUUUGGAACUUAUUUGAUUUGCGUCCAACAAAGGGAUAUUGAUUGCCACCUUGCGAAAAUCUCUAAAAUCUCCUUUUCUUUAUCUUGUUUCUUUGAUUUCUCUAACCUGCUUGGAAAAGGUGGUGAGUUAGUUCCAACUCUAAUUAUAGAAUCAACAAUUACCUUUGGAUUCACAUUUCUCAUUCCUUCCUCCUCAAGCUCUUUGUCGAUUCGAUCUUCAUUUUUAUCCUUUGGAAUCACAACUUCGGAUCCCUGAAUUUUCUUCUCGCUCCUUAAGGUCAUUACACUUACAUUCUUCAGGUUCAGUUCAGGUUGAGACGACAAUUUUUCAUAGAUUUGGGAUUCCAGGCGGUUGAUUGCUAUUACCAUCUGACUCAUCUGACUCUGCAGUGCUUGCACCUGUCCCAAUUGAUUCCUCAUACUUUGCAAGUCAAAAUCCAUCUUUUGUUGAUUAGCAAUUAAUUGCUUCAUUAUCUCUUCUAUAGAUGGACUUGAGUUUGAAAGAGGUGGUGGCGGGCGAGACUGAUACUGUUAUUGAUACCCUUGCUAUCUAUUUGGUGCAAAAUCUGGCUACCUAUUUCCUCCAUAGCUGAGGUUGGGAUGAUCUCUCCAACCAAUAUUGUACGUAUUCGUGUACGAGUCGUAUGGUUUUCUUGGCACGGCGCGUGACCAGCCAUGUUCACUUGCUCCGUACUUUUCUCUUGAAUCAUUGAGCACAUCUCUGUAGAAUGACCCAUAGCAGUGCAGAUCCCACACAUCUUGACUCGUGAUGCAUUUCCUAUAGCUAAUUGCCUAACAAAGGAUGUUAAUUCGGUCAACUGCUGUUGGAUAGAAUAUGUUUCUACCUCAUUUACUUUGCGUGUUGGGGCAUCCUCCCUCGUACCAAACUGUUGCGAAUUUUCCGCCAUUCCUUCAACUAGCUCCCACGCUUCUCGAGAAGUCUUGUUCACCAAUGCCCUUCUACUUGCAGCAUCAAUUAUACUCCUGUCUCUAAAACGCAGCCCCUCGCAAAAAUAUUGGAUGAGCAAUUGCUCACUUAUUUGGUGUUGAGGGAACUUGAUGCAUAACUUCUUGAAUCGCUCCCAAUAAUCAUAAAGCGACUCUCCUGGAUGCUACUUGAUACCGUAUAUCUCCUUCCUUAGACUUGCAGCUCGAGAUGCAAGAAAAUAUUUGUCCAAGAACUUUUUCUUCAGCUGAUCCCACGUGGUGAUGCUACCUGGUGGUAGAUAGCACAGCCAGUCUUUUGCGGAGUCCUUCAAGGAGAAGGGAAAUGCCCUCAUUUUUAUCUAUUUUUCUGUAAUUCUCGGAGGUUUUAUGCUGUUGCAAACGACAUCAAACUCUUGCAAGUGCUUAUACGGUUCCUCACCUGGUAAACCAUAGAAAGAUGGCAAGAGAUGAAUUAGACCAGAUUUUAACUCAAAUGAAGUGUUAUCAUUUAAAAAUAGAAAAGUAACUGAGAUGCAGCACUGGAAUGUUCUUCUCGAAAUUGUCUGGUCUCUUUCUUUGUUCUACGCGUAGUCUUCUCUACCUUAGGAUCAAAAAUUAAUUUACCUGUACGAGAAGAACGAGGCAUACACUAGAAAAACACUAGAAAAUUAGAACAAAAAUGAACAUAAAAAGAAACAAAUAAACCAACGUCAGUCCCCAGCAACGGCGCUAAAAAUUGACAAGUUGUCGAUGCCUGUGCAAUAAUAAAAAUAAACCUAGUUACCAAUUAAAAUAAUCAGAGCCUAAUUCUGAGUACUAGAGCAGGGACUAUAGGUGUGCAAUGGGUUACUUGAUUCACCCUAUUCCUGAAGUUUGCUUAACCCGAUAUACCAGAAUGAGAUUGCUUAUUCAAAAGGAAUUAUUGAUUUGUAAACAGGGCAAGUAGGGUCGUAUCAUCAGGGAUUGAAAAAAUUUGUUUCUUUUCAAAUCCACAGUAACAAGGGGAUGUUUUUGUAUAAAUGAUAACAAUCUAAGGAGUGCAAAUAGAAAUAAAUAGAUAACUAGAAAUUAAAUGACAAUUCACUAAAAUUAGAGUAAUAAUAAUUAAAGGUCUAGCUAAGAAAUAACUUCAGCAAUGGUUCACCUAAUUGAUCAUCGACGCAAAGGCAAUUCCAAUUAUUUACUAAUAAAUAGGUUAUAACUGCAAAACAAGCAAUGACAGUCAACCCCUCCUUACUGUCGGUCGGUGAUUAAGGUACGCCCAAUCACUGCUCUAGUUGAGAAAUAAUUUUAGGGACGCUCGUAAGAUUUAAUUUUCCAAUUGCCUUACGUAUUAGAGGAGCCAUAAUCUAACCAAAUAACGCUACCAGGAUUAUUUUAAAUUAACCCGUGUAUUCCCUUGAUACAAAUUCAAUCAUGUCAGUUGUCACUAUUUCAAGGUAAUGAAACAAUUACGGAUUUAAUAUCCUAAUUGACAAUAGGUUACUAAAUCAAUUCACUAUUUCGAUCCAAGAUAAUCAAUCAAUUUAACAACUAAUAGCACUGCAAUCGGAGAAUAUGUAAAUACCAAUAAAUAAGAGGAAAAGAUAAAAUUAAAUCGAUCUCACAAUUUUUAAACAAAUCAAAGUAUCCGUUGUUUCUUGACUAGAAAAGAAAAUUUAGUUCAUUCCUAAUGUGAAAGACCCACGUGAGAAUUCAAAAAUAAUAUUCACGGAUAUUGUCUUGAUUCAAUAGAUUCAAUUGCGUUGGAAUAAGGAUAAAAAGCCAAACUAUAGAGAGUGAUUCAAUGUUUUGUUUCGUUUGCAUUUUUUCUACACAUAUGGAAGAAGAAAAACAACUAAAGGACGAAAAAAAAAAGUCAAAGAAAGGCACCCAAAGUAGUGCUUGGUCUCUACCAUCCUAUUUCCUAUCUAAUUACUACUUCCCUUCUGCGGCUGCCUAGAGGAAGAAAGAGAAAGCAGACUUCAGGUCUUGUUCCAUCUCCUCCCUUUUCGGCAAUUCCCCAAAAGUAGAAAAGUUCCUCCGUUUACCAAAAUGCCCCUGGAAUGAGGACUGCUACUUGAACUCAUUUUCUUGAUAACUGUCAAAUUAGCACUUGUUAUGGUAUUUGCGUCUACUUCCUGUAAUAAAUGUAAAUUGCCAAAAGUGAGUAAACUGAUAAUUAAUUUACAUCAGGUCAGGUAAUAGGAAAAAUUAAUUAUAAAAUAAAUGAUAAAAUUGCAACCUAUCACUUAGAAUAACCAGAAAUAAAACAAAACAAGAAAUGAAAGAAAUAAGAGGGUAGCAUAGACAUUUUGGAUUUUUCUGUUAAUUUGGAUGAUUUCCACCUACGGUCUAAUUUAAUCCAAAACACAAAUGGAUUAUGUGGAGAUUUUUAAACAAUGAGGGAGUAUCGUGACCGAAUCCCAAACCACAAAGGGGAUUUACUAUAUUUUACUCUUAAAUUUUGGUUUCAUCUCAUAGCAUACAAGAGUACUAUUUCACUGUCUGUCGACCAGGGAGGAGGGUUGGGUUGGGUGGUACGGGGGAGGGAGUCUAAGUAAGAGGUCUCAGGUUCGAAUCCUCCUGUUUAUACUAAAAAAAAAAAUUUACUAUCUGUCGACAAAGAUUUUCUAUGGUUGAUGUACCAUAGGAAAAAUCUGCCUAUACAAUUAUUUGGAAAAAUUAUCCAUCCAAACAUAGUCACGAUAGCAUUUUUUCAAAAACACUAGAUGCAAAAUUGUCCCCUUAAACGUGGAAAUUCAUGAUCUUUCCUCGACUAGUCUACUUGUCAAUUUUUGAAAAAAGAAUACUCACGCCAAAAACACGGCCUCUUCAUCUGCAGAAUUCUAAAAAGUUACGUAAACUCUAUAAACAAGUUGAUAGGUACAAUCGUACCCAAGAUCAAGUACAGAUAGUUGUACAUUCACUGCUGCAAUAACUAAUCUGAUGACUUACAAACACAUCAUGGUCAAUCGUUGAAUGGUAAUGAGUCUUUUGUUAUGCAUUAGUAUUAGUGUGUACACUCUAAUAGAUUGAUACUUAUACUCUUUAAAUUAUCAUAAUAAUACCCUUAAUUAACUUUAACCCUUAAAAAGAAUACGUGUUAAUACACGAGAGUGUGUAACCUGAAUUGUUACUUAUACAUUAGUGUGUAAUAGAACGGCAAGCAUUAUGGUGGUCAUUGAGCAACUUAUAGGAGAAAUAGUCCUAUAAGCUGUUCAAUGACCAAUCACAACUUGCUAAUUGGAUGACUAAUAUAGCUCUAGCUGUAAUGUUUUAAUUAAAUUCCACACUAACGUUGGGAUGACUUUUUAAUCAAAAAAAAAAAAGCCUUAGUUCAAGCUUUUCCCCUUAUUGUGCAUUUUUUAAAACAUUUGAUAGGCACUGCAAAUCUGUCAUUUUGGACAUUUUAUUAUUAACUAACAAUGAAAGCCGUGGACAUCAACCCAUAUCCAACAAAAUAUUAAAUUAAUAUUAGAAAAAUUAUUAAGUAAUUGGAAAAAAAAAAGAAGAGGCUAAUUUUCAUUGAAACCCACCGACAAACUAUCCGUGUCCAUAGCUUUUGAAUAGUGCAUUCAACGUUUAAUUGUAUGGUCCAGUUCAUUGCCGAUUACAUGGAGUAAAGAUUGUGCUCUUUCCUUUUUCACCCCUUUUGGAAUCGAUACUGUGGAGAAUUGGGUUUUUCCCUCCUUUUUUUCUUUUCUUUCCUUCUGUGCUUUGCAAAACAUACGUAAAAAUAUGAAAUCCGAAGCAUUCUUUAAUUGGGAUUAAGUAUUGUUGUUGAAAUUAAAAAGAAGAAAGAAAGAACAACAAAAAUCCCAAUCUGGGUUGAUUGUUGAGCUCUAGAUUGGCUGCAUCGUGCUUCCAUAGAAGUUCUCUUAGUGUGAUACGCUGCUUUCAAUCAGUUUUAAUAUUUAAGUAGAGUGCAAAAUAACUUUACUAUUUAAUGGGUUAUAAUGCACCAUUUGGUACCUCUCACCCACCUAUGAUUUGAUUUACUACUGGCAUGGUAAUGGACAGAGUUGGGGGAGCAGGAGGAGGGAGAUGGCGGUACCAGUCCGUCAACCACAGCACACCCUCCCUCGGACUUUGCGUGGUAGCGAAGUGGAGGCAGAUCGAGCACACAUGCACUAACGCCUUAAGUAUGUACAAUAUAUGUAUGCCAAAAGCAUAGCCAAGCCUACCAGCGCAUUUCAAUAAUAUAACCCGGAAAUUAAGGGCAUUGAAUUAAGUACGAUGAAUCAUAUUGGUGCACAAUUACAGUUUGAAGCUACCGAUUCGAGUAAAUUUAAGCGUAAGCACAAUCAAUCGCCAGUCAAAUGCUGAAAUAUGCAUAUGCAUGGAUGAAUGUAUGGGUUUCUUAGUUCCAGACCAAAGGCCAACAAUAAGGGAAGGAAGGACAGUUCUCAUUUUUAGCACGGACAAGGAGAUGAAGAAAAGUGUAUGUAGCUUGAGACAGAACAAUGGCAUGUGACCGCUCCUGAGACCACAUAACGUGGGGUGGGGAUGGGACGGCCAAGAAUGAAGAUGCCUGUCGGUCUCUCCGUGCUGCUACCAUAUGAAUCCCCCGUUAACCAAUUCAAGAUAAGCCUGAAGUUCUUUUCAUCCCCAAACCCUGUCCCAUCUGUGUAAAUCCAACAUCAUCAUUUACGACCUGCAACUCAGGUUAAGCAUGUUCUAUUGAGAUUCAGACACCACCCUUCAAAAGAUAUACUACUGUGAAACCAGCAGCUUAAUAUCAUUGUAUAAAAAAAAAAAAAAAAGAAAGAAGAAAAGACAUGAAAAGCAAAUUUUGUGGGGAUAAUUUCAAAAUCUCUCCUAAAGUUUUUUACUAUUUUACUGGCCUCCUUUCAAAUUUUAAAAAUUACACCAGUCUUCCUUGAGAUUAUUUAUCUUGUAACAUUGAGGUCCAAUCAAUAAUUAAAAAAUGAUAUUAUGAGAGAGAAAAAAAAUAAACUUUAACAUCAUAAAUAUUCUUAUCAACAUAUUAAAGUUAGUUACUGAAAUUUUUAUGGUGUUAAACUUCACUCUUUGUAAUAUUUUAGUUACAGAUUUUUUGAUUACUUGUUGUUGAUUUUUUUUUUUUUAGUGUAAACAGGAGGACUCGAACCUAAGACCUCUCACUUACACUCCCUCCCCCCGUACCACCCCAACCCAACCCAACCCUCCCCUCGUUGUUGAUCAUGUUUGACAAUGGAUUUGUAAUUGAAAAGAACAAUUUGGAUCUUACAUUGAGUGAAAUAUAUAGAAUGAUAUACUAUUUUUUAUGGCAUAUGUGAUUCAAUCCUUGAUGAUAAAAGCAAAUUCAAGUGUUUUCUUUAAUGUUUGUGCUGAUAUUAGAUUAAUUAAAUAAUUUAGUAGAUGAAGGAAAAUGGUGAAAUCAUAUUAUCUUCUCUUUCCUAAUAUCACUAUUUAAUUAUUGAUUGAACUUAGAUAUUACAAAUAAUAAAUCUCAAGGGAGAUUAGUAUAAUUUUCAAAUUUUGGAGAGAAGCUAAUGAAAUAGUCAAAAACCUUAAGGGAGGUUUACAAAAUUAUCCCAAAUUUGUGGGAAUUAGAAUAAUUGUACUGGACGGCACUGCCGCAACAGAGGGAAAGAGGAGGAGGUGCAGUUAACUUUUUGUUGUUUGAAAUCCUUGGUGAAAUAUUACAGAAAGACAGAUAAAACAGUUAGUACAUAGAUGUAUAUGACAGGGAAAAUGGUACGUCUGUUAAUCACAUUUGAAACACUUUCAUUGGUGAAUGACGAAAACUAUCAGGCUUGCCCAAUAGUUGAUCAUUGACCAAGACAAAUCUUGCCAUGCUAGAGGUACCAUCUUUUCGUACCUCUUUAGUGCACAGGACAUUCCUUUGUUUCAUCUAGCUAAUAAUCUACCAACUCAUUUCUUUGCAAAUGCACCUUUUAUGGUCACGUCUACGAAAGCUUUACAGGAUCUUUACCCAAAAAAUCAAUUCACCGACUCGCAUUUGAUGUCAAAAUUUCUUUACUUUACUCCAAGAUUGACUGUUAAUAAUAAUGCCACUUUGAAUUAUCACACCAUCCUUCUUGAUAGGAUUUGUGCUAGAGGUAGGGAGGGAGUCGCUGCAGCCGGUCUUCUCUUCAUAGACAGUACAAUAUUGCGAAAUCGAUCGCAUUCACGCAAUAUUAUAUUUCCAAGUCGUUGCAUGGGUAAGCUGCCAAAAAGUACGAACACAUGUUAUUAUAUAGCUUAAGAUUCAAAACUUUCGAGCAUAACCCUCCACCUAACACAAUUGAAUAAUGGAUAUUCACGAUUGUCAAAUCUGUCAAAGUACAGUUUGAGGACAACCCAUUCCAACCUGCAAAAGGUUUUUUUACUUUUCUAAAGUUGUUGAGAGCUGUUAAAAGAUUUACCAUGCUUACAUCUUCCGAGCCUUGGGAGUUAAAAAUGAAGGCACUGAGUGCUAUAAAAAGGGAAUAGAGGCUGCCUAGAAGCAUACCAGCCUAAAACAAGGAUUUGUAGUUAUGAUGGGAAGCAAAGCAAAAGCAAUGGGGUCUGGGCUGACUCCUCUUCUUGCCACUGUUUUAGUGGUGUUUGUUGCUCUUGGCUUGCCCUCAGAAACUGCAGCUGAUGAUCACUACAAGUAUUCAUCUCCUCCUCCUCCUUACACUAUCCCUCACCACCACCUCCAGUGCAUAUACCUCCACCUCAUCCUGUUUACAAGUACAAAUCUCCACCACCCCCACCACCACACCCAGUUUACAAGUAUAAGUCACCACCACCACCUCCUCAUCCGGUACCACACCCAGUUCCUCAUCCGGUGCCACACCCAGUUCCUCAUCCGGUGCCACACCCAGUUUACAAGUAUAAGUCACCACCACCACCUCCUCAUCCGGUACCACACCCAGUUCCUCAUCCGGUACCCACACCCAGUUUACAAGUAUAAGUCACACCACCACCUCCUCAUCCGGUACCACACCCAGUUUACAAGUAUAAGUCACCACCACCACCUCCUCAUCCGGUAUACAAGUAUAAGUCUCUCCGCCACCAACACCCAGUUUACAAGUAUAAGUCACCACCACCACCUCCUCAUCCGGUGCCACACCCAGUUUACCACUACAAGUCACCACCACCACCUCCUCAUCCGGUACCACACCAGUUUACCAUACAAGUCACCACCAAUCCUCACCCAGUUUACAAAUACGAGUCUCCACCACCUCCAGUUUAUAAGUACAAGUCACCACCACCUCCUCCACCAGUUUACAAGUAUAAAUCUCCUCCACCACCACCACCAGUUUACCACUACAAGUCUCCACCACCUCCUCCCCCAGUUUACAAAUACAAGUCUCCACCACCUCCUCACCACUACUAAGCAAUUGCUUCUGAGGUAAUAACACUUGUUCAAUAUACCCACUUCUGCAUGAUAAAGCAUAUCUCUAUCAACACAAACUGUCAUGUCUAUCAUGCUAAGUGCCUUCACUUCAUCCACCAAAAUGACUGCUAGAAAAUUUUUUUUAUGUUACCAAAGAAAGGCAUCAUUUUUUCCCUCUGUUAUCAAGAACUUGUACAG